CUGGUGCAACCCUUCUAACAAACACUUCGACUUAUCCAUGAAAAUAUUCACUUCCAACGCCGAGUACAAAAGUGGGAUCGUUCCAGUGAAGUUCAGGAGAGUGAAGUGUCAAAAGAGAGAUGGUGUGAGGUUUGAGGUUAAAGGAAACCCUAAGGCCAACAUUAACGGGGGAUCUUAGGGGUCCUUAGGGGGUAUUUGAUGGGUGGGUCCCAAUAAUAAAGUGUAUAAUAAAGUAAAAGAAAAAUUAAAUUAUAAACAUUUAUUAAAUUCUUAAUAAGUAUGAACACUUUAAAAAAUAUUACUUUCGGGAACAGAGGGAGUAUAUCAUAUCUGCACAUUCAAUACUGAUUCUUAUUAUUUCCUUACUGAGUGGGAGAUAUUGGGUACGUUUCUUAUCAAAUAUGGAAAUAAGUAAUGUAUACCAUUUUAGAUUUAUUUCUUUUUAGACUCUCAUGUUUUAAAUGGUAAAUGGUUAACAUAUAAUGGAAUCAAUGAGAGCACAAGAAAUGGAAUAAAGUGAAUGAGAUGAAAAUGGAAUAUAUCUAUUACAUCCAUUCACUAUCAAAAAUUUUUGAAUUGUUUAUCUUGUUGUGGAAGUAAUUGAAUGAGCGUUCCAUAUUUUUAAUAUCUUUUUCAUAUGAGCGUGUUCCAUUUUAUUCAAGGUAAACUGUAAAAAAAAAUUGUUGAAUUGAACGAAUAAGACAUUCACAUUAUUCCAGUCCACAUUAUUGUGUGUCGCCUUCAAAGAAUAUUGCGAGGCUAAAUUACACUACCUUCAAUGAAUAUUGUGUUACAGGCUUACAGCCUAAUCUGAGUGAUGAUUGUGAAUAUGGAUCCAGCUUCUGUUUAGACUUUGACGAACAUGAAUGGAUUGUUCAUUGCAGCUUAAGAAAACAAAUCAUUCAAGCUGGUGGUAGCAAGAUGAUGACUCAAAUUUGCAUUCUUCAAACUUGUUUCGAGAAAAAUAACACCUGUGAGUGUGUUCCAAUUCAUGUAUGAUAAUUUGAUUUGCUUCUGGUUUUUUUAUUAAUCCGGUUCGGUUUUCUGUAAGGUUUCUCAGGAAAAGUUAACUUGAACUUAGAGAUACUAAUGUGAAGGAACAUUGUGUUGAGUCGAGCCAAGUUUUCAGUGAAGUGUUUUCUCACUCAGGUUUCGAACAGACUAGCACUUGCAGUGAUGUUGCUGCCCAAGCAUUGCCUUCUCCUCUAAGAAGUGAAAUGCAGAGAAAACAACAGAAUAACUCCAGCUAUAAUUCAAAGUAUGUGGCAAGACUUAUGGGUGUUCUCAAGCUCUAGGUGGUCGUCACCAAAAGCUUUGGCAUUUAUAGCUGGAUUUAUCAAUUAGAUUGUGUAGAACAUGCAACGUUGUUUGUAAUAGCAACAAGGUUUACAACAAUCAUUUAGCCGGUCAGAAGCAAAGCCCCUGUAAAUGCAUAGAAUCUUAAUUCUUAUUUCUUACACUCAUUGCAUGUCCUUACAUAUGAUUCCCUUAUUUCCCUGAUACACUAGAAACUUGGGAAGUAGAAGAGAGACAUUCAAAAGAGUUCUGAAAGUAAACUGGUCAAGACGCAUGGAAGUUCAACUUGCUUAAUAUUCCAUAUGUCUUUGGCAUAUUCAUGGAUUGUCCGAUCACUGCUAAACUUGGAUGAACCUGCUGUAUUCAAGAUGAUUGACAUUCUCGUCCAUCUCUGUAAUCAUUUAUAGCAAUUUUAAGCUUAGAAUGUUGAGGAAGUUUCAUAUUGAGUCAACAUAUAAGCUAAAGCACUUACUAACUGCCGGUUCUGAGAUAACCUCCUCAGCUUUAGCACGAGCAGUUUGAGCAUCUUCUUUAGAAUCUUGGGACUGGUCUACGGUGUUUUCUGCAAUAACUGGUUUGUUCUGUGGCUUCACAAUCACAUCUGCAAAGGCAGAAGGCAACUCAAAGUUUUCUAAGAUCAUCAUUGCCUUGAUCAGUUUCUCCUGGAGCAAGUCAGGAUCUGCGGUGCCAUACUCAGAAACAAUUGUGCCAACUAGCUGCAAAACAGAAUGCAGAUUAGACCAGAGAUGUGGAAAAAAAAAAGAAGAAGAUAGACACUUGAUGCUGUUCAGGGAUAGACCUCCUCAUCAAUCUUUUCGAUAAAUUUCCACAUGACAAGGGAGAAAUUUCUCCAUUAGUUCUAAACUCCACUUCUCCAGUGCCUCAGGCAGGACUGUGUUGUUUGUGUAUGCCACAGUCCUUGAAAGAUCAUUAAACUAUUCAGAAACACGUUGCAGGUUCCAAAACUGUAGAUUGUGUUUAUUUAAGAUAAAGGGAAACAAAUAAGAAGAGGAGACACAAUCACUUUUAAGAAGUACCUCUCUGUGUGAUUUUCCAAGCGUCCUCCCAGCUUAGUCCUUUCAAAUCAAUUAGAAUACUCAUUAGCUCAGGAGUGCAUAGGGUUGGGUGAGUGUCAUUCAUUUGCACUGCAACCUUCUCUGGAAAUUCUUCCCAGCUGACGCUUCCUCCAGACCUUGUCUCAAAACGUGCUAUGAUAUCUUGAAGCGAGGCUGAGCACAGAGUGUACUGCUGCUUCAGACGAAGAGCCUUUCCUUCAUUUGACUCAUCUCCAGGAUAAAACACGUAGCAAAUCUAGUUCCAUUAGAAGGAGAAGGGAAUAAAACAAUAUGUAUACUUGGAAAACUCAGCGUUAAAUAGAGCUUCUGCUGCCUCGGUAUGCUUGCCAGAGUUAUAUGAAGACAAAUCAAAAUCUGCUGAAGGGGCUUUUGUUGACCAGUUGUCUUAGUUUUAUAGCCAGGUAUAGGAACAUCAUAAGCAAACGGCCAGAACGUCUUCUCCACCAAUCCAACGUUUCUUACCAUCUGAUCCAGAAACCACUUUUCCAUAGGAUAUGAGACAUAUCGUUUCUGACAAUUUCCCAAGGAUUGAAAGAAACAGUUAAGUCCACUGUUCAACAUUUUGCUUUGAGGAGGUAAAAAUUAUUGAUAUAGUAAGUGUUCAAUAGCAAUAAGAGAAGAGGAUCUAAAGCCAGUUUUCUGCAGCUUCCUCCUGUCCAUCUUUUGUGAUUAUCUGUUUGAACAAGCCGUACUUGUAUUUAAGUACAUAACCCCAUGCCGGAUAAUUCAAAGUUGCCAUGGAAACCAAAAAGCAAGAGGCAAGUCUCCCAAGUCCACCAUUCCCAAGUGCAGGAUCUGGUUCCUAGAAAAUUGGAAGUGAAGAAAGUGAGCAACUCAGCACACCUGGCCAUAGACCAAUCUCCAAUCCAACUCAGACUUUUGUAGUAAAUUAUAGACCAAUCUCCAGUAAUAAACUCACAUGACUAGCUACACUUUCCAAAUCAAAGCCAAGUCUCUUCAAAGCAUCAGCAUAAGCUCAACUAAGACCAAGGUUACCCUACAAAGGGACAAGAUGGUCACAUAAUAAACCAAGUUAAGUACAAAGAGAAAGGUGGAGACUUUUAAAGCAAAAACUCCAUAGACAAAAUAGUAAGCCUGCUUAGCAUUUAGCAUUCACCCUGUUGUAACACUCAUAAGUAGCGUUCCAGUUCAUGAUAAGAGCGUCCCUAACGCUCUGUGCAGUGGGCGAAGAAACCCUUAGGCAACUCAAACUUCUCAGGAGAAAUGAAGGAGUGUCCGGUUCCAGAGGGUAUUGAUGCUCAUCGUGUACGACCGAGUAUAGAAGGAGGGUUCAAGGAACUAGGCUACUCUGGUCCUGUCUCAAUCACAGCCUAUGGAGACCAAAAACAAACCCCUGAAUACCUCCUACGAGCUCUCUCUUCCACUGGAGUCGCUGUGGUACAUGUCAGAUCUGGUUAGUCUAAUUAGUUUUUAAUAUAUAUAUAUUAAUAAAGUUUAUAGUUAGAUCUUUGUGUAUCUAUAGUGAAUAUUUGUGUCCUUUGUAAUGAAACAGAGAGCACGUGCGCAGUCAUGUAUGAGCAUAUGAUGAAUUGGCGAGAGGAGAAUCCUCCUCCGGCUAUAAUGAUGAUCAUAACCAAUCAGAUGCUAGAUGUCUUCGAUUGGGAUCUGGCCCGGCUACAACAACAACGCACGAGUUACCACCUUUUUCUGGCUUAUACAAUUAGGCAACGUGCAGAAUUGAUCGUGGCCACUCGCAAGGAGUGGCUCUGGGACGACGUCCACAAGCGCGGGUGAAUUAUCUACCGUGUUUCAUUGCGAAUAUUGCUCUUUGGAUUGCCAAAGCCUGAAUUGUUUCAAGGAGCAUCUCUCCACUAAAAAGCAUCAACUCCAAGUAACCAUCCUCUCUCUGCUUAAUUAUUAAAAAAAAAAAAAAGUUCAAAAAUUAAUUGUCUAACUACGACAGGAGGUUGUACGCCCUAAGCCUACAGAACUCAUAUCAGCAACGAAGAGGUGGGUGAAAAACUACGCUGCGACGCCUGAAUAUGCUACAGCUAAAAUCCAUGUGUGGUGGGACAUGUUUGACUGUCCUAUUCCCGACGGUUAUGAUGCUCGUCGGGUCCGUCCUAGUUUGGAAGGAGCUUUCAAGGAACUAGGCUACUCUGGUCCUGUCUCCAUCACUGCCUUUGGCGACCAUACACAAACCCCUAAACGCCACCUUCAAGCCCUCUCUUCCACUGGAAUCGAUGUUGCACAUGCCACUCUUGGUUAGUCCAUUUGGAAUUUAAAAAAAAAAAAAAAAAAAAAAAAAUUAGCAACUAUCCCUUGCAUGCUUUUUACCUUUUCUUUUGUUGAAACAACAGGAGUCAUAUCUUCUCGCAUCUUUGAUGAUUUGAUGGAAUGGCGAGGUCGUAUUACUACUCCGGCUACAAUGAUGAUCAUAUCGGAUGGGGUUGAAGAACUUAUUGCCAAGCUACAACAACGAAUCAAAUUCAACCUGUUUUGGGCUUAUUCUUGUAGGCCUUGGACAAUGUCAGUCGUGCUCACUUCUGCUGAGUGGCUCUGGGAUAGCUUACUUGCAGGUGUUUUGUUUUUACCUCUCUUCUAUCCACUUACAUAUAUAUAUAUAUAUAUAUAUAACCACCAAACUAAUCUCUUAAAGCUAUUAGUUUCAGCGACAAAACGACAUGUUCUUCGGAACUGUAGUGCAAGUGUUGUUGAAUCUACCGGAAUGUUUUAUUGCAAACUGUGCUACACUAAGCGCAAACUCCUGGAUAAAUUCAUUAAGUAUAUUUCGAGUAAAAAACAUCUCUCUGAAGUAAGCACCUUCCCUCUCUCUAUCUCCCUCUCUUUUUGUAAUCAAUACAUUUGUCUAACCAUUUUAGGAAAAAGCAGGAGGCGUGUAUUACUGAUCGUCGUCGACGUUCCAAGAAGCUGCGACUGUUCUGGCUCAGGGCAAGUUUUUUUUCUUAAUGAUACCUUUAUAAUGAUUUUACCACAGACACCAAAAUUGUAUGCUUGCCAUUUCUCAGUAACUCUCAUGUUUUUCAUAUUGUAGAAGCAUCAUUUUCCAGAGAGCAAGCGGUUGAAGAAUGCUCCUUAGUAGAGGAGUUAUGACUUAUAAUUUUCUAAAAAAAUUGUAUACAUUUUUGAAAAUUUUAGUAAUAAAAUUGUAUAAUUUAAAAUAUAUAAUUAAAUUAUAUUUCGAAAUUUAUAAUGUCUUUUGAAUAUAUUUAUUUUAAUGAUGAUUUAUGAGUUAUUUCCAUAUUCUAAAAAAAAUUCUAAAAGUAUAAAUUGACAUUAAAUGUAAUAUAUGAGUUAUUACCAUAUUUAAAAAAUUUACCAAAAAUAUAAAUUAACAUUAAAUUCAAUUGUUCAUGUCAUAUUAAGCUAUAAGCCAUAUCAUCAAUUUCAAUAGCUAUAUUAUAUUUAUUUUGUGAAAUUGGUUGUAUAAAUGAUAUGUGGCAAAAUCACUUCGCAGAUAUAGUGUAGGGGAUUUUCAGGAAUUUACGUAGUAUAUAACAAAAUUUGAUGUGCCCGAAAUUUUGUAUUCAAAGCUCACGUGGUAAUAAUUAUUUUAUAGUGUACAAGACAAAAAAAAUAAAUAUUAUACAAAGCAACUCACAUAUAUAGCUGUACAUUUUUGUCAGUUUUUCACUACAAAAGAUAUUUUUAUGUUAAUCUUUCCCCAUUUUUUUCUUGUUUCCUUGGAGUUCGCCAACAUGGACCAAAGGCUUGAUAAAUAAGAGACCUAUCACGACAGUACAUUUUGUUGGGACUUGGGAGGAAAGAAAAAAGCAUCUACUAUUGAAGCAAAACUGUUGUUUUAGGUGAGGGGGAAUCAUAUACUAGUAAAGAGAAAGGACGAGUUUUCAUUAGUGGGUCAAGAAAAAGACGUGUUUUAUUAGAUCAAUAAGUCGAAACAGUGUUACAAAAGGAGAAGAGAACAAAGGAAUUAGUCCGGCGAAAGAUAGUUCGUCGGACCGUACAAGUCGGCGAGAAGUAAAAUAUAAACCCUAGAUCUAGCCGAAAGUGAGUGUAGUAAUUUGCAAAUCCCCUUCUUUGUUGUCUUUCCUCCUCCUUUUAUAGACACAUGCUCGUUGACCUAAUGUGCUCUGUCUUGAUGGGCCUCCUCGAGUGGUUGGGCUGAGGUGUCGAGCCGCUAACUCGAGCCGUCGAGCCGACGACGUUCGGUUGGUCGUCUCGCCGAUCAAAAACAGUCUAAAGCCGAGCCGAUCACCGGCUCGCAAGUAGACGAACCAACUUUCUUUGUUGUGAUCAUGUGUCUGGAUAAUUGUCUUGUAGGCCUUUUAAGAGUGCUAGGCCCAUACCCAACACGGACGAGAUCGUUAGAGUUAGAUGAUGAAAGUGAUCUUAGCAGAUUCUACAUCUUCAAAAGCUAUUUUGGAAUCAAUUUUUCAUCAUCUAACUUGGAUUUACAUCUUAUCUCUUUAAAUUUCGAUAGUUCUAUUGGACAUAAUUGAAGUAUGAGGUAGCAAACUGUCAUCAUCAGUUGUUUCUUGUGGAUAAACUUAGUUGGCUAGUUUUGUAGAUGUUCUUAAUCUCUUUCUAAUUGUAAUUUUUUUUUUGGUUUCAGUAGACAUGGUAGCUUCUCAAAUGAUCUGAAGUUGAAAAGUGUGGUUGGUCACUUUCUUCAUUUCUCAAUUAUAGUCCUUUACUAUGGCUGGUUAGUUUUGCUUUCAAACCAUUUUUUAAGAAGAAACUUGCAGAAUUUUUUUCUUUUACAUGUUAAAAUAUUAUGCUUUUGAUUGACCUGCAGGAGAAUUAGCCACAAAACUCACCACCAUAACCAUGGACAUGUUGAGAACAACGAAUCUUGGCAUCCUGUAUGUUUUUUUUCGUUGCCUUGUUUCAGCCAACGUGGCGUUUACUAGAUGAAGUCUUUGUUUAUACUGUUUAUGUGAUUGUAGAGGUCGAAGAAAAUCUAUACGAGUUUGGACUAACCGACUCGUUUCUUUAGAUAGGUUGUGGCCUCAAAAAGGUCCUUGUUUUGUUGAUGGGUUCCACUUGUAACGCUUCCCAGCUUGUUGCCAUGGAGGUUGGAGCCUAAUUUUGUUUUGUUUUAUUUUAACAAAGUGUUUCUGAGUUGAGACGAUGAAUGUGCUUCAUAUUUUUGACAAGUACAAGAUUUGGUGCCUAAAUGGAAACAAUUACUAGAUAGCUAAUGCAUUUGAUGGAAUCUGUCGAUUAUUUGUUAAGGUUUGUUGUUUAUGUACUAGGUUUGUUGUUUAUGUACUAAACCUUCCAAAACAACUUGAAUUUUGCAGGUUAUUACUGAUUCAGCUAGUUGUACUUGAUACAUUUGCUUCUCCUGCUCCUUUGAAUGAUAUUCUAAUUUUUGGUUUUACAGUGCAGAGAGAAAAAUAUGUACAUCGUUUCUAAUUUCUUUUUUUUUGUUUGUUUUUGUAUAAUUUUCUUCUUUUUUAGACUAUUCAGGAUAGGCUUCCUGAUCAUGUAUUAAACCUUCCAAACAAAUUGAAUCUUGCAUGUCAUUACUAAUUCAGCUAGCUGUAACAAGUAAACUAGUGAUACAUUUGUUUUUCCUAUUAUAUGAUGAAGUUUCCUAUUCAUAUGUGUUCUAUUCUUUUCAUUUUAAUGGUUUGUUGAUGAUUUGCAUUUUUAUUAAUCAUUUUUUGGAUGUUGUUUAUUUAAUGGUUAUGUGAUAUGCACCAUACCACAUAUAUAUUUGUUUUUGGAAGCCUGUCCUAAAUAAGCUGGAUGAUUCUCCUCGGCCUAGCAGCCAAACUUGCAUAUUUUCCCCAUAAACUCUCUCAAUCCGGGUUCUAUUGCGGUUGAUUCAAAAACAAUUUUUAUAUUUUUUGUCUGAAAACAUCACAAUUUGAAACUUACCAACCAUGCAGAUAUCAAAUCUUUAGUUUUUAAUCUCAUUUCAUUUUAUUAGUUUAAAUUUUACUACAAAGAAACACUCUAACAUUUUAUUCUGGAAACCCAUCCAGAAAACUUAAAAUGCCUUCCAAGAUUCGUGACAGACAAGUGGGAGUUAAAUAAAAUUAUGGUUUGAAAAUUAAUAGAUGAUUCUCCUCAGCCUAGCGGCCAAACUUGUAUACUUUCCCCAUACACUCUUUAACUCCGGGUUCGAUUCACGGUUGAUUCAAAAACAAUUUUUAUCUUUUUUUGUCUGAAAACAUCACAAUUAGAAACUUACCAACCAUGCAGAUAUCAAAUCUUUAGUUUAAAUCUCAUUUCAUUUUUUUAGUUUAAACUUCGCUACAAAUAAACACUCUAACAUUUUAUUCUGGAAACCCAUCCAGAAAACUCAAAAGGCUUUCCAAGAUUUGUGACACACAAGUGGGAGCUAAAUACAAUUAUGUGUUGACAAUUAACAGAUGAUUCUCUUCGGUCUAGCGGCCAAACUUGCUUACCUUCCCCAUACACUCUCUCACUCCGAGUUCGAUUUGAGGUUAUUUCAAAAACAAUUAUUAUAUUUUUUUGUCUGAAAACAUCACAAUCUGAAACUUACCAAACAUGCAUAUAUCAAAUCUUUAGUUUUUAAUCUCAUUUCAUUAUUUUAGUUUAAACUUUGUUACAAAGAAACACUCUUACAUUUUAUUCUCGAAACUCAUUCAGAAAACUUAAAAUGUCUUCCAAGAUUCGUGACACACAUGUGGGAGUUAAAUAAAAUUAUGGUUUGACAAUUAACAGAUGAUUCUCCUCGGUCUAGCGGUCAAAUUUGCAUAUUUUCCCCAUACACUCUCUCACUCCGUGUUCAAUGCACGGUUGAUUCAAAAAGUCACGUUCCAAAACACACACCGCAAGUUUUAUUCUUUGAGAACACGUCUUAACAUUUUCCCCGUAAGUUUCCUUUCUUCUGCCGUCACAUCAUGGUCAAGAAGAAGAAGUUUUCAAAGUCUUUGCAACCGUGUCGGCCAAGCUAUAUAACAAAGAAGAGUACACGAAAGAUAAAAAUAAUAUGGAGAAAGACAUGAUCGAGGACGCUAGAUUCAACACGCCGUUGUUGGUUAUCACGGAGGCUUUCGAGGAACUGGCAGAUUUGCUUAAACCACGGAGGCAAAAACGCGGUGAGAUCAGCAGAAACGACGUCGUAUCAAACGAUGGAUUAAGGCUCGAUGCGUUUUGCAGUGCGUGUACUCACGUCUCUGUUCUCUUCGGCUGCCUUGGCUUCGCCUUCAAAUUCGCUGAGAUGGAGUACGUCUCCAAGGUUCGAAACCGUUAAACUCAAUUUAAUUUUAUAUUGAUAUUUUGUUACAAAUCUUAAGCCUAGUAAGCCUAUGAAACUGAACAAAUGUUUUGUUUAAAAAUUAGGUUAGAGAUUUGGUGGAAGCGUCAAAAACGUUUGAUACGUUACAUAACAUUAUUGAUCUAGAUGUUAUGAAUCAAACGGUUAAGACACAAGGAAGCUAUUCACGAAAUCUCCGACGUGUUAGACUAGGUUUAGAUUUGAUCCGAGCCAUCUUCGAACAAUUCUUGAUGACGAACGAGUACUAUUCUUUGAAAGACGCUGCAACAAAAGCUUACACACAAGUAUGCGCACCGUUUCACACGUGGGCCGUUAGAACAGCUGUUUACGCUGGAAUGCAUACACUUCCGACAAGGGACCAGCUUCUGUUACGACUUAAUGAAACAGGUGAGGUUUUGUUUUGGUUGACUUUUGAUGUUAUUCUUGUUUUCUUUUGGAGAUUUUGAAUCUCACUUGUUGUUUAAUGGAUUUGAAGAUCAAUCUGUGGAGAAGAACAUGAGGAGAUACAUGGAAGCUUCGAGGCCGAUUAUAGAGUAUAUUGACAAGCUUUACAUUGAUAGGAACAUUAAACUGGAUUGGUAGCAAAUUUUGUUACAAAAAGGUUAGUCGCUGGACAUCUAAAAUUGUAGCUUCGUCUUAAGCUCAAUGAUUGUUCUCUCGAUGAUAUUUAAUUCAUUCUCGAAUUUAGAUUUUGGAUUUGAUGGCAAAAUUUUAAAUAGAAAAUAGUAUGAAAAUUAUUGAAUAACAUAGUAUUAUCUUGUUGGUUUAUGAUCUAAUGAAUGCACAAAUUUGUGCUUGUAGUAAUUCUAAGGUUCUGGUGAUCAAGGUGUUUGUCUUCAUCACUUCAUAUGCAAUUACGAGAAUCUUAAUUUUGGGGUUAACCUAUCAUAAAACUAGUUUUCUCAGACAAAUACAAUACUGUACCUUACACUUAACCAUUAAUUUUAAAAAUCGUCAUCGGAUUAUUCAUUGCAAAAUUAGUUGGGUCUCAUUUGGUAGCUUAGUUAUGGUUCAGAACAUAAAAUUUAUAACUAGUUUUGUACCGUUAGACUGAAUCAAAAGCAAGUUAAAACGUACUCCAUUUGAUAUAUUGAAGAUUCCACGUAACACCUCUGUGAGAUUUAGAAUCUGGUUCGAAUAUUCUUUGUUGAAUCCCAACUUUUGAACUUCGUGCGCGUCAGCCGCCCUCAAAUCUUCGUUUAAUUUGAGAUUGAGGCCAUUAACUAAGAAUAGCAUUUUUUUUUGUCGAAACAAUAGCAUGUUGAAAUUUAAAAAACACAUCAAAUUGACUAAUUCAAAUGCAUUUUUGUAGUACUGACUGAACCAACAAUUUAAAAUGUACUCCUUGUUUCUCAAAUAUAUUAAAGUCUUAUAUUAAAACUCCAUGGCACAUAUUGUUUUGUUUUUGGUGAUCGAUGACAUAUAUAGUUUGACCUAAACAAGAAUCAAACGCAUGAUUUUGAUGAUAAAUUCUCUAACGAUCUCGAAGAUGUACGUUAAAAAAAUACAAUUUUAUAAAAUUGAGAACAGUAUAGAAAAAUACAGAAAAUUUAAAAAUAAACACGAGUAACUAUUUAUCCACAACUCAAUUACAGUGACAAGGGACAAUUCACUAUAACUUUAGAAUAAAGAUUAAAAUAUAUAUUUUCUUCUAAAACUUACAAUUCAACUUACUUGCAUAAAAUAAAAAAGAGACCACACUAAUUUUUUUUAUAUAGAGUGAGUUAAUUGCAUUAACCUAGUUAGAUUAAAGCAUAUUAUAAUUUUCGUAAAUCUAUUACAAAUAAUUCUAACUUCUAUAAAACCAUAAUAGUAAUAUUUCAUUUCUAGUGUUAGUUUUUGUCUUGUUUUAGUAUUAUUUGAUUUUGUUAGAUUAUCACCAAAUAUUCGCGAAAUACUUGAUAGAUUAUUUAACGAAAUCCUUUACAAAUCCCGACAUCUCAUCUUAUGAUAAAAUUAUUAUAUAGUCAAGAAUUUAAGUUUAAAGAAUAUAAAUAUGUAUAAAUAAUCAGGAUCAAAGUAUUGAAAAAGAAUAUAACAUAAAAAGAUAAAAUCAUAUUGUUACUUUGAUAAAACCAAACUAUUGAAAAAGAAUAUAACAUUAAAAGAUAAAAUCAUAUUGUUACUUUGACAAAAUCAAAGUAUUGAAUAACAUAAAAAAUAAAAUCAUAUAUAUAUAUAUAUAUACACUAUUAUUUGCGAAGUAAAUUUUUGCAACGGAGUUCUCACGUUAAAAGUUAGAGCGGUUGAUAUCGUUUAUACCCUUAAUGAAUAAAUAAUAUAAAUUAGUGGAACAUAAAACGAAUUUAAAAUCUAUCUGAUUAAAUAAGUGAUUAAAAUUAAUAAUAAUAAGAAUUGUCUAUAAAAUAAAUAAUUAAAAACGAAUUUCUAUUAAUACUAUUAUAUUUAUAUAUUAUAUUAGAUAAUUGACUAUAAAUAAAUAUAAUAAAAUUUUCAAAAAUAAAAAACAUGUUUUAAAACAUAAGAUAAUUCUUAGAUAUAUUCUGUUGUUAUCUGAAAAUAAUAUUUUAUUAUAAAAUUUAUAGUUAGAUAUAAAACAAUUUAUAGUUAAAUGCUAAACAAACAAAUAAAUAUAUUUUCUAAAAUAUAUGUGAAUGUUUUUAAAAUUUAACACAACAAUAAGCAUAAAUAUAUAUAUUGAUAAAACUAAUGAAUAUAUAUUAAUAAUAUUUUGUUUAUAUGUUAUAUUUGAUAAUUGACUAUAAGUAAAUAAAAUAAAAUUCUCAAAAAUAAAAUAUAUUUUAAAAACAUAAGAUAAUUCUUAAAUAUGUUGUGUUUUAUCUGAAAUAAUAUUUUUUAUUAUAAAAUAUAAAGUUUAAUGUUUGAUUUAUCUUUUUAAAAACAUAAUUAAUAAUUUAUUAUGUUGGUUUUGAUUUAAUAGUUAUAAACAGAUAAAUAUCUAUAAGAACAUUAUGCCCACAUGUGCAGGCAGAACACCUAGUAUAACUAUGUUUUAAAAUUAAUUUGUUACUUUAUCAUAAAACUUUUUUUUUGACGUCAAACGGUCAUUUGAGGUGGUCUGGGUAACCAGACCGGAAUAGAAUAACCAAUAAAAAGUAACUCCCUAUAGAAAGAUCUAAGGUUGUCACCACGGAGCAUAACUGCAAGCUGGUUUUGCGCUCGUGGAACAUGAAUGAUGUUGAAAUCUGGGAAGCAUAUUAGUAGCGUCUCUAUCCUCUCCAAUUUCGUCGCAAAGCUUGGCCAAGCUUGAGGUUCAUUUAUCAUUGCAAUCAGCUCCUUACAGUCUGUCCCAAAAUGUGUUGAAUGUUGAAGCAUAUUCUCCAUUGCCCACUGCAAUGCUUCUACCUCCGAGUGCAAAGCUGAUUCGCGUCGAAUGAUAUUCUUUGUCUCCAUAAGUUGAAUGCUUCCCCUACUAUCCAUCCAAGCCCACCCGCAACCACUGAAAUGAGCAGCUGCUGUCCAAGAUCCAUCAAGCAGACAGAUAUUACCCAAGCUUAUGACUUGGGUUUCUCAUUACUAUUCUCUUGCGCCACUGUUUGUACUAUUAUAAAACUUUGAACAUUUAUUACAUCCAUAGUUUUAUAACCUAUGUUACAUGGAAACGGAAGUGAGUACGUUGAAGCAGAAGCGUAUGAAAGUGCAUAAACAAGAUAUUUUUAAAAAAUAGGAAGUGAGUAUGUGUGGAAGCGUGUACGUAUAUAUAUAAGAAUUCUUUUAAAAAAUAUAAAACUAAAAAUUAUGAUUUAAAUUUUAAGUAAAAUAUUUUUUCAUGUAUAAUAAUUUGAAAUGAUUUCAUAUUAAGAUUGUGAAAAUGCAUAUAAAUUAAAUUUAAAAUAAAUUAUUAUAUUAAUUAUUUUAAAUAUUUUAUAUUAAUUUACAUAAUAUAUUUGCAUAUAUGAUUUAUCUUUGAUAAAAAUUAUAAUUUUAUAUUUUUAUUGAUAUAAGACAUUGUGUUUUUUUAAAGAACGAAAGUGUGCAUUCAAAACAGAAUCGUAAACUUCCAACAAUUUAAAAAUAAUAUUUUAGAAGUGUUUUGGAAGCGUCCGUAAGUUUUCACAAGGUUCUGAUUCCAAUUUCGUUUCCGAAACGGAGAACCGCAACGUGCAACAUAGUUUAUAACAGAUGAUUAUGAGAAUUCAUAUGAUAGUUUUACUCAUAAAUAUUUAUAAUUAAUCCAUAUAACUGUUAAUAAAUGAAGUGAUUCUGAAUCCUUAAAAGUUAAAGACUGGAGAUCUAGGUGACUUCAUUUCAACAUUUAAACUCUACUAUUAAAGAUCCAAAUCAAAAUAAAUUAAGCAGAUACUCUGCAAAUAUCUUAAUUAGAAAGACGUGACAGACAGCUGUCAAAAAGAUAGAGCGAGUCAAAAAUCCCGAAAUCACGCGCUUUCCUUCCUACUUAUGACAACAACAACUUGUCUGAAGUCCUUUUCCGUUAAUUAAAAAUGGGCCUCCUUAUCGUGAUUGAAGAAAGAUAAAAAAGCCUCUCAAGGGCCCUCUCGUAAUUUCAACUAAUAGAAAAGGAUAAUACCGUAAUUAAUAGCCUUCUAUCUACGUGGAGCCAAUCACUACCCUUGAUCUUAUCCCCAAAUCGAAACCCUAGCUCCUCUUUUUUUUAUAUUAUUCAAAUUCCUCUUCUUCCUUUCUCCUUUCUUCUCUCUGUUUUCUUCUUCUUCUCUUUCGAUUUGGGGGAGUCUUUUAUAGAGAUGGCGUGGUGGUCGGAAACGAUGUCGUAUUGCGGGUGGAACGAGCGGCAUGUGAGGAACGCGAAGGGGAAGGUGGAGGCUCGUUAUUAUCUGGAGAGGAAAGACGGAGGUGUAGAUCUGGCUGUUGUAGGGAGGGUGAAGAGCUCUUCUAAGCGCAUGUCGUUUAGGUACGCCUUGAAGAAGAAUCACUCCGUCUUGAAGAAGCUUGGUUCGGUAGAAGACGUCAAGGGUUGGCUCGAUUCGAUUGUUUCGGGUAAUUUUUCUCAAUCUCAAUCUUAAUUUCGAUUUCUUCUUCUUCUCAUCCUUCUUUCUCUAGAUUUGUAUUGUUUGGAUUUUAAAGUUCAGAUCUGGAAUCGUAUGAGCUCUAAAAGAGGUUUUCUGAUUGCGAAUUCGCUUUGUUUUUUUAAAAAAAAUUGAUUUUUUUUCAUUGGGAUGAGAAGAUUUUGAUUAAGAGGGUAGAAUAGAUCGCUUGUGAGAUAGAAGAUAGCAUGACGGGUCUGAAGCCGUGGCUAAAUCUAAAUCUCAAAGUCUCUGUUUUUUUUUUUUUUUUUAGUUUUGAUAGGGGGUUUCUGGUGAAUCCUUUGGAUUUGUAUGUUAGAUCUCAAGUCCUGUAGGUUGGCGGCUUAGAAUAAAAGAGGAAGAAGAGGAUAACGUUAUAGUUAGCCCAAAGUCCCAACCUUUUGAAUAGAUUUUUGACAAAAAAAAACGAGCUACCACAACCUUAUCAUGUCUUCUAAAAGUUAGCUUCUGGUUUGAAUGGAGGAAGAUAGGGUGAACAAUUGACUCUCAAGUUAUGAUUGAGUCAUGUGAUUGCCUGCUAGGAAAAGGUUAAUGAGGUACUUAUUUGUUUGUUUGCAGGAAGGAUAUGUUUGUGGAAAUAUUUGUUCUUUUGUGUUACAACUCUUACAUCCUUUCGUUGCGCCUUUUGCAGCUAAAUCUAUUUAUGACUUAAAUUUUGCUGCAGACAGAUCCGCUCUCCACCUUUUGGUACUGAGCAUGUCUGCACCAAUUGACUUUUUCUUCGUCUUUUAAGUUUCCUUGUACUGAGUUGACAUGUGUUGAAAUUUUGCUGAUCUCUUUUGGUUUCUUAUUUUUAUUCAAUUUCUUAGGUGAGAUGCCUCAUCUAGCAGAUGUACCGGCUACUACCAUGACUGAACAAGCUGCUGGAGGAUUCAACAUUCGCACUUCUAUGGUAUAUUGCUUUCAAUCAAAUUUUAGGAAUUUUUUAUAUUUUCUUCACGUAUCAGAGUGGUUCCUUGUUAGAAAACAAUAUGUUGAAUCUCCUUUUUUUUUUGUUUCUUUUCAGAGUGGUAAAUAUCAAAAGCCUAUUCAUCCGACCAUUGAUUUUUCCUGGAUGGGUUCGUCUUGGACUUGCAGGAAACGGCGUAGGCAUUAUCCGUCUUUCUCCCGGAACGGUGUCAAAGUCUCGGUGAGUUUCUAUUCUAAACAAAUUUGUGAUGUUUUCUGUAUGUAGUCAUAUUAUGUUUCUUUUCAUUUGGGUAAAAACUGACCUUUCUUUUCAUUGCAGGUGAAUGAUUUUGUGUAUGUUUUAGCGGAGCAAAACAAGAGACUCGUCGCGUACUUGGAAGACCUUUAUGAGGAUUCCAAAGGCAACAAGAUGGUCGUGGUACGAUGGUUUCACAAAACUGAUGAAGUUGGUGUUGUUUUGUCUGAUGAAACUGUUGACAGAGAGAUUUUCUUUUCUCUUUGUCUUCAAGAUAUCAAAAUCGAAUGCAUAGAUGGAUUGGCCACUGUCCUCAGUCCUCAGCAUUAUGAUAAAUUUCUCAAGUUGCCAAUGUCUGUUCAGCUACCACCUUUCUUCUGCCAGAAAAUAUAUGGAGAUGAUGGUUUAAAGCCGUAUGACAUCACGCAGUUACAAGCCUACUGGAGACAAGAAAUGCUAAGAUACUUGAAUGUUUCCAAUAUUAAGUCGGGUGAAGGUGCUCAGACACUUGGCACUGACUCAGCAACAGGAGCUUCUCUUGUUGGCUGUGUUGGAAUUAGAUCCAAACGGCGCCGUUCUGCAGAUGGCAUCACAGAUGACUGCAAAGCUAGCCCUGAUUCUGUUGACGUGGAGGCUUUAGAAGCUUCUAUGUGCAAGGAAGAAAAAGAUGGUUAUUACCUAAAAAAGGGUUCUCUGAUUGAAGUUCUUUCCCAAGAUAGUGGCAUCAGAGGUUGUUGGUUGAAGGCUUUGAUAGUGAAGAAACACAAGGACAAGGUUAAGGUCCAGUACCAAGACAUUACGGAUGCAGAUGAUGAAUCUAAAAAGCUAGAGGUACAUAUUCGGAAACCCACCCUUCGGUUUUGUUUUCUACCUUCCACUGUGUUAACAUGUUUCAUUUAUUGGUUGCAGGAGUGGAUUUUGGCAUCUCGUGUUGCUGAUAGCGAUCACCUGGGUCUUAGAACCGCAGGACGGAAGAUAGUACGCCCAGUUCUGAAGCCCAGCAACGAAAAUAAUGUAUGGGUUGUCGGUGUUGGUAUGCCUGUGGAUGUGUGGUGGUGUGAUGGAUGGUGGGAAGGGAUCGUGGUGGAGAAAGUUUCAGAAGAGAAAUUUGAAGUUUACCUGCCAGGUGAGUUAAGACUUUAGAUAUGAAUGGAAGUAUGAUAGUAGAUUUGUUGAAGGUAUAUAUCUAACUGUUGUUUUGUUGGUUGUUUCCUCAGGUGAAAAGAAAAUAUCUUCCUUCCAUCGCAGUGAUCUUAGACAGUCUAUAGAAUGGUCGGCAGAUGAGUGGGUACACAUAAAUUCAAGAUCUGAUCUCGUGAGUUCUGUCCUAUCCUUGAUGAAGGAGAACGAGGCCGAGGUGAAACAUGAUGAAAAGCUAUCUGAAGUUGUUGUGAUGUCACCAAAGGGUGAAGCUAAACCCACCAUCUCUCUUCCGGUAGCUACAUCCGAUAAGCCAUCUACUAAGCAGCCAGUUCCAGAUCUUCUAAAAGACGUCUUAGUCUCUGCUUUAAACUGGGAGCCAUCGAAGAAGCGGAAAAGAACUGCCAGUUACUGCAAACACAAGCCUAGCGCGACUGAAGGUUUGUCGCGUGAAAGAUCCUUGGAUUGUAAGAAGUGCAGUUCCAUGGGAGAUUCUCUGUUUAGCUCUUCCGUUGUUGGCUGGAGGAAGCGUAAUCGAAUUGUUAGUUGCUGCCCCCACAAGCCUAGCCUAACUGAUGGUUUCUCUUGUGAAAAGCCCUUGGACUGUGAGAACGGCAAGUUCAUGGGAGACUCCGUGUUCGGCUCCUCGGUUGGGCAGCCUUUGACUGGUCUAGUAAUGUCAAGAUGAUGAUCAGCUUUGGGGAUUGGAGUGUGUGUUUCGUCUUGUGAGGUACAUAUGGGGCAUUUGCUUAAUGCGGUGUUGGUGUUGGGUUUUAGAUUAUUGUGACUCGCAAGAUUUUCUUUGGGAUUUAUAGGUUUUUAGCUCGUCAUGGCAUCCAAAUUCGUUUGUGUAUGUGUAACAGUAGGCAUUAGAGCUUUCAAUACAAGCUGCAAGUUUUGGGUGCAAUAGAAGGGUAGGUAAUGGCAUUACCUCGCUAGGUGUUUUAGACGCUAAACAGUGUUUUUUCUUAGAAUUGAUUUUAUCUUUUUUUCUUUCUUUAGCAUAGAGAACUGAUUUGUUUUUCUUUUCUGGUGUGGUGGGAUCAUGUAAACUAUGUAUUAUCAAAUAAAACCAAAUCUCUUUUACCUUGAGUUUACCUCCAGUGUUCAUAUAAUGUAUAUAUAUACUCUUUCGUACAUGUCUUGAAUUGUGUAAGCUGAUGUGAGGCUCACUGAUUAUAUGAAACGUUGAAGCAUUGGUUUGUGAAUCUGUUUUGAUAUUUUCGAAGUUACAGGACACAUGAUUUGUUACCGGUACCGUUAGUAAUUCUAUCCUUGUCCAUGUCCCCCCAUAAGGGUUUUGUGGGAGCAUUAAGUCGGGACCAGCAAAUGAAAUGGAUCUUCUUAGGUUGCAAGUUUAGCUGGUAAAAAGUGAUGUUGAGGAGAUUGGGAAACCUAUCAUUUAUUCAGUUUUGAUAUAUCUCAUUGAUUGCAUGACUGUAAGAGCAAUUGUUAUAAACCCUUAACUUUGAUGAAAAUGAGUGUUUGAUCUUAAUCCGCUUUUUGCUAUUAAUGAUUGGAUAUACCAAAGCGAGGUAAGGAAAAAAAAAAGGUAAAGAGGAGCUAAGUAAUAAAUGUAUAACUAUAGAGACUCGGACAGAACUCAGAAGCUGUCCUCUACUAUGAAUGAUAUUGGUUGGACAAUUGGAUUUAAAAGAUAGUUGAUACUUGAUAGUUAGUUGUAUUUGUUCUGUUUUGUGUCUUUAAACUUGAUUUUCUUCAUAGAGUGAAGCAAAAAGAAAAGGAUAGGCUUCCACUGUCAUCUGCUUGAGAAGAUUUGCUAGCUCUCAGGAAUAGUGACACUCCUUUUCGCACUAUGGUUUGGUGGUUUAUGUGGGAUGCUUGAUUCCUGUUUUAUUUGUCUUCCUUGUACAACGAGAGACAUUGUAAUGGCUUCUCUGUCUAAAAUCGUAGACCAAAAGCUUGGAGCAUCAUCAAGAAGCAAGCUCUCAAUAACAAGUGAAAGCUACUUUCGCAUUUCUAUCCAUGCCCCUUGUUCGUAUUGUUUUUUUUUCUUUCUGUUUUUUACUUAGCUUCUAGUAUAGUUAUUCUUCAAACACUUCUGUUUUAGAAUCAUUCAACUCUUUGUUUUUGUUUUGGAUAAUGAUUUCGUCUGUAAUCAGAUUCAGGAGAUUGUUUUAUCAGCAGACAUCAGAUGUAGCGACUGCCAAGAGAAGAUCGCUGACAUUCUUGACAUGUCACAUAUUCACAGGUGACCGGAGAGUCACCAAAUCAUAUGGGGAAGCCCCUUCUCUGCAAAAUGUCCACCUUCAAGCGUAGGAUAUUUCCUUCUUCCAGGAAACAACAACAACAACUCAAUGUUGCUUAGUUCUUAUUUUUAUCAUCAUCCUCUUUGUAAUAUGAUGUCAAUAAGAUGGGAUAAUGUUUUAGAUAUGAUGGUAACAAAUAACUCUCAAUAGCAAAUUAUCAUAGACAAAGGAAAACAAAAAAAAGUUCUGAAUUCUUGAAUUGCAGAAAAAAAAACGAUUUAUUGGGAAGUUAAAUUGCCGCCACUUUGUUGCCAGAGAUUGAUGAUGUCAGUAGCUUGAUUAAGGAGAAUAAUCAUCUUCUUCUGAGAGAUCCAUGGCUUAGCUUCGAGAGUAGUCUUGAGCUCUUCCCAAGCAUCUUUUCUUGGCCAGAAGAAGUAAGGACUCAGUGGGAUUGUCCCAUGUCCAGGGACAUGCUGGUCCAAUCCUAAUCCUAUGUUCUUCUCCAUCCACACAAACUUAAGAACCACUCUUGCCUUCUCAUCUUGUUGAUUCACCACCUAACCACACAACAACAACAGCUAUGAUUUUUGAGUUUUGUCUUAAAACAUAACACAAGUAGAAGAGUGUGUUGUUGCUAUGUUACCUUUUUUGGUUGUGGAGUGUCGGAAGUAUCAAUGCCGGUGACUGGUUCAGAAGUGAGUGUCUCUGGAGCUGCAAGAGCCACGGUUCUCCGGUUUAGAGAAAUGGGAUUGGUGGACUGGUUAAGGAACGAGGGUGAAGCUUUGAUGGAGAGUUUUGGAUGUUGAGAGAUGAAAGAAGAGCAGAGGGAAGCAGACGAGAGAGAUGAGUGGAGUGCCAUUGAUGACAUCAUUUUUUUUUUCUUUGUUUCUUGAGAGAGCAAUGGAGAUUUUAUGAGAAUGGAUAAGAAAGAAGAUAUGGUUGUUCCAUUUUGGGUGGUGCUACAGAGAAGUUGACCGUUGGUAUGAAAUUAAAUGGGCUUUAUUGACUUGGCCCAUUUGUUCUGUGAACUCUGGCCCAGAAAAUCUUAAAUUGGACCUAAUUAAUCAUUAUGUGUGACCCAAUAACCCGUAGACCCGCUUUAAGAUCCGAAAGGUGUGUCCGAUUUGAUCAUCAACUUGUUUCUGAUUAUCAAUCUGAUUUAUUAAGAUUUGAAUUUCGUUUUGAAUCUGUCUCUGUUGGCAAGUUGAUUGUUUUUUUUUUCUUUUGAACUCCUUACUGAUGUGUGUUGUUAUAUGAUCUCUACUUCGGAAUCACAUCCACAGGAAAACUUUAGAUAUUGCUUGUCCCAACAAGCUUGGUUUUCCUCUCACUGCUUGCCUUAGAUAUUGCUAGUCACUGGCUCCAAAUGUACAUGUACACUUUGUAAUCUUCAUUCAGCUUCUAUAUUUUUAUAUAUAGUUUUUGUACAUAGCAGAACCAGAACAAAAAUUAAUACUCGAAUCACUGCUUCUGAUUUCUCGUUUGAAUUGAUGCGGCGGUAAUAAACCUAGGAAGAGAGCUUCGAUGGUUUGGUGGUAAGUAUAAUUUUCAUACUAUCUUAUAGCAGUUUGAACAUCUACUUUUGUUUGUUUGUUUGUCUAAUUAAUGUCAAUUACUCUCUGGAAACAGCAUUGCCUGUAUCAUACUUAGUUGGUUUUAUUAACGCUUGGUGUCAUUGUUUCUUCAGCAUUGCCUUUAUUAACGCUUGAUGUCAUUGUUUAAACUUCCAUUAAACCAUUAUAAUUAAGUGUCUCUUAACAAAAUUUCUUAUUAAAAAUUCACUAAGAACCCUUAAGUAGGUUUUACCUAUAAACAUGCUCUAACUCCUCUACUAAGAGUUAAAAAUGAUACUCCUACAAUUAAAAAUGUAUUUUGAUGUCAUGGAAGCAUAUAAACUAUAUAUUUAAGCUUUUAUGUUAUCCAUUUUAAAUAGUUAUUUUAAUAUUUAAUACCAAAGUGAUUAUAUUUAUAUUUUAUUUAAAUAUAUAUAUAUAUAUGUAUAUAUUAUCUAUUUUUCUUUUAUCAAAGAUGUAAUAUAUAUUUUUAAACAAUUGAAAGGUCCAAAACAUCCCGCAGCGGAGCCCGGCUUAUUUUCCAUAUUAAAAGGUCUACUAUUACAAGUCAAAAAAGUGAUUUAGCCACUUAGCACACAAACAGUAACUAAACAGCAAAUAACACGAUUAAACUUAUAUAUAUAGAGCAAUAUUGUUUGGUGAAAUAAACAAGCAAAACAAAAUAAAAAGGUGCGUCCAAAAAGAAAAAUAAAAUAAUUCAAACAGAAACACAGACUAGAAAACGAAAAAUAAAGAUAGGAUCAGACUGAUAACUUAAGUCAUAACUCCUCUACUAAGGAGCAUUCUUCAACCGCUUGCUCUCUGGAAAAUGAUGCUUCUACAAUAUGAAAAACAUGAGAGUUACUGAGAAAUGGCAAGCAUACAAUUUUGGUGUCUGUGGUAAAAUCAUUAUAAAGGUAUCAUUAAGAAAAAAAACUUGCCCUGAGCCAGAACAGUCGCAGCUUCUUGGAACGUCGACGACGAUCAGUAAUACACGCCUCCUGCUUUUUCCUAAAAUGGUUAGACAAAUGUAUUGAUUACAAAAAGAGAGGGAGAUAGAGAGAGGGAAGGUGCUUACUUCAGAGAGAUGUUUUUUACUCGAAAUAUACUUAAUGAAUUUAUCCAGGAGUUUGCGCUUAGUGUAGCACAGUUUGCAAUAAAACAUUCCGGUAGAUUCAACAACACUUGCACUACAGUUCCGAAGAACAUGUCGUUUUGUCGCUGAAACUAAUAGCUUUAAGAGAUUAGUUUGGUGGUUAUAUAUAUAUAUAUAUAUAUAUGUAAGUGGAUAGAAGAGAGGUAAAAACAAAACACCUGCAAGUAAGCUAUCCCAGAGCCACUCAGCAGAAGUGAGCACGACUGACAUUGUCCAAGGCCUACAAGAAUAAGCCCAAAACAGGUUGAAUUUGAUUCGUUGUUGUAGCUUGGCAAUAAGUUCUUCAACCCCAUCCGAUAUGAUCAUCAUUGUAGCCGGAGUAGUAAUACGACCUCGCCAUUCCAUCAAAUCAUCAAAGAUGCGAGAAGAUAUGACUCCUGUUGUUUCAACAAAAGAAAAGGUAAAAAGCAUGCAAGGGAUAGUUGCUAAUUUUUUUUUUUUUUUUUUUUUUUUUAAAUUCCAAAUGGACUAACCAAGAGUGGCAUGUGCAACAUCGAUUCCAGUGGAAGAGAGGGCUUGAAGGUGGCGUUUAGGGGUUUGUGUAUGGUCACCAAAGGCAGUGAUGGAGACAGGACCAGAGUAGCCUAGUUCCUUGAAAGCUCCUUCCAAACUAGGACGGACCCGACGAGCAUCAUAACCGUCGGGAAUAGGACAGUCAAACAUGUCCCACCACACAUGGAUUUUAGCUGUAGCAUAUUCAGGCGUCGCAGCGUAGUUUUUCCCCCACCUCUUCGUUGCUGAUAUGAGUUCUGUAGGCUGAGGGCGUAUAACCUCCUGUAGUAGUUAGACAAUUAAUUUUUGAACUCUUUUUUUAAUAAUUAAGCAGAGAGAGAGAAAGAUCUAACUAUAAACUUUAUUAAUAUAUAUAUAUUAAAAACUAAUUAGACUAACCAGAUCUGACAUGUACCACAGCGACUCCAGUGGAAGAGAGAGCUCGUAGGAGGUAUUCAGGGGUUUGUUUUUGGUCUCCAUAGGCUGUGAUUGAGACAGGAGCAAAGUAGCCUAGUUCCUUGAACCCUCCUUCUAUACUCGGUCGUACACGAUGAGCAUCAAUACCCUCUGGAACCGGACACUCCUUCAUGUCCCACCACACCGCUAUUUUCCCUGUCUUCGCCGCAUCGUUUAGACUCAUCCUCUCUAAACCUUGUCCUCGGGUUUGUUUUCCUCUUUUUUUUUUUCUUAAUAUAUGUUUAUAUAUGCGUGCCACCGCACUAUUGGGCCUAACCUAAACCCACUUAAGCUGUGGGCCUGCGAGUUCGAUGUUUUUAUCUUUUUUCUUAGAAUAUAGAGAAAUUGCAGCCAUAACCAAUAUUUGCACAUAUAGAAAAUGUACUUUUUUCCACGGGGAUAAGCAACUCAAUUGGCUAAUAUAUAAAUUUCUAGAAAGGCUAUCGUAACAAAGCGUCCCUACGUGCAUGAAAAGGUGUCACAACGUUACACAAUUCAAUAUAUAUAAAUAUAUAUAUAUCGAUAAAGAAAGACGAAACCAUUCAUCAAGUUUCUUCAACAAGUCACACAAACAAUGAACCCUUCGUCCAACUUCACACAAGGCCUAACCCAUGGUAAACCCAAGGGUUGGUCGACUGAUCUAUGCGAAUGUUGGAGGGACAUAAACUCAUGUUGCCUGACUUGUUGGUGUCCAUGUGUUGCCUUUGGACGCAUCGCCGAGAUUGUAGACAGAGGAGGAUCAUCAUGUGGUGUGAGCGGAGCGAUGUACAUGAUCAUAUUCAUGCUUACUGGAUACGCAGGGAGUAGUCUCUACUCUUGCUUUUACCGAACCAAACUUAGAGGCCAGUACAAUCUCAAGGAGAGGCCAUGCUGUGAUUGUUGCGUCCAUUUUUGCUGCGAGCCGUGCGCUCUUUGUCAAGAGUAUAGGCAACUUGAGCACAAACGCGCCUUCGACUUGUCCAUUGGGUGGCAUGGGAACAUGGAACGACAGGCACGAAUGGCUAUGUCUGCUUCUGCAUCUGCGGUUCCUCCAUCGCUUCAACCGCCCAUGUCUAGGCUGAAUUAGAUUGGUUCUUAUCUGUUUUAACUAUUAGUUGGUUUGGAUCCUGUGAUGUAAUUUGUAUUAAUUCGUAAUUGUCAUUCAUUAUCUUGGCAAGUGUUAUUUUACAAGUACUUGGAUUGCUACCAUGUAGAAUUGUAAAACGAAGUUUCAUUCUCAACAAUUCUGGUAAGUAACAAAUCGUAGUUUAAAUUUUUUUUCCUGUGAUAUACUGUGUCGUGUGUGUCUGUGGACCAGAGGAAAGUCUAGAUUAUAAUUAUGUAUCGAGACUUUCUUUAUACGUGCCAUAAAUUUUACAAUUAUACUUAUAAAUUUAUGGGUUAUAAUUUCAAAAUAAAAUUGUAUAGAUAUAGAUGACUAUAUCAUUAAUUUAAAUAUACUUUAAUAGCUUUUUAAACAUUAUCAUAUAUAAUUUGAAUCGGCGUUGUUUCUCAAGCAUACAUGGUAUGCACUGUUUUGUUGGUUUUAUACCAAACUUUGCUUACUGCUACUUCAAGAAAAAUAUGACAUCAAAUCUUUGAUAAAAUGGCAACCAAUUUCAGCAUACAGUUUUGACCGCCAAUAUUAUUAAUAAUGCUAAUGGUUCAAACAGUGAUUAAACCAUUAGUGAUAUUCUCACAUGUUGAGAUGUUUCCUCACGGAUAUGCUAAAACUAGUUAAAUACUUAAAAUGAAAAGAUUGGUGCAUGAACAAUGAAGAACAAGAGUGGGAACUUAUCUUUCUGGUAAGUGUAUUAUGACAAAACUAUUCAACCAAUUCCACAUUUCUUCUGACCCUAUGCCGUGGAAAAUGCUAGACUACCACCCACCACCACAAUAUUUGAUGCUUACGUGCCACAUUUUCAUCAUUGCGAAGAAAUAAAAACAAACUAUAACACGAUUUGUUGAAUAGGCCAUCGACUAGCUUACAAAGAAAAAAUAACGUUGAAUAUUUGCCUCCCAGCUCAUUGGAUAAGAACAAUUCUUUUGAGUCUGUUCACACGUUUCCAUUAUAGAAGCAUUGACGUCAACAUUCUGAAGAUUAAAAAGUAAAUAUGAAUGAAAAACCCUAUUUUAUAUAUAAUUUGUCUCAACCAAAACAAGUUUAUAUUUUUGUUGGAUCAAUGGAAAAUUCAUACUUUUUUAGUAAAAAUGUGUAGUUUUAGUAUUUAUAUGGUAAAAAUUAAUGCCUACUAAAGUUAUACUUAAUUUAGCUCGGUCAACACAAGUACAUAUGUCUUUUAAAUUAACGAAGAAUUCAUGUUUUUUAGGACAAAACUGUAUAAAUUCAUUAUUUAUUUGACUUCUUUCUCCGAAGAAAAGUUACAGUUUAUAAUAAACAUAAUAUUGUAUAUUGAUGGAAAAAAUAAAGUGGAAUUGGUUUCAAACUUACAUUUUAUAUCCUUCCAUUUUAUAUCCUUCUCCUAUAUAAAAACCUCUCAAAUACAUCAUCAGUCCCCAAACUCUCUAUUUAAAGCUCUUUUUACAACUAUCUAGUAAAAGCUCUUUUGGUGUCACGAAGCACAAACCACACUUGAAAAAAGGAAAAUGGAAGCAACCACAAUUACCCAUGUGACGACCAAUAAUCCUAAUUAUAACACCACCAUUCAUGGACCGGUCGUAGAAGAAGUGGAAGACCUUAUUAGAGUCUACAAAGACGGUCACGUGGAACGAACUCAGUUCGUGCCGUGUGUGGAUCCCUCACUACCCCUCGAGCUUGGUGUGGCUUGCUCUGAUGUUCAGAUAGACGAGUUGACAAACGUAUGGGCACGUCUCUAUGUCCCAACGGUGAACAUCUCCUCGUCCGUCUCUAAGCUCCCUUUGCUUGUUUAUUUCCACGGUGGAGGCUUCUGCGCCGGCUCGGCUUCUUGGUCGUGUUACCACCAGUUCUUGGGCCGAUUGUCAGCUAAAUCACGGUGUCUGGUCAUGCAUGUAAACUACCGUUUAGCCCCUGAGAACCCUCUUCCGGCAGCAUACGAAGAUGGAGUCAAUGCCAUUCUUUGGCUCAAGAAAACAAGAAAUGAUAACUUGUGGUCCGAGCUAUGUGACUUUGGCAGUAUAUUCUUAGCCGGAGACAGCGCCGGAGGCAACAUCGCCAACCAUGUAGCUUCGAGAUUAGCAGACGUUGACGCUCUUAUAAAGCCAUUGAUAAUAGAAGGAACGAUCUUGAUCCAGCCUUUCUUCGGUGGGGAGGCGCGUACCAAGAGCGAGAUGCGCGUGGAGAACAACACGGCGAGCUCAGUGCUGACACUUACGUCUUCAGACACGUGGUGGAGGCUGGCUUUGCCGCGUGACGCAAACAGAGAGCAUCCGUAUUGUAAACCGGUGAAGAUCACGACGAGGACGCUGGUUUGUGUGGCGGAGAUGGAUGUGCUGAUGGAUAGGGCGAUGGAGAUGUGCGAUAGCGAUGAGAAAAUGAUCAAGUGCGUGGUAUACAAAGGCGUUGGUCAUGCGUUUCAGAUUCUUGAUGAGUCUUCGCUUGCUACCACGAUGACUCUUCAAAUGUUGUGCGACAUCGAUGCUUUCAUCCACCACUCUGAGAAUUUAAAUUAGUUAUGUAUAUGUAACCUGUUUAUGGUAGCACUUCUAUGUUUGCAUCUUAGAUUUUUUUUUGUCACAAAUGUUCGUAUCAUAGAUAGUUAGAUACUAAAAUGUUUUUAGGAACUAAAAGAACUUGAUAAUAACAUGCGUUCUGCAGGAUAAAGUAUCUAUUAAUUAUUAUAUAACAUUUGAUUUUAAAAUUACAGGAAAAAAUAAAAUUUUAAAUGUCUAGAGGUUUUGAAAACAUAUUGAGAGCACAAUUAUGUAAUCAGCAUUUUUUAAUGUGUUCGUGUUGUUGCGUGCAUGAACUAGGCCAACCAAUUAUCUUAUCGAAAGAUGACCUAGUAUUUGAGUUCAUGCUAAAAUUUGAGACCAAAGUUAAGUUUGUAACUAAUAAUUUACUCCAUCUGUUUUUAGGUGUUAUUCUAACAUUUUUUUGUUACGCAAAAAUAUUACUUUAGAAUUUUAAUGUAAAUUAUAUUUAUUUUCAGUUGAAAAUUAAUUACAAACUAUAUUGAUUACAAACUACGUUGAUUUUAUAAAUAAUUUUAUUUGGCUCAAAUACUAUUGGUCAAAUAUGUGUAAUUAAUAUCAGUUUAAAUAUAUUUCAGUCACUUUCUUAAUCUGUGUGAAAACUGUCAAAAUGACAUUUAUUAAAAAAACAGAAUAAGUAUUUGAUAGUAAUUCAGUUAAAAAAAAAACUUAUUUGAUAAUUAAAGAAAGGAGAGGAGAACUGCUAAUAACUAAAAGGACCCUAACUAAAAGUCUCAAAUAAUGUCUCUGAUAAUUGUAGUGGUGGACAAUUUGUAGAUAAAAAGCGUAGUUCACGGUUGGACUUCGUGGCAACCUCAUUUUUUCUUCUUUCUUCUUUUCUAUGCUAUUUUAUUUUUUAUCACAAAGAAAUAAUAAUAAUUUCUAUGAUCAUCUAUGACUUUUGGAAAAUCGGCAUUAUCAAUUUCUAGGACGCAAACUUUGACCAUUUAAUUUUGUUUUCAAUUUUUUUCUCUCGAAUAAUGCAAAAUUUGAAAAUUGGUUGCGUGCUAUAUAUAUAUAUAUAUAUAUAUAUAUAUUCUCAUUUUUUACUUUAGUCGUCGCUUUUAUACUUGUGCAUAUAGAUUAAAAAAUAUUUAAUACUAAACAAAAUCAUCACUAUCAAUAUAUUUAACCACAUUUCAACUAACAGAAAAAUAGAUUAAAAGAUAAAAUCAAUAAAUUUUGCAUUGAAAUUAUAAAACGAUACUUAUUUUGAAAUGAAAAAUUAAUUCUACAGUGACAAGUAAACUAAUGAGAGUAUAUAUUAAGUAGACCAAAAUCAAUCAUGUAGUCAAACGUUAUUCAAACAACAUAUUUACGGUAACCAAUUAUGUAAUCUUAAUUUAAUUUAUGGGAUAAUUUGAAGAAAAAGGCUAAAUCUUGUAAAUUAUCACUAGAAGAUUUAUUAGAUUUUAGGUGUUGGAGCUUAUGACCAAAUAUUUGAGGUUUAUUUUAGGGGGUAAUGCUUACUUUGCGUACUUUUUAUAGUUAGGGUUUGGGGUAUUAGAGUAUAUAGAUGAUUACACUAUUUCCUAAUUUAAAUAUAAAUUACAUAUAAUUCAUAACUUUUUCUUUGUUUUUUUUUCUUAAUUUUUCAUCGAGUGAUAUCGUUUUGAUAUAAUCAUGUUGAAUAUUAGUCUUAACUCAAGUCAAAUGGUCAAGGGUGUACGCUGAGGUUCCUGGACUUGCUAAUUAAAUGUACUUUACCAGUUAUCAAUUGUUGUCAAGUGAUUAAAUUAAUAGGUAAAAUUUGGUACAUUGUAAAAUCCACAACACCUUGUUAGUUUCUUACUCGCGAGUCAUUCCGAUUUCGAGAGCUUGUAUUUUUCGGUCAUCGCUGAAAAAUCAUAAGACGUAAUUAACUUGAAAAUAUGAAGGACAAAAGAAAUAAUAACAGUGAUCAACGCAUGUGUGAUUAACUAUAGUGUUAGAUGUAAUUUAUCCAACAGCGCUUUUCUAUUUUUGUAUGAUUACAAAAAUUAGUUUCAUAUAUUACACUAUAAAGUAUUACUACAUUUAGAUUAAAUUCGUUACUUUGUCAUGACAAAUAAAAAGUUAUUAUCCCUUUGAUAUUAUCGUCUAUAAGUUUUACACCAACAAAAAUUGACGUUUAUCUUCUUUCUCUCUCUCUUGUUGAAGCUUUUUGUGAAAAAAAACUAAUGUUUAUUGCAAACAAGUAUAUAUAUUUAAAUAAAUUUCCUCGUUAGUUUCCUGAUUUUCUCAUCGAAAAAUCAGUUUCCUUAGGAAAUGUAUAGAACCCAUUCAUCUGGAAAAGAACGUUAGAAAAAAAGCGAUUAUAGAUUAUUAUUUGUUAUUACAAUUGAUUUAGAAUAUAUUGUUGUAAUAUAUUUGAAUUGAAAAAAAGAAUGGUAAAUUCUUGUUGUUUCGUUAAUUACUGAAAUCGGAAACUGCGAAAUGUACGGGGAUGUGCCGGUGUUUAUGGCGGAAGGAGAGUUGUUCAGAGAUCAACCGUACGCAGGAGAACUUCCUCAGGGUCUAUGGACCACCGGUCUUUGUGAUUGUCACGAAGAUGGUCACAUUUGUACGUUCCCUUCUUAAUCAUAUUGUCUUUUUAUAAUCAAAUAUAUUCUCUUGUUUGAUUAAAUCUUUCUUGCUCGUCUCAAAAUGGAUUCUUUUAAAGGUUUUAAGACAGCUAUAGUGCCAUGCGUCUCCUUCGCUCAGAACACCGAGAUCGUAAACAGAGGAACCAUACGUAAGAAACACGUUACCUACAUUUUAACAUUGUAAUUAAUAUGUUUGUAAAAAAAAUCUAAAGCUUUAAUUUGAUUUUUUUGGGAAUGUAGCUUGCAUAAACGCAGGCUUGAUUCAUCUAGCGUUAGGAUUUGUGGGUUGCUGCUGGCUUUACGCGUUCCCAAGCAGGUCAAGGCUUAGGGAACAUUUCGCAUUGCCUGAGAAACCAUGCAGUGACUAUUGGGUCCAUAUAUGUUGCACACCGUGUGCUAUCUGCCAAGAGUCUAGAGAACUCAAGAACCAAGGCGCUGACCCUUCCCUCGGUAUGAAAUGGCUUUAGAACCAAAGGAUCUUAGCUUUCUACAAACUAAAAGCUCACAAAAUAUAUUUUCUUGUUUUUUAUUUUUCUUUCAGGUUGGGUUUCGAAUAUAGAGAAAUGGAGACGAGAGAAAAUAACUCCUCCCAUUGUUGUACCAGGCAUGAACCGCUAAGUGUUGCCUUGUCUCUUACGUUUUGUAACUGUUAUGUUAGAUCAUGUUAAUUAGCUUCUUGUUUUUCCUCAGUUUAGCGUAGCGAACAAGUCAAAUAUAAACGAUUCUGAAAUGGUAACGUUUACACAGCGUGCUAAAUAAGUUUAAAACAUAUGAUCUAAAAGGCUACAAAGGAGAGAGCUAUGCUUUCUUUUGGGCCACCACAAGGCUUAGUCCCUUGGUCGGGCUAACCAUAAAGAGCCAAGUGCUCUAAGCCGACAAAUAUAGUCAUGGAUGACCAAAAAGGCACGAGCAGCUUGUCUUGUAGUGAGAAUCCUGUGAAGCUGUUGCAAUGUUUGUUGCCUCAAUAGAUCCGCCUGCAAAAUAUUUAUAUAACCUUUUCAGGAUUUAUUUUUUUAAUUUGUAUUUACUACUAAUUAUUGGUUCUAAAAGCGGUUUUAUUCUCUUUACCUGACGAAGGAAGUUUUCAAGAGUGCCAAGCUUCCCCAUGGCCAUAGCCAUAUGACCCAUAUAGUCAGCAACAUUAGCUGAAGAGUUUGGACCCAUUGAAGCAGAUGAAAGCGUCUCUAGAAGCGAUUGUUGCAGAGCUUCCAUGCCUUGUGACAAUGCAUCCUCUGCUUGCUGAGACGACUGCUGAAGAUUGCAGAUGCCUAUCAACUGCUGAUCAGUCAAUGGAUCCACAUGGUUCCCCAAUAUCUACAAACAACAACACACAAAAAAAAAAACAGAUUAGGUAAAGAAGAUUAAAACCAAUGAUUUGAGUGAACCCUUUGUUUUUUUUUACCUUGAGUAGCUCAGAGGAUCUGAAUCCACCUAACCACAUGAAGAAUCUCUCAGCAGGGGUCUGCCACAUGCCUGAGAGCAUGUGAAAGACGUCGACUUUAGUACCAAUUCCCUUAAGCCUGAAAAUCUCAUCGUAGUGGCUCAUCACAGCGUCCACUAGUACACGUAGCUCGUUGUCACCUAAUUGCGAAUGCACACCCGCUCUUAAGUCGUUGAUCAGCCUUUGAUGUUCCUCCAUCCAACGUGCAUAUUCCAAUUCAAAAGAAAAUACACCUACAACAUAAAAAAAACGACAUUCUUAGUGAGAUCACUUCAGAUUACCAACGUUCUUUAAAAGGAAAGUCUUACCAUUUCCGGCGGCCACAUGAGUGUUUUCUCUUGAAACUCCUCUUUCACUCGAACAUCCCUACAUAAAAAAGAAACCCAUUAAUACAAAUCACAAAAAGGUUGAAACUUGACAUGACAGUGUUUUUCAAACCUGUUGACGAGCUCUUUUGAGCUCUUCCUCUAGCUGAGCUAGCCCGAUCCGACUGUUCUCAAGUUGCUGAACAUAUGCCUAAUUAAGAGACAAUGUAAGCAUAUUCAAAGAUAAUGGAACAUGAAAAAAUUAAGUUUAAUGAAUAAGCUACUAUACUUUUUUCCUUAAUCUGCUUUUCCUAGCAGCCUCCCGGUUCUGAGCAAGUCUUCUAAGGGUCUGCUAAUAAUUUGAAUGUCAAAGUUGAUUAACCUUUAAACAAAAAACUAAGAUCUACCCUUUGUUCAUUUUGUUUCACCUUAGAUUGAUCAGAACAAUUUGUAGCCAAAAGCAUCCCUUGAUUAACUCCAUUUAACUGAUCAAAAAUAAGCUAACAUUUAAACAUAAACUCUACAACAAUAACAAACUCACUAUGCAGUAAUCAAAAAUGAAAAUGAAAGUAGUUUGCAUUGAAAGUGAUGGGCCAAUGAACUCAUGUUAUACCAUACAAAAAGCAUAACAACUUUACAACAAAUCGCAUAUUUUAAAACCAUAUAUUCAUAUUAUAUAUCAAUAAAAAGAAUGAAAUUUUUACAAGCAAUCACAUUUUUUAACCUACAGUCCAUAAAAGUUCAAUCCCAUAUCUACAAAAAGGAAGACACUGUGCAUGUAAUGGGCAGUAAAGCUCAACAACCAAUGAUCCAAGGUGAGAAUCAUUAGAAAAACAGACAAGCUCUUAUUGAAAUAGACGAGAGAGAGAGAGAGGGACACAGUCUCUGAGUAAAUAAUGUUCUGUGAUCGAAUCUCAAGGUGACCCAUCAAUGGCUUAUUACAAAACCAACAAGAGACAAGACAAAACUCCAAGUGUAGAUACAUACAGAAAUGAAAACAGAAUCUUUUGGUGAGAGUGAAUGAAAUUUUAACGAAGAAGACAAAGGAACAAAACCUGAGACUUGUCAUCAGUAUCAAUAUCUGUGGAAGUGUCAGUAUGUUGACUGUUAUCAGCCAUGGCUGAAACCGAAUCACACCACUUGUCUAAACUGCUGUUCACUUCUCCUCCUCCUCCUCCCACUAACCUUGUCCCUCUCUGGUACAUUAACUCCCCUGUGUCCAAACACUCAUCUUCUCCUUCUAGUCUCUCCCUCAUGCCAUAGUCCAUGACCUUAUUAAAAUCAGAGUACACAUUGAAAAAAAAAGUUACAAAAAUAUAUAUUUUAAAAAUAUGGGUUUAGUUGUGUAAUCAAAUAAAUAAAAAGAUCAAAAAUAGAGAUGGGUUUGUUGUAAAGGAAUCAACUUUUAUACCGUAUCAAACGUCGUGUAAUAGUCGUGUAGUGUAAGUUGUUGGAAGCAGCAACAGUGACAUCUGCAGAAAGAUUGGUUUUUUUUUCAAACUCAGCUUAAGACUUUGUACUUGUACAAAAGGUGAAGAAGAAAGAAACUAACUUGGACUCAAACCAACAGCUUCGUCAUGAUGAAACCCGUUGAUGGGUUGAUGAAACUCGUCAAGACAACUAUCUCCUCUGUUUUCAUCAUUAAAAACAUAGAAAAAGAAUGGUCCUUUUGUUAUUUUCUUUUUUUAACAUGUCAAAGCUUUUGAGCUACAGAAGAUGGAAAGGAGAUGUGUUACCUGAAGAAGAAAGAGGCUUGGGAGUAGAAGUCAGGGUUGAAAGGAACGGUCUUGAAGCUGCUUUGCAUUGUUAUUGUUGAGCUUUCUUGUGGAGAAGACUGUGAAGUUUUAAAGGGGAUGGAAGAGGAAGGGGAUUUCAUUAAAGGGUGAAAAGAUGGCGAAUCAGUACGGCUGGCUGUGUGAGAGGAUUCAUCAUUAAUAAAUAGAUACGAAUAAUAAUGUUAAUGCAAAUAUAGAAGAGACAGAGAGAGAAUCAGAGAAAGAUCAAUGAAUUGCGUCUGCGAAGGUGGGAUUUUAGUUUCCCAAUACCCAACACACACAACCACGAACCCCCCCCCCCCAUUUUAUUCUUAUUUUAAGUUAAUUUACUGUUAUAAGUUUACUUUGGACGAUUGUUUGGACUGUAGAAACUAAAUUUAAAUUUAAUUUUUAUUUAUAUUUUUAAAAUUACCAAUCAUUUUUAUAUGAAUUUUUGAAACUAACAUCAUCAAAAAUAAAAAAAAAUAUUUAUAAAAAAUUUAUGUUACAGCAAUAUAUUUUAAGUUAUGGAAAAUUAUAUUGUUGUGUCAAUAUUUUUUACCUUUUAAUUUAAAAUUUAAAGUUAUCGUUGAUAGAUAAAUCAAAAAAAUUACUGAUUAAAUUGUAAAUAAAUUUUUUUACAGUUACAUCCUAACCAAUCAUCACCCUUGCUUCAAAAUAUAAAUAUAUUAUGUGUUAUCAAGAAUCUUACAUAACUUAUAUAUUUAAAAACAAAUACAAAUCAUGUGUAUUUCCGAAAUUUAAUGGGUUUUAUCUAUUUGUUUAAUUUUACUAUUUUGCUAAUAUAGUUCUUGCUGCAGUAAAAGAGUUCAAAACAUAGCAAACCCAUAAUCAUAUUUACCAAUGAUGCUAGUUUAUGGUUUUGUUUGUUUGAUUAUUUCUAGUAAUAUUUAGUUUACUAAAGACAAAAUCAUUAUAACAACACUGCUAAAAUGAACUGGGCAGCCCAAAAGCAAAAAAAAAACGAAAUUAAUUUUAAAAAAGCCAAGCAAGAUCAGUCCAACUAUCAGUAAGAGAUAGUACCCCCACUCGACUGGAACUGGUGUAAAGAAAAUAUAGCUAAAUUUUUUGAAACCCUUGUUCUUUUGAGUUACCAAAUUUCUGAAGUCAUUAGGUUCAAAGUGAAAAUGUUUUGUCUUAGAGAAUUAUAAUUGCGUUCAAUGUUUUUUCUUUUACUUUUAAGCAUAUCUGGGUAAUUUAACCAACAAACCAUUUUUACUGCUUUAUUUUCUGUGCAACCAAACCAUUUUUACUGAUAAAUCUCGAAAAUGUAAUAAUUUAAGCAUGGAAUAAAUGUGUAUAUUUUGUCUGUAUAUAUGUAAUGCAGAGCCUGGAUAUUUCAGAAGCAGAGGGUCAUUUCCAUCUUGUUACUGUCUGCCAAAGUUGAAAAUGGCCUCUCUACAGUGCACUUCGAGUUAUUUUUUCCCCAUUCACUAAAAGGAAAUAUUUACAAACUCUAUUUUUGUUUUAUCUAUCUUUUUUUGUUUAAUUUUUGUUUUAUCUAUCUUUUUUUGUUUAAUUUUUGUUUUAUCUAUCUAAUUCAGUAAAAUAUAGUUAUGCUUAUGACUUAUUCGAAAAUUUAAAUAGGAUUUAGUGGAAAAAAAAUUUAAAUAGGAUAAAACUGUAAUCAAUGCAUAAUUGGAUUGUAUGUAUGAAACUGUAAUCAUGUACUCACGAAUCAUGAUGUAUUGUUGAAACGUUGCGUUUUCUUUCUUUCUCUCCUCUCUUCUGCUAAUGUCAAAAGCAGGUGGAAUUAAGCUAGACCUAUAGCUAGCCUAAGCUGUUAGUUUUUCAACGAUUUUUUUAAUUAAACUUAAUGAGUAUCUAUUUAUUAACUCAUAAGCAGGCUCUGGCUUGGCUUCUGAAGCUGAUGUGAUGUUGAUGGAAAGCGAAUUACUUUCUUUUUUUUUUUGGUCAAACGAAUUACUAUAAUCUUCCAUUUUAUUAAUUUUGAAUACAUAAAAGUUAAACAUUAAUAAAUGAACGAAUUAUAAUAGUGUCCUUCUUUAAUGAUAAAAACCAAAUAAUAUAGCAGAGUUGUUAACUUAUCUUCAGUAGACCGAUGAAGAAGAGCAUUAAAACGAAAGACAUUGCUUGAAAGAAACAUCUUCCUCUUAUAAAUGGAGAAACAAUAAUGAGCCUUACGGUUUUUCUAGAUACCAAAUUAAGUUUGUACAUUUAUUACUGUCUCCUCUUCUAUAACCAGCAAACUCUAGUUCCUCUCGGUAGCUCCACUGACCUUUCUUGUACCAAUAUCCACUCUUUUUAACUCUGAUAAAACAUGCAUAGUAUUAAUUUAUUUGGUAUAAACCGGAAAUUGUAAUACAUAUCUUUUAUCCACCAUGCAGAAAACGUACCAGUUUUGAGAUGGUUUGGACCAUAGAGUACAUUGGCAGAGUCAAUGACGUUUGGGUUCUGUAUAGUCUUGUGGGUAUUUUCUUGUUUUUACUCGUCAGAGUCUUUCCCUCUUCAUUUCUCCGUAUCCUUUGUACCAUUUUUUUAUGAAUUCACUUUCUUAUCUACCUUUUUCUUAGGAGACUAACUCUUUUCCGAUGAUAAAUAAAGUACGUUAGUGUUACGUUUGACCAAAACAAAUCUUCAACAGCUUUCCUAUUGAUGAUUUGAACUUGGAAAAGAAAAGACUCAUGUUUGUUAAUCACUUUGUUGUGGGCAAUAAAGACUAUAGACAUUGCUUUAAAGAAAAAAAGACUAUAGACAUUGCUUAUAAGCCAAACCAAAACUUUUCAGUCUUUGAAAUUUGGAUUCGAAAGGAUGCAACGGGACUUCCCUUACUGGGUGUAAAACCAUUAGAUUACUUUGCAAGAAAAAUCAAAUGAGGGUUUCAAAAGUUAACUAUAUUAAAAAGAAACUAAUCAAAGCAGCCUAGAAUACAAUGGAAAUCAUGGAACUGGAACAGUGUUCACAGGAUUGGUUUUCUACAGCACUUGAGAAAAUAGAUUUAGAGGAUGAUUUUUAUUUUUUGAUCAACAUUUAGAGGAUGAUUACGUUUAACUAUGAGCCUCCAUGAGAAGCUCGUAAAUAAAGAAUGGGGUCUCAUUAAUCUCAUUAUAACUCUGUGGUCAAGCACGGAUAAAAGCAAAUGUGGGCCUUAUCUGCAUAGUUUAAGAGGGUCUUAUUUACUUAUUUAGCAGAAAAAACUAUAAGAAUUUAUGUGUGUUUCUAUGCGUUGUUUAGCAUAACAAUAUGUUGUUUCAACUCUCGUUACCACUGCAUGUUUUUGUUUUUCUUGAACGAAUUCUAGGUUUGGUUCGCGGUGGCAGAGAAACUGGAUCGGAAAAAAGGAGGGGUCAUAUGCAAUUCCAAAAAUAUAAAUAUUCAAGUUUGGCUAGAGCUCAUGAAGCUUUCAUCAACAUUUGUGCUGGCCCGGUUGGGUAAACAAUAAGGUCAGAGACAUUUACAUCAUUUUUUGGGCAUGAACACACUCUUUAGCAUUUGGUAUACUUAAAAUAUACAUAUAAAUCUCUUGGUAACCCAUCCGGAAAAAAUAAUUAAUUUCCUACCAAAUUCCAAUGAAAGGCAAAGAUAAGCCAACAUAUCUACAAGUAUUGGAAAUAGUUUUUUUUUUUUUUUUUUUUUUUUUGGGCAAACUCAUUGGAAUUAGUUAAUUUACCAAAACAAUGAGAGAAGUAAGGAAAUAAUAAUAUACUUUGAAUUAUUCUUGUGACGUAAGGGUAAUAAUGGAACAAUAAACUAAACACACUGUCACACUCUAUACAUGUACUUUGGGAUCCGUAUAUCCCACACAACAAGAUGAUCGAAUCCUAAACGUCCGCGUGGGAUGAUCUCACUACUAAAUAGAGUCUGACGCUAUAUCUUAGCUGCUCUCGCCGGAAGCAGCAUAUCGCCUCCACCGUGAGUUUUCCCGGUUAUUCUCUGUUUGAUUUCGCUCAGCAGAUAUGUGCUCGGUUGUGCAUGUACAUAAAUCAUAAUCUCUUUUGAAAGUCUUAACGUUUUUUGGUUUGGAGCUAAUCGAUGGGUUGGUUCUUAGGGUUUUACUAUGUCAAUAGCAAUGAAUUUCCUCUAUGAUAUUGGUGGAAAAACGUUCUUCGCUGCUGUUGUAAGUGAUUAACUGAGAUGUUGACUUGUUUUAAUAAACUUGUUAAUGAUUUGCUUGCUUCGUAAUUUUGAAGUGUCACAUGAGGAAUGAUUUUUAUUUCCAUUAGAAUUUAGGUAAAUGUUUUGUUUUUGCAGGGCUUCUGAAGAAUUGGCAGAAGUCGAAGCAGAACUGGUUGGUUUUACUGUGUCUUCUCUACCGGCAUGCCUGGUAUUAUCUUCAUCAACACCUGAACCACAUAUUCCCUCUUGUUGAAUUUGUCGUUGUCUAGAAUCACUGUGUAAGAUGGAUCCAUUUUCUUUGAUUUCCUGAGCCAGAGCAAAUGUAAAUAAUCACAAUAAGCCCUUGGCAAAAAUAAAAAUAAAUCACAAUAAGCUUGCCUCUUUCGGACUGUUCAAUACUACGACAUAGUAUAAGCAGUAAGUGUAAACAGCAAUAGAUCAUCAUGCAUAUUACAUACAAUACACUCUUCAAGAAUAAUGUUUUUAAUGAAUUUGGCAUUGGUUUUUGUCUUUAUUUUGAAACUAAACUCCGAUUGUGGGCAAACCAACCUCAAAUAUAACUCUGAUUCACGACCAUGCAUGGUUUCUCUACAAUUGGUUUGUCCAACACGACACAUCCUCUAACCAAUGCGGACGUAAACAUGGCCAUGAGAAGUCCACGAUCAUUCACUCAUGGUCCUUUUGAGACAGAGUGUUUGUCCCUAGCACAUAUGAAGUAAGAGAUAGAGAGAUACCUGCUGUUAUCACAAGACAUGCAUGGAAACUAGUUGACAGAAAGAUGUGAAAUACAACAUUAGAGACAAAAAUUUCGGUAAAGUAGACGUUUCUACUAAAGUGCAACCACAUUCCACAUUAUGCAUUAUUUAUAAUAAUAAGUUCAUCAUUCUCAAAAUCCGAGCGUGCGUGCUGCGAUUAUAAACUCCUUAACGCCAGAGAGCCAAUACUCUAGAGAUUACCGGAAUCCAAUGAGGGGCGGCUUAGUAUAGGGGGCGGUCAGUGCGACCGCCCCAGGGCCCACUCCAAAUACAGAAAUGUUCAACAUAUAUGCCAUGUGCCCAUGGGACUUGUAUCAGUUUGUACUAUAGUUUACACGACGUAUAAGGUUUGAGGCGAUGUACUGAAGUGUGCGGGCAUUAGAAACUAAUUACUAUUGGCACAACUAAAAAUAAUAAUAUUGAAACUAAUAGUUAUAGGGCACACAAAAAAUUUUUGCCCAAGGGCCCUGCAUUGUAAUGAGCCGGCCCUAUAAUCCAAUCCAUAACAUUCACAAGACUCAAACUUGCAAGUAGCUGAAAGCCGGAAACCCAACCACAACAGAAACAUAGAAAGGGUCUGAAUACUCUAGAAAGUGCAGAAAUCCAGAAGAAACAUCAACAUAUCUCUUGGAAACUUUUAGUACAUGAUUUAUCAGAUUCCUGCAAAAGCUAAUUUUGACAUGGAAAUUAUUACUUGGCACGAGCCAUUAUACACAAAACCUCUAUUAUGCUAUUAUGUGAUAAAUUAUGAUCAUGUUAAUUGGAAUGUAUGUGGACAUGUUCAUCUAGACAUGAUCUUUAUUGAUCGUUUAUUUUUUUAGAAAAAAAGUAGUUAAUUUUUUAAACUGAUCAUUAUAGUCGACAAAAAUAAAUGGAUCAUAUGGAGAAGUCCAAUUCAACAUGAACAUACUAUUUUUUACAAAAAAAAAAAACAUGAACGUACUAUUUGACAGCUCUAUUAUAAAUUUAGCAAAUAGUUUAUGAAGUAACUAUUUUUCCUUUUCAACACCAAAGCAGAUAGAUAAGUUUUCCUACCGGAUAAUGAUGGUGGUCAUAAUAUCUAAUUAAAGUCAGGUCAGUCAUAACAGCAGCCAAAACGCACAUCUGAAUUGUGUUUACAUAUGGUGGUCAUAAUAUCUAAAGUCUUAUAUAUCCAACUUCUUUCAUAGCACUGGAUAUAUGACACACACACACCUUUAUACACAAUCAUCUAAAUCUAGUGCAGGACCUUAAUCAUAUAAGGUACUAAUUGAUGCUGUGAGAAUAUUCAGAGGAUGUGAUCACAUUUUGAAUGGGCCGGAAUUGACAACAGUACUCCUGAGGUGGAAAUUUUUACCACUAUCUGUAAUGAUAUUUUUCGUUAAAUUUAUAGCAUGUCUUGUACAUGUCAUUUUCGAAGAUAUCCUCUUUGGAUUAAGUGUCUUAUCUAUAAAAACACGAAAACAAAGAUAUAAUUAAUCCAUGGCUGUCAGAUUGGUUUCACUGUUGAUUGUGAUGAAUGUUGAAGAAACUAUUGUGAAGAGAGCUCUCAGAUGUGCAAGUUUCCUUCAUCUCCAAACAAAGACAUUUGGAUAGUCGCUAUAUUAGAUAGUGUUGAUUCUUUUCCUAUAGACACAAUUUUUAUGAUUAUGUGCUUAACAAAACCAUAGAGCAAUUUUGUAUAAAUUUAUUAUGUGUCCCACACAACCUCCUCUCAAAGGACCAAACAUGUGUUGGUUCCCGCUGUCCAUUAAACUGAGACAAACAAAGUUCCUAAAGUAAAAGUAUACAUUUUUACGCUAAAGCAGAUUGAAUUUUUGGACAGAAAAACAAGUUGAGAAAUGAACCUGAUAUUAUCUUGAAUAAGCAUGUUGUAAGUUUCAUCUACAAGAGGCAGUUGAUAUGAUGUCGUUAUUAUCUGGCUACAGAUGGUUUCAUAAUUAUCACUAGAAGUAAUAGACCCACUAAAAGGAAAGCCAGUAAACAUUGGUCCAUAAUCAUGAUUCUCUAGUUGCACAAAAAAAAAAAAAUCAUGAUUCUCAACUGGAAAAUGCAAAAUACUCUUUUGUAGGUGUGUGUCAUAUUAUAACUGUAUUAAUCUAUAAUUUUAUACCCCAAUAGUUUCACCCUAUGUCAUUUUUAUAAGGAAUCGAAUCAUCUAUAAAAUCAUUUGCUUUUCUAGACUAAUGGAAAAAAAAUUCUGAGAAGUUAACAACGAAACCAGAUGCUACACAGCAAAAUAAGCUAAUAAUGACAAAACAAAAUCUGGUUGCAGUACAAUUGAACAAGGGGGAAGAAUCUGACACGUGGACACGCGCGGGCAGAAGCGCGUAAACAUGGGCAAAUAGAAAUGACUCUUGAAGAGAAUCAAAGGUCGGACAAAAAUAAAAGAAAGAGAGUAAUCAUCAAUCCUACGCGGUGUGGGGGCAAAUAUGUGAAUCUCACGCUUCUUUAAGAUUCUACUUUUACAAAAAAAAAAAAAAAUACUUUGUUAUUUCCUCGUGAUUCCUUCUUUAUUUUCCAACGAAUAUCCCUUUACCAAAUUUAUUACGAGAAAAAAACAAAAAUAUCACUAAAUCAAGUUUUUGUUCUCAAACUAGCAAUCAAGGUCAAAAGUCACAAAAAUAGCACUUAAUAUUUUAUCAAAGGUCACAAACUUAGGGUUUAGAGUUAAAGGGUGGGGUUUAGGAUUUAGGGUUUAGGGUUUAGGAUUUAGGGUUUAGAGUUUAGGAUUUAGGGUUUAGGGUUUAGAGUUGAUAAAUGAGGUUUUGGGGAUAAGAUUUCAAAUUUUGAAAAAUAAAAAAAUUAAAAUUUUCAAAAGAUAAACUUAGAAAGGUGCUAUUUUGGUCAUUUUAGUUUUAGAGUGCUAUUUUUGUGAUAUAAACUUAGAAAUGUGCUAUCUUGGAGAUUUGCCUAUUUAUUAUGUCAGUUUAAUUUUAUUUUUCCCUGAUAAAAUAUCUCAACAAACAAUGUGCUACUAAUUACCUGGUGAGCUUACCCAUAGAUUACAUUAUCAUGUACAGAUUUGUUUACGUCUCUUUGGAUUCAGGUUGUUUUAUUUUCUCUAAUUUAGUAGAUAUUGUUGAGUCUUCGUGUUUUUUUUUUCUGAACAACAGUUGAGUCUUCGUUCUUAUCUUCAAAGCUUAAAUAGAUUGAGAAUAGUGACAUCAGUUUUCCAGCCUAAUCUAGAUGCGACCAAAACCGAAUCUGAUCCCUUCGAAUAUUCAAAUUUACCACUUUACCCUUUUCUUUCGUUUUAUAUCUAAUUUUUCUAUUAUUCCACAACUCAAAAGAUUCCGUUUAGGUACGCGACGCCCCGACCUCGAACCCUUCUCCAUUCAUUCAUGUCCUAAAAUCUCUCUCUAUCUCAUCCAUGUUUUUGAUUCCAUUUUAGAUCCAAUAUUCUUUCUCCAUUUCAAAAAAAUCCAACCUGCUUCCUCCCACCCACUUCUCUAUAGAUCUAAAACCUAUUGCCUUGUUUACUUUUAAACCUCCAUAGCAUAAUCAAAAAUAGUAAUGAUGGUUCAGAAGAUGGAAGUUGAUCACGCCCAUAAAAUGCAGAGAUGUCAUGAGUAUGCUGAAGCUCUCAAAGAAGAACAAAAGAAAAUACAAGUCUUUCAACGAGAGCUUCCUUUAUGCUUAGAACUCGUUACACAAGGUAAACUUUAUAUUAUAAUUAUUAUUUUUUAAACUUUAUACAACUUUCACUUUAAAUCGGGUUUUGAUUAAUUUUAUGUAGCAAUCGAAGCUUGUAAAAAGGAGUUAUCCGUUACAUCGACAACGUCAGAGCAGUACUCGGAGCAGACGGCGAGCGUGUGUGGUGGUCCAGUCUUGGAAGAGUUUAUACCGAUCAAGAAAAGCAACAACGAAGAGAACGGAGAACACGAGUCUCCUCGUGAGGUUGAGAAGAGUGACGUGGACAGUAAGAAAUCUGACUGGCUUAGAUCUACUCAUCUAUGGAACCAUUCGCAGGAUCCAGACACGACAGUAGUGGUAGCUAAGAAGGCGAGAGUUGUUGAGGUGAAACCGAACAGCCACAACCGCGGUGGCUUUCAGCCGUUUCAAAAGGAGAAAAAACGCGUUUUCUCGGAGACUGAUCUGCAUCCGGCGGUGAAAGCAACCACGCCGGCGCCGGCGACUACGACUUGUUCCACAACGGAAGUUGGUGGUGUGGAUAAAGCGGGAGAGGAGCAGGUACAGAAGCAGCAACUGCAGACGCAGACGCAGAGGAAACAAAGGCGAUGCUGGUCACCGGAGUUACAUCGGCGGUUCCUUCACGCGCUUCAGCAGCUCGGAGGAUCGCAUGGUAAUAACAAAAGAUUAGUUUCAUUUAACGAUGCUUAUCUGUUCUCUGAUUGGCUCAUUAGUAGUUAGUAAUUAGAUCAAUAAAUUGAUUUUGUUGUUGUUUCCAGUUGCCACACCAAAACAGAUCAGAGAUCAUAUGAAAGUUGAUGGAUUAACAAACGACGAAGUUAAAAGCCAUUUACAGGUUACUAUUAUAUUUUCUAUGUUUAAUUUGGAUUUGAUUUGAAUAUUUUAGCAUUUUAUUGGUAAUUAAUUAAUAUUUUGAUUAUUACUAAUAUUUUGUGGAAUAUUAUUCAGAAAUAUAGACUUCACACAAGAAGGCCAGCUACGGCCCAGGGUAACAGAAACUCGCAGCAACCGCAGUUCGUGGUGGUCGGAGGGAUAUGGGUGCCUUCGCCACAAGAUUUUCCUUCACCGUCAGAUGUAGCCAAUAAAGGUGAUGGUGUAUACGCUCCGGUGACGGCACAAGCACCAGUACCACCGCAGUCUCCUAAGCGUUCGGUUGAGAGAAGUAGUGGCCGGUGCAACUCACCAGCGGCAUCUUCCUCUACAAAUACAACCACAACUUCUGCUUCUCCUGUGUCAUAAGAUUUUGUAGCAAUCUAGUGGGUUUGGUUUUGUAGGUUAAAUGCAAAUGAGUGUAAUAAGAUUUGUAACCAAAGAAUGUUCUUUCAUAAGCAUAUAUAUGAGAUUAAGCAUAUAUAUGAGAUAACUAAGAGCACCUCCGCUCGGAUUCUUCCCAUCGGGUUCUUAAUAUAUAUAUUAUAUUAUAUGUAUAAAUAAUUGUGGGGUCUAUAAUUUUUGUGGAAUUUGUACCUCUUUCAUAGGUACAAGUUUUUUAAAAAGAGUUUUAAGAAAUUUUUUUUUUUUGGACAACAGAAAAUUUUAAUAUUAAACAGAGAAGUUUAGAGGGUACAAAAGUUUGGGCUUGGGCCAGAAUGUAAGCAGGCCUUAGCAUAUAAGUUCGCAGACUCAUUUAGCUCCCUUUUGAUAAAAGAAAAACGACAUGAAAAUGAAGAAGAAAGAGAUAACGCGGCGAUGUCCGAGAGUACUCCGUAAAGCUCGGUCGGAUGACGUCCCGUGGUUAUUGCUCUGAUGAGCUCUUGGGAAUCUGAUUUUAACCAGAUGGUGUUGAGAUUGAGAUUGAUCGCGUGAUGGAUGACGUUCCUUAUUGCUAAGGCCUCCGCCAUACGGGCUGAAGAGACGUGUUCCUGAAACAGAGAUCCUCGAGUGAUCUCUUUUCCUUGGAGAUCGGUGAAUAUCCAGGCCAAUCCCGCUUCUCCCGUGUCAGAUCGCCACGCUGCGUCGGUAUUGCAACAUAUUGAAGUGGGGUGGAGAUUCUGGUGAGAGGUGGAGUGGGUGAUGAUCUGUUGUGGUGAGUCCGUUUUGCGAAUCUUUGAUUGGGCUCGAUCCCAUUCCUUUAAAGCGAUGAUGGCUUUGAGGACAAUCUCGGGUGCUGUUGAGGGCUUUUUCUCGAAGACAAGAUUGUUCCUAGAGAUCCACAGAAACCAACAAACCCAAGGGAAGAUGUUGAUUGUGAAACCAUAAGGAGGAAGCGGAAUCCAGGAGCCAGACGAGAUGAGGGCCUCUUUAAAGGACAUAACUUGGGAGGCAUCAAACGUAUGUGACCAGGGACCUAGGCUCCAUACCUCGCGAGCAAAGGGGCAGUUAAUCAGGAGGUGGAGAGUAGUUUCAGGUUUCCCGCAUCUACAACAUAGUGAGGGAUAAGGAGCCCCCGCUUCUGGAGGUUUUCACCCGUUGGUAAGGCAUUUUGACCAACCCUCCAAAUAAACAUCUUUAUCUUAGGUAGCAUUUGAGCUGACCACACACAUUUGUUCCAGUUCCAGCCAUCUAUGUCAUUGUUCAAGAGUGGGAGUGUCGAUUGAACCUUAGGAGAUUGAAGUGAGAGAUAACCUGACUUUGCAGUGUACUCACCAGACUCAUGAUAAGUCCAUACAUGAGUGUCAGGGGCUCCUUGUUUGCUAGGGCGAAUGUUUAGAAUGAGGUUCGCUAGCUCCGGGAGAAGGUUGUUUAUCUUGGCCUUGUUCCAUUCCUUCGUUUCUCUAGAGAGUAGGUCUGAGACUAAUAAAUCUUGAUCUUUUUCUAGUACAUGUCACAUUGGUUGUAUGGAUGAAGCUGAGCCCAUACAAGACUCUUUCCAUAAGCUUGUGGAUUCUCCAUCUCCUAUUGCCUUCCCCAGGUGGUUAAGGAGCAAGUCUCUGCCCUUGAGAAUCCCUCUCCAGCUGUGGGAACAGGACGUGGCGGCUUCUAUGUUGAGGAAAGAAGAGGACAUGCAGUAUCUUCCUGUCAAUACUCUCGAUAGGAGGCAGUCUGGUUUUGUAAUGAGCCUCCAUUCUAUCUUCCCCAAGAGGGCGAGGUUAAAAGCUUGAAUAUCCCGGAAUCCGAGGCCUCCGAGCCCUUUAGGUAAUGUGAGUGUCUCCCAUGAUACCCAAAUUUUAAGAAUCUUUAAAAACCUUUAUUUAUGGAGUUUCACAAUAAUUGUGGAUCUCACAAUUAUCUACACAUAUAUAAUAUAUAUAUAUAUAUAUAUAUAUAUAUAUAAUAAAUAACAAACCUGUUUUUCUUUAACCAUGCUGUCAUCUUUUUUUAUAGGAAAAAAAAGAACAUCCCACGGUGGAAUUUGUUCGGAGUAUAUAAUCUAGUGGCUGAUAUUUUGUUCAAGAUAAAGACCAUGACGUCAAUCGUUGUCUUCGAUUCACCAAGUCAUGGCUCCUCAAAGGCACCGCUUUCACGAAUUGCAGAACCGUCGUCUUGUUCAAGAGUUGUAUCUUUUCACAAUUAUUAAUAAAUCGACGGUAUAGGGUUGUAGUCUUUUUUGUAAUUUAUUCAUCAAAGGCUCUCUUUUGCUUCUUCUUCUUCUUCUCUGGGGUUUUCUUCUCUCUGUUUCCUCCAAAUUCGGUCAAAUAUUUUUCUGGUGAACACUCAAUUCAUAAAAUGCGUUGAAUCGUUCUUCGAUACAUCUUUUCUUAAUCCAUCGAUCUUUGCACCCAGAAUUUCAGAAUCUUUUUCAAUAUAAUCGUUUGUAAACCAUUUGUUUGCUUGAAUCUAUCCUCAAUUCUGAAAGUUUUGUUUUUCAUAUAUGCUUGUCUUAUGUCUGAUUAAUUUCUGCCUCUUUAAUUUUGUUUAUCUUCCUCCUUUUAUGGUAUACGUAUUUGUCUCUGAAGUAUCUGAGUGUCUCUGUGAUCUGAUCUCUUUUUGAAUGGUUAGUAAUGAGUGGGAGGAAAUAAAGUCAACUGCGUUUAUUUUUUGGCCGACGAAUCCGUUUGUCGCUUUCCUUUUCUCUCUUCUCAGAUUAUUUAUUGAUUCCAACUUAUGUCGUCUCUGAUUUUGUAUUUUCUCCCUGUUUUUGUAUUGCAGACUACUCAAUUUUUAUUGUUUCGUAUUUAUUUUCCUGAUUCUGUUUCAUUAAUUUUUGGUUCGUGAUGUUGCGCCUGAAAUACUGAUAUGAGUAUCGUGAAAAUUUGAGUAUACUUCUUCUUAUUCAGUAAACUGAUAAUUCUCAAGUGCAUCACGCAUAACUCAUCUGUGUGUACAUGCGUUUAAGUGGAGAAAUUUGUAGUCGAAGAAGAAGUGGAAAGAGCACCAACGUCCGAUGAGAAUAUUUUUAAUGUAAUCAUUGCAUUACAGUUGCAGAUAUAUUCUAUUUUAAUGUAAUGUACCUACUAUGUACAUUACAUUAAUUUGAUGCAGUCUGGCGUGAAUCUUCGAAAGACAGGUAGAAUCGUCGGCUGUAAUAUCGUCUAUGUAAUGUUUUUCAUAAUUUGUAAUAGCAUAAUUAACCAGACAAAAAAAAAAAAAAAUCGUAUAAGGAUCCCUAUGUAUAAUUCACAUCAGAUCGUAAUGAGUCUGCCCUUUUAUAUGACAUCCACUUAAUGCUUACGUUUUUUGGUAGGGAAUUAAUAGAACAUGAGAUAUUGAUAAGGUGAAUACCAAGUCUGCUUAAAGUCUUAUUAUCGGUAUUUUAGUUUUUUUAAAAUCUACUUAAAGUCUUAUUAUCGGUAUCUUAUUAGCAUAUUCUUUUAGAAUGUAAUGAAAAUAAUAAGCAAUUUUUUGUUUUUAAUUUGUAACCAUUAUUUACAACCGUAUAAAAUUUAAUACUAUAAUUGCAUAAUUUGGAAUUUUAAUAUAUAUUAUUAAUACUACAUGAAAUAAGUUUAUACUUGUGAAACUUAGUGAAACAUUUUGUUUACAUAUGAAUAUAUGAGUUACAUUUUUACACUUGAAAUGUGCAUAUAAUAUAAUAAUAAUUUGCAAUAUUGGUAGUUUGGAAUAUUAUCACUGAAUGAAAGGAUUUUAUACAAAUGAAAUUUGAUGAAACAUUUUUCAAAUGAAUUUUUGACGUAAUAUAUGUUACAAGUAUUUCUAUAUGAAAUGAUUGUAGAACGUUAUAUAUUAUAUAAGUGUAAGCCACAAAUGAAAUUAUUUUUCUUAUAUAAGUAUAAGCCAUAUUUUUUUCGACAGCUAAAAAAGAUUUCUUUAUUCAUCAUGUUCGUAGGCCAUCUCCAAAGUAAAAAACAAAACAAAAAUGCUAUGAUAUUUAAUAGUAUACAUAAUUAACAGAUAUAUCAUAUUUAACAGAAUAUAACUAUUCUCACCUAUUUUUAAGGUUGUAUUUUUCGUUGAUCAAAGCAAAUAUCAAGACAUUAAUAAUUUAGAAUUGGUCUAACAUAGACUAUUGUAUAGUAGAUAAAAAAUAGGAUCCUAAAUUAUAGAUUAGAUUAUAUGAAUUGGAACAAUUAUACGGAUAGCUUUUAGUAGUAAUAGAUAUAAAGAAGCUCUGUUUUGUUUUGAUAAAUUUUGAAUUGAUAAAUUAUACCAGUAAAAAUAUUGGUCUAAAUUAGCGUUAAUAUGAAGUUUUGAUUAAAAGCUAAUAGUCAUACAUAAUUAUGUAACAAGCAAGUUAUAAAUGAAAUCAAUGCCAAGCUCGAUCCCGAAUGAUCUUUUUUAUUGAUAAACAAGUUAGCAAUCGCAUUGCACUCUCAGACCAGAAGGAAGUGGUAGGUACCGUAACGCCUUGGGGCUGUGGUUUGAUACAAGAUGAUGGAGGAGUAGAAGAUUAGUUUCAAUAUCAUUCUUUCAAUGUAAUUCUAUCUGUUUUUACACAUUAUUACAGUCGUAGUACAAAAGUUUAAAAAACAUAUAAAUGAAAUCAAUAAAAACCAUCAAAAACAAGUAAUGAAAUAUGGGAAUUGCAAUACUUGACAGAAAUUUUACAUUACUGACUUGUACAUGUUCUUAAUUAUGAUGAAAAAUAUAUUUCUAAAAGGUUUCACUGUUUCAUGUUGUCUUCACCAACAAAAAAAGCUGAAAGAAAGGACGUUUAUAUUGUGGCGUCCAUUUAGGAAAAGGUGUUUUUAGCCAAAUCAAAAUCCAUGUAAACGUUCUUAUUGAAUAUUUUCCAGGGAAUAUACUAAUUUUGAUGUUAAUUUUGACCAUUGUAAACUUUAAAACUUAAUUACUAUUAGAUAUCGAUCCACGCAACCGCGCGAAUGUUUGUUUUCAUUUAUUUUUAUAUAAACAUUUUGUUUUCAAUUCUAAAUUGGUAUAUAUUAUAAUGUAUAUGAGGUGUUUCUAUCAUUUUUAAAACAUAAUAAUUUUAACGUAUAUUUCUUUUAUUGAAUUGGUUGUUUGAAACUUUCACAAAUUAUUAACAAAUUAAACUUUUAGCUUCAUAGAUUUAUAUUGUCGAGUAUAUUAAGGUUGUUCAAACAUAAUAAUAUUAGAGUAUACUUGUUCUCCAUCAAAUAGAUUGUUUCAAACUUUCACAUUUGUUUAUUUCUUCUUAUGUAUUUUUUUGUUUGUUGGAUUAGUAUUUCAUUAUUGAAUAAAUAAAUAUAAAUAGAAUUUGGAAAAUAUUAAAAUAUAUCUCCAAAGAUAAUCAAACAUUUCACAAAAUAAGAAAGUUAACAAAAACUAAACUUAAAGCUUCGUGUAUAAAUGUUAUAAAGAAUUUAAUUAAACAUUUAAUUAUAUUUUGUAAAUGAAUUAUAUACAAAAGAAAAAUCAAUGUGAAAUCAAUUUAGUUUUAAAAAUGUACUGAUUAGGUAUAUAAGUCUCGAGAAAUAUUUUUGCUCCUUGCAGUCUCUUUCAAAUACGAUGGUACAUGAUAUGGAGGUAAAAAUUGAUAACACAGUUUUCAUAUCAUUUUUUUUUUGCUUGGAAAGGAUUGAUAGUUUUUUAGUUCUUAUAAUGUAGUAAUAUUGUGUUAUAGACAUAUUAUUUAGUUCCUAUAAUCUAGAAAGUGAGUUAGUUAGACCUAUAAUAAUGAUAAUAUAAGAGAUUAAAUGUAACAUGACUUUCUAGUAAUAUGUCAUUAGGUCUAUUUUUUUAAAAAAUCACACAUGAAUCAAAGUUGUGACUUCUAUUUUAAUAUAUAAGAUUUCACAAAAUAAGAAAGUUAACAAAAACUAAACUUAAAGUUUCGUGUAUAAAUUUUAUAAAGAAAUUAAUUAAAUAUUUAAUUAUAUUUUUUAAAUGAACUAUAUACAAAAGACAGAUCAAUGUGAAAUCAGUUUAGUUUUAAAAAUGUACUUGAUUAGGUGUAGAAGUCUCAAGAAAUAUUUAUGCUCCUUGUAGUCUUUUUCAAACACGUUUUUUUUCUUGGAAAUGAUUGAUAGUUAUUUAGUUCCUAUAAUGUAGCAAUAUUGUGUUAUAGACAUAUUAUUUAGUUCCUAUAAUCUAGAAAGUGAGUUAUUUAGACCUAUAAUAAUGAUAAUAUUAAAAAUUAAAUGUAACAUGACUUUCUAGGAAUAGGUCUAUUAUGUCAAUUUUUUAAAAAAUCAUACAUGAAUCAAAGUUGUGACUUCUAUUUUAAUAUAUAAAAUAUUAUAUAACAGACUUAUCGUUCAUUCCCAAACACUGCGUUAAAAUAAUAUAUUUUCGUUUUACUUAAAGAUUUGUAGUUUUUUCUUUCUAUAACCUAUUAAUUUUAGAAUAAAUUUCAGAAAUAGUUUAUAUACUAAAAAUUUUAGUUUUAUCUAUCACUAUUUUUCAUUCCAAAUAAUUUUAUAUAUAGUUAUUUGUUUUAAAGGAAACAUAUAUUUAAAUUUUGAGGUCUUUCUCCCCCGGCGGACCCGCGGGGGUUCGCAAUCCUAGUAUACAUAAUACAUAUAUUAACCCAUUGGAAAUGGUCUAAAGAGUGUUUGUGUUGUAUCAUUGGAUACUGUCUUGUUACUGGUAGAUAACUUAUACUUAGUGCUUGAUUUAUUUAUCUGUUAGUACGAACUCACUUUCAUUAGAUGAAGGCCCACAAAGGUUAUAGAGUAUGAGAAUCUAAGAAGAAAAAUGAUCAGACAUAAUUGUCAACUUUCUACAAGGAUUUUUGCUUGUAUUGCAUAAACAAAAUAACAUUCAUCUGAUAUAUGUGAUCUUACAGCAUCUGCUAUGUAAUACUUUAUUUUUUUUUCCAAAAUAGAAUAAAAAUAAAAAUAAAGUAAAAAAACUUCAACCCUACUCCAUUUAUCAUUUCAUAAUGGAGUAAUAAACAAACAAAAAUAGAUUACUCUAAUUAUGAAGUAAACUCUAUUAUGGAGUGAUAUUUGGAGUUGAGUUGGAGCAAUUCUUAUUCUAUUUUCAUUUUUACUCCAUUUUAGAAAAAAAAUAGAGUGAAGUUAGAGAUGCCCUUAUAAAAUUAUCUUGUAUGAUUAUAUGAAAAAUCAACACCCAUUAGUAGCGAUUUGGCCAUUUUGUCAUCUUUGUAACUAGGUUCUCCAAAAAGAGUUACCUAUCAAAAUUAACACUAUUAUUAGGAAAAUACUAUACAGUAUAUUUAUUUACUUUUAAAAUCGAGAUACUCAGCCAUCCUAUUUUACAAAAUUUAGCAGAUUCUUCAACUUUUCCUGGGCUGCACAUGGGCUCAUUCUCGAGGUCCAUAGUUCAAGAUGGUAUUUGGGGAGGGGAAUACAGUGUUAGAUUUUGGCCAUAUGUUUCUUCUCUCUUGUCCAUAAUGUGAACUUUAGUGUGCAGAUAAACCUCUGAUUCCUGAUACUGGUUAAUAGAAAAUACCCAAACUUGCAGUAAUCUUCAUAAGUAGUUUAGAUUAAGAUAUUGAGAAUAGUUGGGGUUAGAGCUGUCGUUUUCCUGACUGUUUAGCUUUAGUUGACUUAGGCAGAGAGACCUGAAUCCAUUAUGUGGAUAAAGAAAGUAGCUGCAUGCAUUUGCUUAUGUUAAUAGUUCUUUUCCGAGUGUUCUUCUGUUUUUAAUUGUUCUGUAUAGAUAAUUCACUGAACAGACAUAUAUGGUGCAAAGAGCAAAUGAGAAAACUGGGAGAUGCGGCCAUUCAUCAAGAGCUCAAGAUUUAUCAACGGGCUUUCAGAUUAAUAAAUAAUUAGAAUUUAACCCGCACAUCCGUGCAGGUAUUAUAUUCAUUUAAUAUACAACGGUAUUGUUUUACCUGAAUAAUGGUAAAUAAAAUAACAAUAAUCAUACUAAAUAUAAAAAUUGUAAAUUCAGUCAUUUAUAAAUACAAUAAUUGUAAAAUUUGCAUUUGUAAAUAGAAUUUAUUUGUUUCAAAUUUUCAUUUUAUUUCUCGUUUUUUGUAUACUAAUAAAACAAAAUCUAAAAAAAAAUAUGCUAUGUUUUUUUCAUUUUGAUGUGAGUAAAGUUUUUUUGUUUGUAAAUAACUAAAUCUACCAUAUAUAAGCAAAUGAACAACAAUAUGGAUCAAUAUUUUUUAUAUGAUUGUAGUAUAUAGCACUACAAGAAAACAGCGAUAUUCUGACGGACAUUCCGACGGAAAAUGAAAUCCUCGGAAUAUACCGAGGAAUUUCCGAGGAAAUUCCGAGGAAACACAAAAUUGGGUUUCCUCGGAAUUUCCUCGGAAUAUACCGACGGAAUUCCGAGGAAACUACAGUCCGUCGGAAUAUUCCGAGGAAAUUCCGAGGAAAACUCUGUUCCUCGGAAAAAACCGAUGAAUUCCGAGGAAAUAUUAUAGCCGUUGGAGAGCCGUUGGGGGAUUUUACAAAAUUCCGAGGAAAUUCCGACGAACUAGUUUUGUCCGUCGGAAUUCCGUCGGAAUUUCCUCGGUAUGUCGGCAGGAUUUAAACUAUAAAUACAAGCACUCCUCUUCCUCUUCAUUCACUUCAUAUCUUCAUCCUCCCUCUUACUCUAUUUACACACGAAUUUGAUUCAUAAAAAAUAUGUCUUCUUCAAAUUAUUUUCGUUCUUGGAUCGAUCGACCUCAUUUGGAUCCGAACACGAGAUUGCUUACGGAAGAAUACCAACGAGGUAUAACUGAAUUCAUGGGGUUAGUUCACCGACAACCGGAAGCAAAAACAGGUAUGUUAAGAUGUCCUUGCUCUAAUUGUAAAAAUAGAAAGGUUAUUAAAGAGUGGGAUGUUUGGACUCAUCUAUAUUUGAGUGGGUUUACACGAAGUUACAAAAUUUGGUAUCAUCAUGGGGAAACUGAUUAUGAACAUGGUAGUACUAGUGAACCUCAGCCAGCGGUUAGAUUAGAAGAACCAAUUAGAACGGAUGUAGAUUAUGGUGUAGGUACUGAGCAGAUGGUAAAUGAUCAUUUUAGAGGGGAAGAUUUACCCAAUGCAGAAGCUAGGAGAUUUUAUGAUAUGUUGGAUGCUGGAAAGCAACCAUUGUACGAAGGUUGCAGAGAUGGUCAUUCAGCUUUAUCAUCUGCUACAAGAUUGAUGGGCAUUAAAACAGAUUAUAAUUUGGCUGAAGACUGUGUGGAUGCGAUUGCUGAUUUUGUAAAAGGUAUUCUACCCGAGGAUAAUGUAGCUCCUGGUUCAUACUACGAGGUUCAGAAACUCGUAGCUGGUCUUGGUUUAUCGUAUCAGGUAAUAGAUGUAUGCAGCGACAACUGCAUGAUUUAUUGGAGGGUGGAUGAACAGCGGGUUACAUGCAAAUUUUGUGGAAAGCCUCGUUAUAAAGAUACAAUUGGAAGAGUUCCAGUGCCAUAUAAAAGGAUGUGGUAUUUACCUUUGACGGAAAGGUUGCAGAGGUUGUAUCUGUCUGAACGCACAGCGCAACCAAUGAGAUGGCAUGCGGAGCACUCAACAGAUGGUGAGAUCAGACAUCCUUCAGAUGCAAAAGCGUGGAAGCAUUUCCAAUCAAAGUAUCCCGACUUUGCGUAUGAGAGAAGAAAUGUCUACCUUGGAUUAUGUACUGAUGGUUUCAGUCCGUUUGGCAAGAGUGGAAGACAGUAUUCUCUAUGGCCCGUCAUUCUUACACCAUACAACCUCCCCCCAAACUUGUGCUUGCGACGAGAGUUUUUGUUUCUCUCGAUUCUCGUUCCCGGACCAGAGCAUCCUAAGAGAUCACUUGAUGUGUUUCUUCAGCCACUAAUAUAUGAGUUGCAACAACUAUGGGCUCAAGGUGCCGAAACAUACGAUGUUUCGUGUAAAGAAAACUUUCAAAUGCGGGCAGUACUAAUGUGGACAAUAAGUGAUUUUCCAGCAUAUGGUAUGUUGUCUGGAUGGACAACGCAUGGAAGGCUAUCAUGUCCAUAUUGUCAAGAUAACACUGAUGCUUUCCAACUAAAGCACGGAAGGAAAACGUGUUGGUUUGACUGUCACAGGAGAUUCCUACCACCUGAUCAUCCAUAUCGUAGGAGUAGGAAUUUGUUUACGAAGAACAAGAGGGUGUUUGACAGUCCACCUCCGGAAAUUUGUGGGAAAGAUUUGAAGAUACAACUAAGAGAUUUUGGUGCAGAAAGGACGCCAGAAGUCGGUGGACAUGAGCGUUUUCCGGUAGAUGCUGUUGGAGAACUACAUAACUGGCACAAAAAAAGUAUUUUCUGGGAUCUGCCAUACUGGGAGGAUCAUCUGCUAAGGCAUAAUUUAGAUGUCAUGCAUAUUGAGAAGAACUUUUUUGACAAUCUCAUGAACACGAUCCUUAAUGUUCAAGGUAAAACAAAGGAUAAUUUGAAGUCAAGACUGGAUUUAGUCGAUAUAUGUGCUCGUUCAGAACUUCAUGUUGAUGAGAAUGGUAGGGCUCCUUUUCCCAUAUACCGACUUGAUGCAGCGGGAAAAGAUGCGUUCUUUGAUUGGAUUUCAAACGAUGUGGAAUUUCCAGACGGUUACGCAUCAAAUUUGCGUAACUGUAUCGACAGAAAGGAAGGAAAGUUUACUGGCUUGAAAAGCCACGAUUGCCAUGUAAUGAUGCAGCGCCUCCUUCCGUUCGCCUUCAAGGAAAUAUUACCACGAAAUGUUCAUGAAGCAAUUGCAGGGAUAAGUGGUUUCUUCCGCGAUUUAUGCACGAGAUCAGUGACUCUUGAAGGUAUUGAAAAUUUGAAGACUAACAUAGCCGUGAUUCAGUGCAACCUUGAGAAGAUAUUUCCUCCCUCAUUUUUUGAUGUUAUGGAGCAUCUUGUUAUUCACCUGGCAAGAGAAUUGGAACUUGGUGGUCCUGUGCAGUAUAGAUGGAUGUAUCUGUAUGAGCGGUAUAUGUUCCAUUUGAAGAAGAUGGUGAAAAAUUUAAGUAGGGUGGAAGGUUCUAUAGUCGCACAGAUGAUCAAUGAAGAAACUUCAAACUUUGCCGAGUACUACUUUCCAGCAGAAGUUCAGACCAAAAACAGAAGACCUGCUCGGCAUGAUGAUAGAGGCGAACGGGCAACAUAUCAUUUUACGGUUCCAGACAUUUUCACAGACGUUGGACGACUUAGCGGAAAACCAAAGGACCGUCGACUUACUGAGCAGGAGCGCAGUCAUUUGCAAACAUAUUUGCUCACCAACUGCGAAGACGUUCUUCAAUAUGAGAGGUAAAUAAAUGAGCUUACAAAUUUUUAUUUUAACAAGUUGAAAUUUAAAUCUUAAUUAAUUACAUUAUUGUCAUCAUAUACAGGAUUUUCAUGGCAGAAAAGCGGUUCGAGUAUAGAUACGCCACAGAGGACGAACUAGAAGAAAUGAAGCAGAGAGAAUUUACUGGAUGGAUGUUUACUUAUGUGAGUGCUUUAAACAAAUUAAAAUAUAUUUUAUCACAUAUUUAUACUAAUUCACAUUUAUUGAUAUAAUAUAUAUAUAUAUGUGCUAUUAAUAGGUGUCUGCUGGUUUGGCCAGAGGUGAAACAUUUGACGAUUGGAUACGUGAGAUGGUCGUUGGACCAAACUUUGUUGUGAAGUCAUAUCCGAGAUUUUGUACUCGAGGAUAUGCAUUCACAACUCAGAAGAGGAGACGUUCGAGUACGACUUAUGAUGCUGGCGUUUGUUCUGCAUCAGGAGAUGAUGUAUACUACGGACACAUACAUGAGAUUUUGGAAAUCAAGUAUUUGGGCAUGGUUGGAUUGCGCUGUACUGUUUUCUAUUGUGAUUGGCACGACAACACCCCAGAUCGAGGUGUGAGAACAGAUGCAUUUGGUGUUAUAUCAGUAAAUUCGAGGCGAAAGCUGCAAUAUUAUGAUCCUUUCAUUCUUGCUUCCCAGGCCGAUCAGGUAAUUAAAUGUUAAUUAUUCAGAAUGAUUCAUCAUCAUGUGUAUUAAUUUAUAAUUUUUCUAAAUGUUACAGGUUUGUUAUAUCAAGUACCCCCGGGUAAGGAACAAAGAUGAUCCAUGGGUUACUGUUACAAGACUCAACCCGAGAGGCCGAGUUCAGGGAAGUUCUGAGCUGGAAGACCCACUACAACCAAGCACAUCCGGCAACUGUAGUGCAGCAGAAGAUUUAGCUGGAGUUGGCCUUGUAGUCGAUUUAACCGACUUUGGAGAGGAAGCCGUCGUUCACGUAGAGGAUGAACCAGUAAUUGGAGAGUUUCACCAAGAUCCAGAUUCAGAUUCAUCUGGUGAUGAUGACUCGGAAACAGACUACCAUUGAACUUUUUUUUUUUUUUUUUUUAAGAAAUACCGAGGAAAUUCCGAGGAACACUUGAUAUAACCUCUUUCCUUGGAUAAUAGUUAUUUGGUUUAUCUAGCAAGGCAAAGCUGAAUACGAAUUAAAAGCUACACAAAACACAACCAAAUAAAACAAAGAAACCAUGUAAAAGAAAUACGAACUCAUAAUUAAGAAACCUAAAAAAAAACUCAGUUCAAAAUUAACAGAAAAUAAGACCAUAAAACGUUAGAAUAGAAAAGAAAAUAAAAUAGCCGGUGAUAGCUCCUACUCCUCGUCUCCUGCUCCAGAUGUUCCUGCAUCGUUGGGUCUCUUGGACCUCUUUCUUACCAUGUGUGUACCACUCGAACCCGAACCAGAGCUGGAUGGAGAGUUGUCCCGAUGAACUACAUCAUCCUUUUGGCAACGACACGGCCUGAUACGUGAAAUGGCAGCCCAGAUCUUGUGUAGCAUGUCGUUGUUUGUCUUUAUGCUCUGAUCUCUCCAAUGUUGUUGCUGGCGCGAAGUGGCGUUCGGUGGAAGCUCUUGCAGCUUGUACUGGCUGGAGUCUGAUGGGAGUAGCUGAUGGGGUUGUGAAUCAUCUGGAAUGGCUUGUGCAGCCUCAUCUUGUCCUUCUUCAUCAACCACGCCCUUGCCUUUGGUCUGAUAUUUUGGCGUGAAGAAGGAUGGCUUGUCUACUAGUGCGGUAGCAGGGGGUAGAAACUCAACUGCAGCCUCUGAAAGUAGAGCAGUCAGGCCGAUCUGAGGCAGGUGGCAGUAGAGUGUUUUCUUCGCUCGGUCCUGGAAUACGUAGACGUAAGGACCAUCCCGAUCGAUCCUCGAGUGGGGACCAGCUAUGAACUCCUUACUUACUAGAGAAAUGACAUCCAGGUAGUUCCAAGCAAUGUUGUUCGAUCUGUCCAGUGCUACCUGGUGGUUCUCACAGUCUACACCCACAUGUCUAAGGAUCCGAGUAAUCACUGCACCAAAUCCACAUGCAUUGCUCUUGGAUUUGGUUACUUUUCCCUUGUAUCCUGCUAAGUUUGCGGCCAGCACCGCUCCCAUGUUGAAGGCAGUAGCAGGUGGGAAUGUAGAGUUUCCAAAUGCCGGUAGCAAAUGCCUCACACCUUGGUACAGGAGGCACAACUCCCAUUGCGUGACUGAUGCGGCUGUGGUUGUCCCGUAUAGCAAUGAGCCAAUGAGGCGUGUCGCAUAUCUCAGUACUGGGCUCCGGAUAAGUGACUCCUUUGCCUGAGAAGAUCUAUAAACCCCUGUGCCAAUCGUUUCCCAGAAGUUCAACAGCUCUGAAGUCCAAUAAAGACCAUAUGUCCUCUCCCCCGCACUCAAUCCAAAUAGUCCGCAGAGGUCUGUGAAAGAUACCUCAUAGUAUACUUUCUGCACUACGAAUGCCAGAAAACCUUCCUGAUGGCUAUCAUCGGGACGGGUGACGUAUGCGGAUGCUAUGAACUGGCGUACCAACUCCGGAUAAGUGGGUUCCUUGAGGUUGCAUAGUUGGCCUAGACCCAUGUUCUGGAACAGUCCUUCAAUGUCUGCUUUGAUUCCCAAUAUUGUCAUCGUCUCAGGACAUGCUAGUUGUGUAGCCGGAACGGCUACCUUCUUCAUGUUGUUGUAGUGGGUGGUAUCAGACUUAUCCCACUUCUUUGGCCUUUGCUUCUCCAGCUGUGACGAACCCGCUUCUUGUGUGUUUUUCUUUGCUGAUGUUUUCGUGCGCUUCAUUCUCUACAAAAUAGAAUCAUUGCUCUCAACAUGGUUAUAAUCAAUUGAGAAGGCAAAGCUGAACAUGAAAAUGAAAAGCAAAAUCGAGUUGUGAUAAAAAAAAACGAAAUUGAAAAAAAUUCUCUAUCCCUAAAUCAUCUCAAAUCAUGUUCCAAACUCGUUGAUCACAGACAAUUGUGUUCUAUUCCAUGUUUAAACAUCUGUUUCAUGCAUAUUUGAUCAAGGAAUCAACACGGAAAUAAGAAAUUCACAAAACCCAAAAAAUUGCUCAAGAACACGAUUUCAGAAUGUGGAGAUUCGCGGAGUAUACCUGUCUUAGGGUGAAGACGAGUGUAGGAAUCAGGUAGAGCUCGAAAAAUCAAGUGGAAUAGAGCCCAAAAUUGUUCAAAUCGGAUGAUUAUAGAGAGAGAAAGGGGGGGGCGAAUUAUAGGGGAAAUCGGAAGGGAUGAGAGUUCUAAGGUUUAGAUCCAAAAAAGGUCGGGUUUUGCCUUAUAAUUCUGUUUUCCGAACACGCAUCGAUCGAUGCGUUUUGUUUCUAUAACGCAUCGAUCGAUCACAUUCUUACGGCCCGGGCCAUCUUGGUAAUCGAUCGAUGCGUUUUUGUUCUAUAACGCAUCGAUCGAUGCGUUUUUAAAAAAACAUACAAGAUUUUCCGAGGAAAUUCCGAGGAACAAUUCAGAUUGUCGAUCGAUCGAUGGGAUACUCUCAUCGAUCGAUCACAAUCUUACGGCCCGGUCCAUCCUAGUAAUCGAUCGAUGCGUUUGUGUUCUAUAACGCAUCGAUCGAUGCAUUUUUAAAAAAACAUACAAGAUUUUCCGACGAAAUUCCGAGGAACAAUUCAGAUUGUCGAUAGAUCGAUGGGUUACUCUCAUCGAUCGAUCACAAUCUUACGGCCCCGUAAAUCCUAGUAAUCGAUCGAUGCGUUUUUGUUCUAUAACGCAUCGAUCGAUGCAUUUUUAAAAAAACAUACAAGAUUUUCCGACGAAAUUCCGAGGAACAAUUCAGAUUGUCGAUAGAUCGAUGGGUUAAUCUCAGCGAUCGAUCACAAUCUUACGGCCCGGUCCAUCCUAGUAAUCGAUCGAUGCGUUUUUGUUCUAUAACGCAUCGAUCGAUGCAUUUUUAAAAAAACAUACAAGAUUUUCCGAGGAAAUUCCGAGGAACAAUUCAGAUUGUCGAUAGAUCGAUGGAAUACUCUCAUCGAUCGAUCACAAUCUUACGGCCCGGGCCAUCUUAGUAAUCGAUCGAUUUGUUUUUGUUCAAAAACGCAUCGAUCGAUGCGUUUUUUUAAAAAAAAUUACGUUUUGAAACCCCAAACACUAGUUCGUCGGAAUUUCCUCGGAAUAUUCCGAGGAAAUUUCGAGGAAGAAGAGGGUUUCGUCGGAGUUCCCUCGGAAUAAUCCGAGGAAAUUCCGAGGAAAUAGGGUUUUUAAACCGAAAACAACGUUUUGCCGUUUGAAUAACACCUAUAUAACCCUUAUUAAGUGUCUUACGUUCAUUAUGAAGUCAAAAAUUUGUUCCUUACCGUAUAAUUAACACUUUUCCGAUUGUAUGAACGAAAUCUCGCAACAUAAGAGAAACACUUAUACCUUUUAACGAACGGUAAAGGGAAUACUUUCCAUUAGUUUUGAAAUUUGUUAUUUCAUGGUUUAUGCUCAUGUAUACAAAGAAUCCUCAAUGGUAUGCAUUACAAUUGUAUAAGAAAUGAAAUACGGCAAAAAAAAUUGAUGUUUUGAAACCCCAAACACUAGUUCCUCGGUAUUUCCUCGGAAUAUUCCGAGGAAAUUCCGACGGAUAUUUUACUAUCUGUCGGAAUUUCCUCGGAAUAUUUUCAUUUUACCGGGCAAAUAUUUCGCGAAAAUUGAAAUUAUAAUUCCGACGGAAUUCCGACGGAUAAUGUCCGUCGGACCCUAGGUUUUAUAACCACGAGCCCCUUCUUCUUCCCCAUUUCUCUGUUCUUCCUCUGCGCGACUCCUCUCUUUCUCUCCGGCGAUUUCCCCCUGAAAUCCGACGAUAUCUCCGGCGAUCUCCCUCUUCUCUUACACAAAUCAUGUAAGGACCCUAUCCCACUCUCUUAGGUUCUAUUUGUUAGGUUUUUGUGUAGUUUUGAUAGAUUUUUGUUAGGGUGAUUGGUUAGGAUUGUGAUUUGGUUGUAUAAUAGGUUUAGAAUUGUGAUUUGGUUGAAUAAUUUGUUUUGUUGAAUUGAUUUAGAAUUUUUUUAUAAUUUUUUUAUUUUUUGUAUUUAUAAAAUCAAUUUUUGUAUAUAAAAUCGAUUUUUGUAUUUUACAAAACGAUUUUUCUAUAUAAAUUUGAUUUUUUGGAUUUUACAAAAAAAACUUCUAUAUAAAUUCGAUUUUUUGGAUUUUACAAAACAUUUUAAUUAUUAAACAAUUUUUAUUUAUUAAAACUAUUUUUGUUUAUUAGAACUAUUUUUAUAUAUUUAUUAAAAAAAUUUAAUAUAUAUAAAUCUUUUUCUGUGAUUAAAUUAUUUGGGAUUUUUUUUUAAUAAAAAAAAUUAAUUUAUAUAUUUCUGUAUUUAUUAAAUAUAUAUUUUUUAAUUUACAGGUCUCAUGAUGAUCAGACCCGGCCUCGACAGCGUCGUGGUCGUGGUGGUACGGGGAGCCAGUCUCGGGAUUCCAGCCAUUUUCAGGAUUCCCCUUCGCCCCACAGCUCCAACCAUACAUCUCCCUCUGCUGCACCCGCUCAUGCUCCUCUCGCUCCCGCUGCUGCAUCCGCUCCUGUUCCUCCGGGUCCUCCGGGAGUGAUGAGGGUUGCGGAGUUGGUUCAACAGCCCGGUCGUGACCAUCUUCCGUAUCUCACUCCGUAUCCACAUGGACGGGGUCAAACAUGGUAAUUAAACAUUUUUUUUUCUUUAAAUUUGGAUUCAUUAUUAACCGUUUGUUCUUUUAAUAAGGUUCAACCGAUCCGGGAACGGGAUCAGCGCAUGGAUCAACCGUAUGAUGUACUCGGCCCUCGACAGUGGACAUCCGACUUUCACUCACUUCCCAACCGACAAGCAGGUUCUGUGGUUUCGUCAGUUUGCGGUAAGUAUUCUAAUUUUUUACUUAUAUUUUUAAUCUUUAAUAUAAAUUUUCUACUAAUUGUGUUUUUUUUUCAGCAAGAGUUCAACUGGAAUUCCGAUGAGACGCUCUUUAUCUAUCACCACUUCGUCCAUAAAGUAAUGGACAACUAUGGGAAGCAGAUCCACGAGUGGAAGAAGAAGUGGGAAAUCAAUAAGGUUCGAUUUAAUUUAUUAAACAAUUUUUUAAUUUAUUAAACUAUUUUUUAAUUUAUUAAACUUUUUCUUUUUUUUUUAAUUAAAAGGUCCCAAAGUCGAUGAACGAUACGGUCUGGAAGGAGUUGUGUGCGCAUUGGGAUAAGGAGGAGACGAAAGAAACUUCUUCCACCAACUCCACCAACCGCAGGAGCGACCGUAAAGGGAAGGGCAUCUACAAGCAUAACUUGGGUGCUCAAUCUAUUGCCACUCUCGGAGAUCGCAUGGUAAGUUCAACCGCUUUUUCUUCAAUUAUUUGAGUUUCAGAAUUUAAAUUUAUUGUGCAUUUCUUCUAAUUUCUAAUGUUUCUUUAAUUUUAUGUUUUUUUUCAAGGCGGAAGAAAAUGAUGGCGAGCCGGUCGAUGAUCUCGCCCUAAUGAGGAGGGCGUAUACCAACAAGAAGACCGGCCAGAUUGAUGACGGUCUUGUGAGGGACGUGGUCGACCUGGUCCAAACUCAGGUGGUAGACGAAGUGUCUCAGCUUCAAACCGAGGAUGACGCUUCGACGGCUUCGACCAACUUGUCCCGGUGUCGAAUCAACGAAAUCGUUGAAUCCGUAAGUUCUUUUUUUUUAAAGUUCAAUUCAUUUAUUUCUUGGUUUAAAUUUCUAAAUUUGGCUUUUUUCUAUUCAGUCGGUUCCAAAGAAGAAGGGACGUUUGUUCGGUUUGGGUCGUCGCACCCGGUCGGUUCCUCCUUCUUCUGCACCACCGCCCUUUGUUGAUCCAGAAGUACUUACGGCUCAGUUGAAGGACAAAGAUGAUCGAAUAUCUUUGUUGGAGACCCAGAUGGCGGCUCAACAGGCGGGCUAUGAGGCACAGAGGAGGCUGAACCAGCAAAUGAUGGAGAUGAUGCAGAGGAUGUACCCGAACGAGGUGUUCCCGGACGUGCCAGACCCGUAGUUUUUUUUUCCCCAAUCUCUGAAUGUUUUAUUUUUAUUUGUGAAACUUUGAAUAUUAAUUAGUAUGAUUUCAAUUUUACUUUUAAUUUCAUAUUUUCGAAUUUAAAUUUCAGAAAUUUUAUUUUUUCAAAAAAAUUAAUAUUUUUUACAUUUCGAGGAAAUUAAUUAUAUUUUUCACUACAUCGAUCGAUGCGUUUUUGUUCAAAAACGCAUCGAUCGAUCCGUUUUUUUUAAAAAAUAUAGCGAGGGACAUUUCCCUCGGAAUUUUCCGAGGGACAACUCCCUCGGAAAAUUCCGAGGAAAGGAUCCCUCGGAAUAUACCGAGGGAAUAGUUCCUCGGAAUAAACCGAGGAAAAAGUCCGUCGGUAUACUCCUAUCGAUCGAUGUAUAUAUGUCCAAACACGCAUCGAUCGAUGAACUUCCGAGGAAUUAUCCCGACGAAGUUCUACCUCGGUAUAUUCCGAGGACUUUUCCGACAAACAAGGGAUCCUCGGAAUUUCCUCGGAAAUUUAUUUCCUCGGAAUUCCGUCGGAAAAUUCCGAGGGAUUUCAGAGGAAAAAAGAAAUUCCGAGGAAUUAUUUCCGACGACGUAUUUCGUCGGAAUUGCGUCGGAAUAACGAUAUUCCGACGAAAUUCCGACGAUUUUUUCCCUCAGAAUCCUUGAUGUUUUCUUGUAGUGUAGUGUUAGCACGUUAACUAUUUGAAAUAAUCAAAUAAAUAAAUAUUUUUUAAAACAUAAGUUGGAUAGUUUUCAUUUAAUUAUAUAUAUUUACAGCAUUAAUUUUAUAAGAAAUAGAUUAUUAAAAUUGAAAAUUUGGAUGUAACUUUGAAAUUUAAAAAUUUUAAAUGAUAAAUAAUUUAUAGUAUAUGAUUUUGGUAUGAAUUUUUUUAUUUAGAUUAUUAAACAUAAGUUACAUUUACAUAUGAUUUUGAUUUUAGUAUAUGAUUUUAGUAUGGAUUUUGUAUUUCAGAAGUGCACAAGCUAAAAUAUUUAUGAUAAAAAGAAAUUAACUAAUAAAGAAUAAAUUAUGUUUGCAUUUACCAAUUUCACGUACAAAAAGCCAUAGCAAUCAUAACUUUGCUCAAAUACUUUAAUGAAACAGUAUAAUGAAAAUAUUACGUAAGUACCUACUAUCUAGCAUAUUUUGUUUCUAAUAGAAUAUUGGAAAAAUUGUUUUCUUAGAGCAAAAAAUGAUAAUUAUGUCUUUUUAGACUAAUAUCUAUUUUGUGUCAUUUUUGUCUAUAAUACCUUUUAAUAUUUUUGAAAAUAAAUUUAAUAAAUAGUUUUACAAACAAACAAAAAUUGAAAAAAUAGUAACUAUUGAUAAAAUACAUAUAUGAACUUAGUUGGUAUUUUUUUCAGUUCUAAAAAUGUUUAAAUCAUAAUUUUCAGAUUAUGUUCUAAAUAAAGUAGAAAUGGCAUUCUACGAAGUAGAAAACGAAAUCCAUUUUUUUCGUUGAAUCUACAAUGUUUAGAAUACGUGAUCUACGUAAAUAAGAGUAUUCUAAAAAUAUUUAGAAUACACAUUCUGCGCUUAACCUACCGAUCUAAAAUCUUUAGAAAUCAAAAUCUACACAUUAAUAUAAAUCUAAAACACGUAGAAACCGACUUCUACAAAUUUAUUGUAAAUCUAAAACAUGUAGAAAUCAAAAUCUACACAUUACUAUAAUUCUAAAAACCUGUAGAAACUGAUUUCUAUAGAUUAGUUGUAUUCUACGGAUAAGAAAUCAGUUCCUAAAAAUAUGAAAACAAAAUAUUUGGGAAUAUUCACUUUCAUAUUUUGAAAAAUUCGAUUUUUUUUUAAAAAAAAAACAAAAAAAAAAACGUGGUAACCUUCUUCUCACGCCGUCUUCUAUAUUCCAUUGAUUACAAAAAUUUCACAAAAAAAUUCACAUUAUUUCUACCAAAUCAGUGUGAAAUUGAGUGAGUUAGGGUUUAUGAACUUGAGACUUUGAUUUUCUCCCCCUUUGUUCGUGACAGAGAUGAUAAAUUAUAGGUUUCAUCCCAAAGAAAUCGAGUUUAAAGAGUUGAAAUCGUAUUUCGUCGGUUCAAAUCAAGUGGGAAUCAAACCGGAUAUAACCGAAGAAAAGCAGAAAAUCGAUUUGGAAUACUUACGUGGGCACGAGAUCGAUCGGUAUAUAAAUUAUAGACCGAUCGAUCUGUAUGAAAUCGACCUUUGCCGAUCGAGUGAAAUAGACCAGGUCGAUCAGUAUAUGCUCCGCGUUUUUUUUGUUCUUCAUAAUGAUCAGGAUCGAUCGAUCUGUUCGACCUUGUAAUUUCGGAUCGAUCGAUCCCGCCUGAUCGAACUCAUUAUUUAUUAUAUUUAAAAAUUACAAUUUUAAGGGCAUUAUUGCCAUUUUGAAAAUAAUAAGCCUAAUGAGACAUAAAGUAUAUGAGAUUAGUCUAAAGAGAUAUAAUUAUCAUUUUAUUGCUCUGAAAAAAUAAUUUUUCCUAGAAUAUUUAGGAUUUUUGCGUUUAUAUCAUAGAUUUUUUUAGGAAAUGAAAGAUUACAAUAUUUUAAGUUGCUGUAAUAGCUAAAUAUUAGGGAAUCUCACUUACGAUUUUUAUGGAAACUUAUAUAUUAGUUUUUGUAAAUUUAUUUGUUAAUUAAAAAUAGAGUGGCAUUCACUCGUAAUUAUUAAGAAAAACUUACGACUAAAUACUAAUCGUAUUUCAGUUUUAAAUAGUUUAUUUUAGAUUUGCUUUUUGGGAUAAAACCUCUGACAUACUUUUUGUUUGAAGAUUACUUUUCCUCUUAUGAAUCUACAAUGGAUUUUCCUUGCGAAUCCAUCUGUUCCCCUAAGAAAAGUGUGCCACUUUCAAUCCCGUUCUUUAAAGUUCGUUCCCCAUGUGAAACAUCACUGAAAACACAAAAACCAGUUUGACAUAUUCUGCAGUCACAUCAUCAACACAUGUUACCCGUAUGAACGGGGGAUAUAUACCUUCAUUUAUAAAACAAUACAAUGGAGUCAAUGUAGCAACCAGAUUCUGGAAACACAUAAGUGGCAAAAGCAGAGAGGUGGCAGGUGUUUCCAAGUAAUAACACCGCCCUUGUGCAAUGAUGCAGGAUUAAACAAAGUGCGUUUUAAUUAUAAUAAUUAAAUAAUGACUACUCUUUUCAAGAUCCUCACUUAACUCUCAGACCACAUGUACCAGUAAAGAGAUGACGCGGGACCCUCUUUUUACUUUGAGGGCUUGUUCACACUUCUGUAAUGAUGAGAGAAUGUCACGUGGUGACUCGUGACUGGUGAGUAUGUAAAAGAAAGAAAACGGAAAUGUUUUGGGAUCACGAGUUGUAGUGAAUGUUUGGGUUAUUUUUUGUUAAAUGUUUGGAUCAGUGUCUCCUUUCACCUUUUUGCCUUGUUUAUAAUUUUUCUUGUGAAAAUCUAUCAUAAAUUUUAUGGAACCGGAAUCCAUCUAAACUACUAGUGUUUUAAGUUUUGAAAACGUAAUACUAUUCUUGUUUUCUAAUCAUGUUCACAUUAGUUAAAAGCAAUUAUAUAAUAAUAAGUUUUGAAAAUAUAAUUUAAAAUGGAAAUAAUUUAUCUACCAAAACUAGCUUAACUUUAUGCUGUAAAAAAAAAAAGCUUAACUUUAUUAUCUAAUUGUCCAGGGAAUUUUUUUAUUAUGCUCAAAUGUUUUUUUUUGUUUUAUUAUUUCUCUAUUUGUGUUAUCACUCAUCACCAAUUAUAAAUCUGCUAUAUAAUGAUGAAAAAUAAUACCGGAUUCAAUCUAUACAAUUUUAGAGAAAAUUAGUUAAAAUACUCUAAAUAGGUUAUCACUUUUCAAAAAUACAUUCAAUCAAAAGUAUCUUAAUGUUUGAAUUUAAAAUUUACUGAUUAUUGUUUACGGUUUAGAAUUCAGAAGAUGAAAUUGAGUUUAUAAACUUCUGCAAAUGUUUAAUAAAUUAUUCUUAAACAUUAAUAAAUAAAUAUGAGAGUUACUUUAUUUUUAUCACAAAUUUAAAGUAUAUAUGAAAAUAAAAUAUAUUUGAAAAAAUAAUAUAAAAUUUGUGGUAAAAUUGAAAUUCUUUAUAAAAAGUAUUUGAUUGAAUUUAUAUGCUCCUGUCUAUAUGUUAAUUACGCUUAUACUCAAAAUUUAUUUAUAUGUGAGUUACCCACGCGUUAUUAUAUUUUUAACACUAUCUAACCAGCAAGAUUUCCACAUUUUCUACCCAUAAUAAAUAGAAACCCUUAAAUAUUUUACAAUUUACAGUAUGCAAUUAUAUAUUAAAUACUAUAUAGUUUCAAAUAUGGACUUUUUGCAAAAGUGACUCAAAACUUGGAGUCAAACAGAAAACUAACAUUUUCUUUUGACUUCUUUUUUUUUGAGAUUUUAACCCCACACCUGCAUUUUAUCUACGAAAAUGCCAUUAACAUUUUUUUUUUUUUUUCGAAAAUGGUUUCUUUACUGUCUCAACCUCAUCUUCUUCAAGUAUUUACAAUAUUGCCACUGCAAUGAAUAGUGGCAACAACCUUGUACGAACUGUUUGGAGCUUUUAAUGCCCUUUAAUGCACGUAAAUCUCUUUACACUCUCUCUGUUUCAAUUGUUAUGAACUAAAAACAACAUUUUUUCACUUUCUCUCUAUAUUCAUCCAAAAAACUCAAGCUUUUUAUUCAAAAUAUGGGCUAUGGUUGACAGAGCCAUAUUUCUUUCGUUUUGACUUACGGUUGCUUUCGUUUGAGGUUCUGGGUGGUUGGAGAAGACCCUGUGUGCAAACGAAGUCAUCUCACCUAGUUUAAGGUACGAAUUUGAAUUUUUUUUCAAGAUCUGUUCGCGUAGAAGACUUACUAGUAAGUCAUCCGUAUGUAGAAGACUUACUGAUGAGUCUUCUGGUCAAACGGACGACUUAAAUUAAGUCGUCCAGCUUUGUUUGUUAAAAAAAAACACUCCAGACGACUUAUAUAUAAGUCGUCUACGAGAAACGGGCUAGUUUUGCAUUUGACCGAAUCGUGUCAGAUCUUUGACUAUUUCUGGACGACUUAUAAUUCAGUCGUCUCUGGGAAAGUUAAAAUUUCAAUAUUUUAUAAAAACUUGACGACUUACGUGCAAGUCGUCCUAGGUUAGUUUUGUAAUUGAAAAAUAAAACUUCAUAAUUUAACUUUAACCAGACGACUUAAUAUAAAGUCGUCCCUCUAGAAGACUUAAUUUAAAGUCGUCCGGGGAAAGCAAAGUCGUCCAGAAUUUUUCUCAAUUUUCUGGUCAAACUUUGCUUAUCCCGGACGACCUUAAAUUAAGUCGUUUAGUUGGACGACUUUCAGCUAAGUCGUCUGGAGAAAGUUAAAUUUCAAGUUUUAUUUUUCAAUUACAAAACUAACCUAGGAUGACUUACACAUUGAAAUUUUAACUUUCCCAGAGACGACUGAAUUAUAAGUCGUCCAGAAAUAGUCAAAGAUCUGACACGAUUCGGUCAACUGCAAAACUAGCCCGUUUCUCGUAGACGACUUAUAUAUAAGUCGUCUGAAGUUUUUUUUUAACAAACAAAGCCGGACGACUUAGAAUUAAGUCGUCCCUUUUAAUUUUCAAUUGCAAAAGUGACCUCUUUAGACGACUUACCUUUAAGUCUUCUGGACGACUUAAUGCUAAGUCGUCUGCGGCAAUGUUUAUUGAACUUCUUCAUUUUCUCUAUGUUUACUAAUGUGUUUUAUUUUGAAUAUUUGCAGAUGAUUUUUCAGUUACAUGCAAUGUAUGGAGAAUGGUUGUUGAGAGAUUUCCGUUGGGAUUUUGUGGUUGAUGAUCUCAAAGGAGCAAGAUUGUUUUUAUUGAAUGAAGAUUCAACACAUGCUGAACUUGUUGCAAUGGCUCAAGAAGAUUAUAACCUGGACAUGAGAACAGUGAGUGUGGAGAUUAGCUACUCAUUACCAGCAGAAAUGAUGAUGGCUCCAGGCAGUCUUCCCAUUCAUGUUACAAGUGAUAGACAAGUUCGAAACUUGCUGGAGAUACUAAAAACCCAUAGAGUAUGUCUUUGUGUAUCAAGCCGCAGCAAGGUCGAAACGGUUUCAGAGAAAAGGGAUAUUGAUGAAGCUGGUGAAUGGGAAAAAGAUGUUGGUGAUAAUGAUGAAGCUGGUGAAUGGGAAGAAGAUGUUGGUGAUGAUGAUGAAGCUGGUGAAUGGGAAGAAGAUGUUGGUGAUGAUGAUGAAGCUGAUGAAUGUUUUGAAGAUGUUGGUGAUAAUGAGUUUGUUGAUGAUGAAAAUCAAGAUGGGGAGGAGGAAAAUGGGGAGGAGGAUGCUGAUAAUUCUAUUGUUGGUGAAACGGAUCAGGUUCAACAUAAAAACAAGCAACAUUGCUGAAUCUAUUAAUUCCGCACUGAAGCGAGCAAGAGGAUUUCCGAUUACGUUCCUGCUGGAGUUCAUAAGGCAGAAGUUAGGAAAAUGGUAUUGGAAAAGGAGACAAGAUGCUUUGAGUCUCACAACUGAACAUAGCCGGGGUGUUGAAUACUUGCUUGCUGUUCGAGAAGAGAUAGCGGAUACGAUGACGGUCGAACCAAUUGAUGGAUGGCAUUUCUUUGUCAAAGGUGGCAAAAUGGAAUGUGUGGUUGAUUUGGAACAUGCAAAGUGUGAUUGUGGUGACUGAGGAGUGGAGAAAAUACCUUGCUCUCAUGCUAUAGCUGCUGGAACACAUGCUGGUUUGCAUAUCUCCACACUUGUAUGUCCACUGUACUCAAAGAAUUAUCUGUAUGCAGGAUACUCAGAGAAUAUAUAUCCUAUCGUGUCACAACAUAUUGAGGAACGAGAAUGCUUUCCUCCAGAACUAAAGCGUGGUCGGGGGAGACCGAAGAAAUCAAGAUGGCAAUCUUGGUUGGAGCUAUCUAGGAUGAGAGGACACAAACCCAGGAAGAAACACAGGGCACGGAGAUGCUCAAACUGCAAGGAAACUGGCCAUACGAAACCACAAUGUACACAACCAGUUGACUAGUUGUCCAGACGACCUAAAUUUAAGUCGUCCAGUCUUGAUUACCCGUCCAGACGACUAAAUUUUUAGUCGUCCAGUGUAUUUUAUUUUUAGACGACCUUCUACUAAGUCGUCCAGUGUAUUUUAUUUUUAGACGACCUUCUACUAUCCCUUCAAGUGUAUUUUAUUUUUAGACUACCUUCUACUAUCCCUUCAAGUGUAUUUUAUUUUUAGAAGUCCAGUGUAAGUCGUCCAGUUGGAAAACCUUCCAGACGACUUAUAAUAAGUCGUCCAAACCUUCUAGACGACUUAUUUGUAAAUCGUCCAGUUGGAAAACCUUCCAGACGACUUAUUUCUUCCAGACAACUUAUAUAUUUACAAAUCUAUACAAAGACAAGUUGAAAUACAAAUACUUCGCUCGUUAAAAAAUCAUGUUCAAAUACAAAGACAAGUUCAAAUACAAACACAAAUCUAAUCAUACAUGCCUACGAACUUAUCACCAUCCACAUUUUCUUUCAAAUGCUGAUCAACAAGCUCCUUCCAUAUAUCCACCGCCAUAUUAUCCCUCAUUUUCUUCGCGUUGCACCUAGCAAAGUCUUUAGGGUCAAAGGAGACCCCAAGAGCAUGACAUUCAAUGUACUUUACAGCGUACACGCCACAAUCACCAUUGUUGGCCGUGGGUACACCUUUCAGUGGUCUGUCAUACGUGUAUGGCUCCAACCCGUAUUUGACCCGUAUUUCGUCGGUGGCUGCGCACUCAACAAGCAGAUAAGGGACCAUCUGGAGAAAAGGCUCCAUUAUCGCAUCCCAUGCGUCUGGUACACUAGAUGAAGGUAUGCUGUCCCAGACGACUAUGUGCCUCUUAGGGAUCGAUAUCCAAAUAGCAACCCAAUGCUUGUCGUUCAAGUUCACUGGCGCAUAGAUAUCAUCAAUGUCCUCCCCCCACUUCUUGUUUGAUUGACAAAAUGAAGGUAUUGAUCCGUCAUAAAAAUUCGACGCCCCACCAGGUAGAACUCUUCCUAAACCUUUGUGAUCAGGUUCCGAUGUUUUGAAGAGCUGAUACUGCUCUCUCCAAGACUGGGAAAAGUUGUGAUCCAGGAAGCACAUUCGCUCGCUCCUGAAAGCUUGUGGGUUCUCCUGAUACCUCUGCCUUAGCACAUUAAUCCAAGCAUCUAUAUGCUGCAUAUUAAAUAUAACAAGUUAGAAGUUACCAGACGACUUAAAUAUAAGUCGUCUACGUGGUCGUCCAAGUAGACGACUUUCCAGACGAUUUAUCUUUAAGUCGUCUGGAAAGUAGUCUACUUGGACGACUUUGUAGACGACUUAAAUCGUGUGCAGAAGACUUACGCAGUCUUCCAGCCAUCCUCUGGCUGUCCGGAGGAAGUGGUACCACCUUGUUGGUGAUGUACGUGGUUUGUCCUCGGUCUUAGUUGAAUAAUGACUGCAAACAAAAAAGCAAUCAGUUUUGGACGACUAAAUCAAGCUAUUAUGGGUAAAACAAUCACUUACGGAUCAGUUUUCAACCAAUCAGCGAGUUCCUUCAACUUAUCUUUGUUUACUGGCGGAAAUGGAUUAUAGGCUGCCACUUUACCUUUUUUUUUCUCUGCCGUAUAAGGAGAUCUCACAGUGGGAGCAGGUUUCUUCGCUCGUUUACUCUUUGCACGCUUGUCCAAUACAACCAGGCUCGGUUCUGAAACUGGAUCGCUUGGCUCGGUGGAAGCGAGGCUCGGUUGUUGAUCUUUGGAGGUGACACCAUCUGCUUUAUCCUCCGGCAAGAUCUUAUAUACCGAGUUCCCCUCGGUUGCUGUAUCCUCCGGCAACCAUCUCUGCAAUAAAAGUUGCACACAAGUUAACCCUGGACGACUUAAAUAAAAGUUGUCUGGACGACUAGUUGACCCUGGACGACUUAAAUAUAAAUCGUCUGGACGACUAGUUGACCCUGGACGACUUAAAAUUAAGUCUUCCGUGGUCAACUAGUCGUCCAGACAACUUACGUUUAAGUCGUCCAGGGUCAACUAGUCGUCCAGACAACUUUUACAGUCGUCUGGACAACUAGUUAACCCUAGAUUUGAUACUAACCUCUUUGAUUUGAUGAGGCUGUUUCUUUUGAGGAGGAGGCUGUUUCUUUUGAGGAGGAGGAGGAGGCUGUUUCUUUUGAGGAGGAGGAGGCUGCUGUUUGGUUUGAUGAGGAGGAGGCUGGUUACUAACCACGGUUUCAUUGGCAUGAGGGGUAGCCUGUUUGUUACUACCCCCGGUUUCUUUGGCAAGAGGGGUAGGCUGUUUAUCUUGAGGGGUAGCCUGAUUGGUUAGAGGUGGAGGGGUAGCCUGAUUGGUGACACCAACCUUCUUCUCCACAGCUUCCAAUCUAUCGGACAACUUCCUAAACUCUCUGAUGCACUUCUUAAACCCUUCUUUCAUGCAGUCAGCUACGCCCUUGAACAUAAUUUCCAAAUCCUCUCUGGUCACCCCUCUAGCCUCUUCUCUAGCCUCUUCACUAGCCACUUUAGGAGCCUCUUUACGAGCUUUCUUCCGAGGUCUUGGAUUGUCUUCCUCCUCCUCCUCCUCCUCCUCCAACACAACCAUCUCUUUGGCUUUCUUCGAGGGAGUCACAACCUUAGGUUUUGUAUAGACCUUAGUACCAGUGACUUCCCAGCAAUCCAUGAUCCACUUCCACGGUCUCCGCUCAUACAUGACUUUAAUGAUGUUCUCCGCGGGCAGGUCCUCAACAUCAGAGUCCCAGCUGGACGACCUUCCAGACGACUUAUUAUAAGUCGUCUGCGCAGUCUUUUGGAUUGAAGUAAAUACCUGACUCAAGAUAGCAGCUUUCAUUGAUCUGCGGCCUCUGCUGCCCUCGUAAGCCAGUAUCGGUGGAGACGGACUGUCUGCUCUGGGACCACCAAUACUAGCACCCAAUUCCGGCAUAGCUGUGUACGCCCAGACCUGAAGAACUUAUAUAAACCCAUCCACGGUGUAACAGCCAGUAAUUUCUUUGUUCCACAAAGAGUCCAUCAGCACCUUAAACGCGACUCUCCCCCAUGGAUAAUUCUCAAACCGUUCUAAAUCCAUCACUAGCCUUGCCAGAGUAGAUCGUGUAGCGGUUGAAAACUUUCUCCCUUCAAUGAAUCCAGUGAAGAUGGAGAGGUACGCGAGCCGCUUGCGAUCUUCCCUGGACCAAUCCCCGCAUCUCUUCAGUGCUGCUAUUAUCUGAUCAGUAGUUGGCCCAGCUUCCAGAUGAACUCCCGGCAUCCCCCAGAAAGAAACCAUCUCUUCGGUAACGUCACAUUUUGGUGUCUCAAGGUCCUCGAUGUACUCGCAGUUUAGACCAGUGAGGUUUUCAAACUCUAACAGUGAAAACCUCAAAGGUUCUGGACCAAUGAGAGACCACAUCUCAUACUUCUUCUUAAUGUCCAGCUUGAAACUGAGCAUGUAGUGAACCAGCCUUGAAGCCCAACCAAAUCCCUGCUCCUUGAACUUGAUGAAAACUCCCAAACUCGACUCCUUGAGCUCUUCAAAUUCGUCAUCAGUAAGAGCUUCCCUAAGAGCAGUAUGCAACUUGCUGUUAUCCGUAUGAUACGAAAUGCUAUUGUGGGCUUCUGGCUCUUCCCCUGAUGUGUAUAACCUACGGGGGAGUUCUGGAAUAUCCAUCCUUUUUGUCUGCAAAAUAAUCAAAGACAACAAUAUAAGUCCAGACGACUUAGUAGACGACUUAUAAUUAAGUCGUCUGGAACUAAGUCGUCCAGUUGGAAGACUUUCCAGACGACUUAAAUUACUUACAAGUCUUCCAGUACAAAGCGGACCUGAUUAGUCGCAGAAGGAGUUGGAGUACUCGUCAUUGCGGUUAUAGAUCUGAAAAUAUAAACGUGAAACGGUGAGAAUGAGUAAAUUGAUAGAGACAACGUUUUAUGUUCAUCUUUUCCUCGAGAUUGAUGACUUACCGGCGUUAGGGUUUACAGAGAAACGGCGCUAAGGUUUACAGAGAAGAAGCGGCGGCGCUAGGGUUUAGAAGAAGCGGCGGCGCUAGUGUUUAGGGGAAGCGGCGGUGAGAACGUUGGUGACCACGGUGGCGAGGGCGACGGUUUGUUCGGAAAUAGUGGAAGCGACGGCGCUAGGGUUUAGAGGAAUCGGCGGCGCUAGGGUUAGAAGAAGCUGCGGCGACAACGGUGAGAAUGAAGUGAGAUAGAUAGCCGACGUUGAGAACGAUGGUUUGUUCGGAAAUCCUGGGAAUUCGAAAUCGCCUUUGAGAGAGAGAACUGUUAGGGUUUCUGAAUUUAGCGAAAAAUGAAACAAAAAAAAAUCACCUUAUAUAUUGGGUAAAUAAUCCGGUUAGCUUUAAAAGUAUAUUGGUAAACUUUAAGGUUUGGUCCGGUUUAGACGACUUAUUCUGGCUGAUAAUGUACAACAGACGACUUAAUAUUUAGUCGUCUGUUUUCAGACGACAAAAUAUUAAGUCGUCCUAGACCCUAAAAUGAACCCCUAAACUAAAAUGACUAGAUUAACUAACUAACCACGUUAUAAAAUCAAAUUAUACUUAAAUAGUGUUUACUAUACACAGAAAUGAACACGCAUAAGUAAUUUUAAAAAUUUUCAAAAACGGUUUUAAUGUUUUCCAAAAUCUAACCCUAAGAACACAUACAAUACUACAACAUAUGUUGAUGAAACAUAAACUAAAGAAUAUCAUGACUCACUACUUUCACUCAUCUAUGCUGAAAACAAUUGAAAUUUGUUAUAUCUUAAUUUAUACCUCCUAAGACAUAUGUUAAUUACAUAAUUCCCAUUUUUCACUUAUCAAAAUAUUUUUUACAAAAUUUUUAAAUUAUGUUUAAGACUAACUGUCCAGACGACUUUCAGUUAAGUCGUCUGGACGACUUAUUUUCAAGUCGUCUAAACAGACGACUUGCGAGGGGUAGAAACGUAAAAAAAAUUCUGUUUUUUUGUUUGGUCACAAGGGGAUAGUUGUAAUUUCAAUAGCCUUUUAGGUUACUUUUGCCUUUGACCUAAGUUGGGGUAUUGUUUUGGGUUUGACUUUAAGUUUUGAGUCACAAUUGGCAAUUCAAAUAUUUUAUACGUACCCCUCAAAGACAACUAUAUGUAUUAUUUAUUUAUUUAUUUUUGCUAAAAAUAUAUGGAUUAUUCACAAUUAGGUUUUCUUUUAAUAAAAAUAAAUUGUAUUAUGUGACCUCCUUUGGUCAAAUUGUAUAUCUGUAAAAGUCUGUAGAUGCCAUGUGCUAUAAAUGAAACUGCUAAUAAAAUAUACGAAACUUUGUCCUUUUAAAUGAAAUGUACGAUGUCAAAAGAAAAGAAAAAACGUAAAUAUAUAUACGCAACCGAGAAUUAUAAAUUAAUUUCUCAAACGGUCAAGUCAAACUAUAACCCAUCUUAGAAAAGUCAACAUGAAAUAUACAUCUUAAAUACUAGUAUAGAACAACAUCUAGAUGUCAGUUUAGUAGAAAAAAGUUAAGAAAAAUAAAUACACAAUUUGAAAUAUUUAUCUUUUAUCUUGUCAAAGAAUUCGAUAUAUUUAUCAGUGUUUGUAUUACAGUUAACUGAUUUAUAAUUUAUGGCUAAUCGUCUACUUAACGUCAAGUAAAAAAAGAAUGUCAGAUGUCAUGUGAGAUUGAUACACUAGAGACAAUAUUUCUUAUAAUUAUCAUCGAUAGAUUGAUGACAAAGCGCGUUAUUAUAUAUUAAAAUUUAAAAAAAUUGGUAAGUAGCAUAGUUUGAUUAUUUGGAUCGGUUAUGAAUUUAAUUAUUUCCUUAUAAGAAAAGCAAACAAUUAAGACCUCGAUUUUUUGACGACCGUUGAUUUUGACGUAGCAUUGAAGUAUUCCCAGAGAAGGAGGACGCAGAAAAUAAAAAAAAAUAGUUUCUUGUUUUUGAAGCCCGGAAGAACAUUCGAUUCAUUGUUACAGAUUCAAGUUUGGGAGUGAAAGGAGACAAAGCUACUCGUGUUCUGUAGCAUGCUUUUUUGGUCUUUUAAUGGCUGAAGACUUUUCAGUUUAUGGUGUGUUCAAGUGAAGAAGCUAUUACAGAUCUGAGGUAAUCUCGGUGAUCUGGUUUUGUCUGAGUGAUCUAACUAUAUCAUCCUCGUCGUCGUUUCUCUCUCUCUCUCUUUGCGUUGUGGUUGGAGUAAUUUAGGGUUUAAUCAAAGGCAGAGUUGCCGCUUCUUCACGUUAAGUGUUUUUUCCGGUUGGUAAGAGUUUGGUGGACCCAGAAGCGUGUCGGUGAUAAGAAAGUAGAUUUGUUUUGGCUUGUUGUCGGAAUUUUAGAUGGCUACAUCGCCGGCACAACCUCCUGUUUCAAAUUCUCCACCGUCUCCACCGGUGGCUUCACCGCCUUUGGGCAAUUCUCUUCCGAGUAACAAUGCAACUUCACCACCGCCGUCUCAGUCUCCUCCUCCGGCCACACCACCACCGGUGACAUCGCUGCCUUUGGACAAUUCUCUACCGAGUAACAAUGCAACUUCACCACCGCCGCCGUCUCAGUCUUCUCCUCCGGCCACACCACCACCGGUGACAUCGCCGCCUUUGGGCAAUUCUCUUCCUAGUAACAAUGCAACUUCGCCACCACCAGUGACACCGCUGCCCUCUCCAUCACCACCGCCACCAAACGGAGCUCCUCCUCCGGUUACAACCUCACCACCAGAUGGAUCACCUCCUCCUCCUCUGCCAAAACCACCUGAGGCGUCUCCUCCCCCACCGCCACAGCCAGUGAUCCCUUCACCUCCUCCUGCAAUUCCACCGCCACCACCGUCUGUGCAGCCACCGCAAGCCUCUCCCCCACCACCUCCAUCAGCUCCACCAUUACCUUCUUCCCCUCCACCUCCUUCAUCUGUUCCUCCUUUGCCACCAACCUCACAACGCUCUCCUCCUCCGCCGCCUAUAGAACGUCCCGUUCAGUCUCCACCUCCACCUUCACCGCCUUCAGAGCGUCCUGUUCAGUCUCCACCUCCACCUUCACCGCCUUCAGAGCGUCCUAUUCAGUCUCCACCUCCAUUUUCACCGCCUUCAAGUCGUCCCCCUUCAUCUCCUCCUUCUCCUUCGCCGCCUUCAGAUCGUCCCAUUCAGUCUCCUCCUUCACCACCAGAAAACACCAGUCCACCGCCUUCAGAUUCUUUGCCACCACCAACAUUCUCUUCUCCUCCGGUACCAGGUCCCAAUAAUCCACCUCAAAACAACCUUACUCCUAGUUCUCCUGAUACUUCAAAUCCAACUCAUAGUACUAGUGGCAUCGGUACUGGACCUAUCCUUGGCAUCACCGUCGCAGUGGCGCUUGUGGUGUUCAGUCUCAUUGGCCUCCUUAUCUGGUGCAUAAGAAGACGAGAAAAACGGCUUUCAGCUGUUAGUGGUGGCUACGUCACACCAUCACCAAGAUCAGGUACUACUUUGAUUAACAUGUCACUUUUGUUUCUUACAUAAUGCCAUUUCUUGAUCUCUCACUACACAUGCACAGACUCAGCUUUCUUUAGAACGCAGUCAUCUGCACCAGGGAGUCAUCGCACGUACUUCUCACAGUCACAAUCAGGCGGGUUAGGCAACUCAAAGGCCUUGUUCUCGUACCAAGAACUUGUCAAGGCAACGAACGGGUUCUCGGAAGAGAAUCUAUUAGGAGAAGGUGGAUUUGGUUGUGUAUAUAGAGGGGUGUUACCAGAUGGGAGACUCGUAGCUGUGAAACAGCUUAAAGUAGGUGGAGGACAAGGUGACCGUGAGUUCAAAGCUGAGGUUGAGACGCUUAGCAGAAUCCAUCAUCGUCAUUUGGUUUCCAUCGUGGGACAUUGCAUCUCUGAUGACCGUAGAUUGCUUAUUUAUGAUUUUGUCUCUAACAAUGACCUUUACUUCCACCUUCAUGGUUAGUAAAAAAGCAUUUUACAAUUCAUAUAUACAUGGAUGCACACACCACUGGUACUUACAUUACGUCUUCUGAAUAGUAUCCAAAGAGGUUCUGGACUGGGCAACACGAGUUAGAAUCGCUGCUGGUGCAGCUCGUGGACUAGCUUACCUCCAUGAAGAUUGUAAGUUGCUUCUCACCUCACUGGUUUUAACCUUUUCAGUCAUUUUUUCUUGCUUUUGAUUGUAACCUUUUAAACCAUUUGGCUAUUCUUACUGAGCUGUCUAUUGUCAGGUCACCCGCGGAUCAUCCACAGGGACAUUAAGUCGUCUAACAUUCUUUUAGAGGACAACUUUGAUGCUCGGGUAACACAUUACUCCCCCUAUUCUUGAUUUUUCAAGGUUUUAGUUACAUGGUGACUAGUGCCGGUCCUGAGAUUUGGGGGAGGCUUCAGGUGAUUUAGUAAAGGUUUUGAAUAAUUUUUUUUUUUACAAAUUUGGGAAACUAUAUCUAUAUAAUUCGUUUCAAAAAAUUUGUGGGCUUUAGGCUAAUGUUUCACUAGGCUAUGCCCAAGACCGGCUCUAAUUAUUGGUGAAUUUGACAAUAUCUAAACCUCUCACUCUCUUGUAGGUUUCUGACUUUGGUCUUGCAAGAUUAGCUCUUGAUUGUAACACUCAUAUCACCACAAGGGUUAUGGGAACAUUUGGGUACAUUCUUGCUUGCCUAGUUUUGAUUAAAGGGCACAAGAUUGGCAUCUACUUGAUAUUUUUUUUACCUCAUUCAUCCUUUUGCAGCUACUUGGCUCCUGAAUAUGCAUCAAGUGGGAAACUAACAGAGAAAUCAGAUGUAUACUCCUUUGGAGUUGUUCUUCUUGAGUUAAUCACUGGACGUAAACCUGUUGAUACAUCUCAACCACUUGGAGAGGAGAGCCUUGUUGAAUGGGUACACCUUCUAUUCCAACCUUACUUAACCUGUAAAACAUGAUUAGUCCUUGAGCUGUUUCCCAGCUCUGUUGUUGUUCAGGCACGGCCACUGAUAAGUCAUGCCAUCGAAACCGAGGAGUUCGGUUCUUUAGCAGACCCUAAGCUUGGAGGAAACUAUGUGGAUUCCGAAAUGUUUAGAAUGAUUGAAGCAGCAGGAGCCUGCGUGCGCCAUUCAGCUGCCAAGAGACCCCGGAUGGGUCAAGUACAUAACAUUUUCUCUUCUUGUUUACUCUCAAGAGUUUUUUACUUUUGCUUAGAAAUUUGAAAUGUUUUUAUUGGCAGAUUGUGAGGGCUCUUGAGAGUUUAUCUGCGGAAGACCUCACUAAUGGGAUGAGACUAGGUGAAAGCGAGGUCUUUGACUCAGCUCAACAGUCAGCAGAGAUCAGAUUGUUCAGAAGAAUGGCUUUUGGUAGCCAAAACUACAGUACAGAUUUUUUCACACAUACUAGCUACAACAGCAGAGACCAAAACGUGUAAAUAUCAUACACAAGAUAUGUUUUUUUUUAUCUUCUCGGCGUUAAGAGGGAACAAAACCCAUCAAGAACAGCUAAGUUUUGUCUGAAAAGCUCCCAAGCUCACUUUCUUGAGUGCUCAAAACAGUAUGAAUCUCCUUUUGUUUCUUUGUUUACUCUUAACUUGUGUUCAUGUUCUUGUGUCCAUAUGGUGAAACUAAAGAGACUACCAAAUACAAUUUGCAGAAACAGACGAGCAUGUGGUAGAGGAAGAUGAGGAAUAAAGGUUUACUUAUGUUCUUGAGCAAGAGGGUUUUGUUUCUUACAUGAAAGCACUUUUUGUAUCUAUUUUUUUUUAUGUUUCUAAUUUUUUUUUAAAUCUUUACCUUCAAGUUUUAUGAUAAAUCAACAAGGAUCUUUCUGUGUCUCGUUGAAGAACGUGUUGAUCUGGCUCAAGUUAUACAUCUAAGAAGACGCAUUUACCCCUAUGAAUCACCAUGAUGGAGAGUAUAAUCAAAGGAACGUAGGAAACAAAAGAAUCUUAGUUGCUUUGACGUCCAAGAUACCUAAACAAUGCUUUUUUAAAGUGUAAAGAUCCCUUGUGGAUUUUCAUACAGUUAUGAGAAAAAACAAACACAUGGGAUGUUGCUUUGCGUUGCAUUGUUGAUACCAAUAUUGGCAAAGGAACACAUUCCUUUGACACAAUCCUAUGUAACCUCUCAAUCUAUGUUUCCUCCUUCCUUUAUAUCUUUGUUGUUUUACCUUAACAGUUUUCAAUGCAUCAAAAACAAUGGAACAAGAUUGUGGUGCUUUUACAGCAGAUUGUGUUGUCCUCUGUUGCUGCUGUGAGUGCUUUAUCCUACAGUUCUUUAUCUUCGUCUUCUACAAGAUGCCUUCUAAAGUUGCUCACAAGAUGAAGAGGUUUGUCAUCAGGAGGCUGCUCAGAGGAAAGAAGAGAAGAUUGCUGCCUGCAAAGGAUGAGGAUUGCAGAGAAGAGGAGCGUUUGCCUGGUGAUGUCUCCAGAGUUAGUUGCAUGGAAGAUAUUGAGGAGAUGUUGCAUGAGCUCUCCAUGGAGGGAGAGUUUGUAUUUGGGAGUUUCUGGCGUCAAGGAGAGACUACAAACGAUUUUGACUUCGGAAACUCACAAUAUGAAAUAGAAGAAACCAAUGAUCAUUCCUUUGUCAUUGCUCAUCACACAAGAUGUCUUCAUUGCUCUAAGAAUGACAAUAUAUUAAAGGAAUCUUGAAAGAGCCAAAGAGAAAAGACUUAGAUGCUAUCUCUCUACUAGAAGUAUGGUGUAUAAUCUUCAGAGUUCACUGUAAGAAUCUACUUUGUUAAUCAGGCAAGGCGCUCAAGAAUCAGAAUGUACAACUGGUUAACAGUCUAUUUACGUCCUGGCAAGUCGGUUGUAAAAUGGUUAACUCAUGAUUCAGGCUCUGACCUCCUCACUGAUCUCUUUUUAGCUUCUAAUCUUGCGGUGAACCCAACUGUUGUAGGCCUUAUUGAUCUUUGCCUCACCAUAUCACAGUACUCAGGGUCAUUACACUGACCCUCAUACCUCAGCCACUGUAUCAUCCCAUGGUACAUUGGGAAGAACCUCAUCUGAACCGCGGAGUAGAUGAAGUAAGGCAGCAAAGUAGAUACAACCACAAAGAGAGUGAUGACCCAGUAAGAAAGCGACGGCGCCAGAGCUUCAACAAAGACUCUAUACGCACUGGUUGAUAUACUCGCUGGAAGCUCUCCGUAGACGGUCAUGAAGAGGUACCAAACGAGGAUGGAUCCCCAAAUGACAAUGUGCUGGAUGAGUGUGAAGUAACUGAUGGCUAAUGCCAUCUGCAAGUUCACAACCCAGACGAUGCAUGUGUACAUUGUCCCUCCUAAUAUCUCUUUCCCAGGGGUUUUGCCUUGGUGGUUGAAAGCUUGUGGCUCAAGAGAGCUUUUGCAGAGGAAGAAGAUGAUUACUGCGCUGUAGAAUCCGUUGAACAUCCAUCCAAGUAUCCUCCGCCAGCUGAAGAGAACGUUUUGCACACCUUCUUGGUAUAACAGUGGAAACUGUGAAUCCAAAGACAAAACAAAGAGUUUAGUACACAUUGUUUAAUACUCUCUCCGUUCCCGAAAGAAUAUAUUAAAAAUACAAUAUAUGGUUACAAUUAAAUUUAUUAUUUAUUUUUACUAUACACUUUCCAAUAACUAUCAACCAAUGAUAUUUAAUCAAUUUAAAUAAGUUUAAUUAAUAUUUCUUAAUUAUAUACAAAAGUACUUUAAAAAUAUUGAAAAUCUAGUAUUUAUGGAACAAGAGGGAGUAUGUCAGAAGAGUAAAGCUGUUUUAAUGUAAUGAAAGAAGUUUACCUUGAGACAGUACCGUGCAGAUACAUCUUGGUCGAAGACACCAAGAGCAAUAACCGGAAGGGACGAGAAGCAAACAUUGUAAAGAGAUAGGAACCAAUCGUUGUAAGCAGGUGUUGAUGAGAAUGUUGUGUAUGCUUCAUACAAGAAGAGAGUGAAACCAAACGUAAUGUUCUUGUAGAAGAAGUAGCAAAUCUGUGAAACAGAGAAAACUACUGUCAAGAUUAUGUUAAAGAGACUCAUGUCACACGCACACUAAAGUGGGUAUAUACCAUUGUUGAGAUACGCCUGUAACACCAGUGUCCAUGGACUAAUAACAAACGUUCCAGAUAUCUAAACUGAGCAAUCGCAAUGUCACUUGACAUUACAGCCUGCAUGCCUUCCACACCGCUGAUGCCCACACCAAUAUCUGCUUCUUGAAGCAUCCCAACAUCAUUUGCGCCAUCACCAAUAGCUAAUGUUGUUUUACCAUUUCCAGAUUUUACUAGCCUUGUCACCUACAUUUGCCAUGUACUUCUUGAGAAAAAUCUUGACAGUAAACAAAAGUUUAAACCAAAGAAACUGACCAGAGCUUUCUGUUUUGGUGAUGAACGACAGCAAAUGACAGAAGCACAACCAACGGCGAGCUCUAAGAAGAUGUGUUUUAUAUCAUCGUCCAAGGCGUAAGCAAGUGACUUCCCAUCAAUGAUCAAAGCAAAAGCAUCAGAGUUCCCACCAGCAUACUUUAGCUGAGUCUUUCCAUUGAUUAUCUGCAAUAAGACAUUCUCUUUUGAUGCCUGCAAGAUCAAACCAACCACUUUGAUUCAUUUUAUCUUACAUAAUCUUCUGAAGAACUAUCAAUGUUUUUUUUAAAAAACCUUAGCAAUGGCAUCUUUCUCUCCAGUUUUCUCCAGUGAGUGGAUCUCAGGGGUCUCCAAGUUGAUUAUGAUCUGCUUCAUGUCUUGUCUGAGUAAACUACUGGCAAAGCUGUCAAAGAGACGCAUACAAAAGAGUUCAUAGAGUGGAGAGAAUAAACAAACAAAAAAAACUAUAUACAUGAACUCAAAGAGUAGGUGAUACCCAGAAAAAUAGAUACCCAAUAUUGAUAGCAGUCUCCAUUUUGUCACCAGUCAAAACCCAAAUCUUGAUUCCUGCUUGUGCUAGCUUGUCAAUGCAAUCAGGGACCUGAAAAAAAUCAAUGUUAAAAGUGUUUUCAAUACACUAAAAUGAUUAUAUGUAUAACAUCAGUGGCCAUGCUUACUCCAUUUUGGAGUUUAUCCUCAACAGCGGUAGCUCCAAGAAGGAUCAAGUCUUUCUCAACUUUCUCCGUGACUUCCUCUAUCAAUGAUUCUCUAUCAGCACUAACCGAGCUCUUUGCUUCACUGAUUCUCACACUAAAAUCUUUGUAUUCUUUCUCGUCGAGUUCACGGUAUGCAAGUAUCAAAGUUCUAAGGCCUGCAUCAGCAUACUCGUUGACAUGGUCCCUUGUUUCCACCUCAAACUCUCUACCGUUCUUAGAAAGUCUCUCAAACAUAACACUGGUCAAAGAAACAAAAUAAGUUCAAAAAAGAAGAUAUGUUUUUUUUUUAAUAAAGUCACACUUACUUGUCUGCUCCUUUACAAAGUAGUAAGAGCUUCCCAUCUUCAUCCUGCACUAUCACCGACAUUCUCUUCCUUGUGCUGUUGAACUCAAGAACGUUCAGCACUUUGUACAGCCUCUCAACUCUUUUGCCAGUCACAAGAUCAAGCUCUCUUACAGAUAUACUAGUUUGAGUUCUGUUAUAAAACUCAAACCCAAGCUCCCUUGCUGCAAUAACAAAAGCUGCUUCAUCAGGAGACUCAGCCUCAUAAGAGAUCUUCUCUGUGUCCUCAUCCCCUUCAGGUAUCACCGUAUGGCACACCGCAAGCAAUCUCAAAAACUUCUGAAUAACAUCAGCGUGAGGUUCAGUGACCCAGUUCCCAUUCAUUAUCCUCUCAUCUCUAAAAUUAAACCCUUUCACCUUGGCCUCUUCAGCAAACGGUUCCUUAUUGUACUCCACAUCAUCGCUCUGAAGCACCAGAGGAGAGCCUUUCCUCCUUCCCAUAGCCAUCUCAACCUCAGUGACGCCGCGUCCGUAAGCCGUCCCGGCGACAGAACACUUGAUGAACUCCAUGGAGUUGCAAGUCAAUGUCCCAGUCUUGUCGGAGAGGAUUGUAUCCACCUGACCAAGCUCCUCGUUUAAAUUAGAGGUUCUUGCACGAGCCGGCUUGUUGGCUUCCUCGUAGUACAUGUGGAUGUCUUGGUUGAUGAAGAUGCUCUGAAGGACUUUAACAAUCUCUAUCGAGACAUACAAAGAUAUUGGAAUGAAGUAGCUGUACAGCAUAGCCGCUGUUAGGAAGUGAUAGAAGGCAGCAACAUGAGCUCUCUUGGGGUCAAAGAAGAUAGAUGAGCUGUCUGGUCUCAAGUACCAUCUCUUCACCACACUGUCCUUGAAGUCAUCUCUCGUUGUGACUCCAAAGAUGACUGAGCCAAUGAAUGACAUCAGAACCACCAUGAAGAACAUGAGGUAGAUGAUCUUAUCCAUCUUUCUCUCAAUCAUGCUUCUCUUGGAAGGAGGAUCCGUUGAGUUCUGUAUGACCUUUGUGUCGUGACCGGUGAAGAUAACCGCGCCGAAGAUGAACUCCGUGUUCCUGAGCUUUGAGUCUCUGAGGAGAAGCUGCUGAGGCGAGAGAGGGUACUUGGUUCCUUUGAGCUCCAUGGUUCCGACAAAGGAGUACAAGUUGGCGUUUGGAUCCUCGCAUUUGACAAAAGCCUCAAAGCCCUUGAAGUUAAAGUCUUCCCUCAAGGAGGAAGUGACUUCUAGUCCUUGUUUGACUUUGAGAUUGGUUUCGCCGUCUAGGUUCAUCGUCUCUACGUAGCAGAUAGCGUCCUCGUAGCUAGAUGAAAGGAGAACAAGAUCUGCAGGGAAGAACUGGUUCUUUUCUACCUUCACUAUGUCUCCGACGCUUAAAGUCUUCCACUCCUUGGAAUCAAAGUUCCCAUCUCCUCUAUGCACUUUUACUCUCCUAUUAUUCACCUCAAUAUCCUAAUAACAUGAAAAUGCUUGUAUCUUUCAGACAAGAUCAAGAAAAAGACUAGUCAUGGGCAUAUUAUCCGAAACCCGAAAACCGAACUGGAGCUGAACCGAAUAAACAAAACCAAAACCCGACCAAAGUUUACAAAAACUCGAACGGUUCCUAUUUCUCUAUUCUCUACAAAAAAAAAUGGAAACCCAACCUGAAACCGACAUUAUCCGAACCCAUCCGAUCCAAAAGAUUCUAUAUUUGCAAAUACUCUCGGAAUAAGAAAUCAGUGUAGGCAGCGUCUAGGCGCCGCUUAGUGGAUAAAUCGGAUCUGAAUGAAACGAUAUUUUCAAUCCAUUCUUUUAAAAAGAAAUUGGUCUAGAUGUUCAAAAAAUCGUUCUUGGCAAUAAUUCUCUAUGAUGCGCCUAACCACUACUUAGCGCGAUUUAUUGAACAUUAAACAAGACCAUAAUUAAGAUUGCAAGAAACUAAAGAAUCAAAGAGUGUACCUGCUUGUUGCGGCGCCAAUCUUCAACACCUUCUUUAACCAUAGUAGCACCAAUAACGAAAAGGAGAGGAAAAAUGGCACUUGCAGCAGUGUAAGGAGCCAAGGGAGUGAAAGACAAGACGCCAGUGACCAAGAAGUAGAAGUUUGCGACUCUUCUGAACUGCUCAAAGAGCGAUUUUGGUAAGAAAGUGGCGAGAGUGUACUUGGUUGUUCUCACGUAGUUGUCGCUGUAGCUGCUCGAGUCAGCUUCGGGUGAAUCAGGCUCGUUGAUGAAGACGAGACGAGAGUAACCGGGUCCUCCGAUUUGAGAGUGGUCUUGCUUGAAAAACGCUUGAGUGCAUGUGAGUGUGUAGAGCUUGCUUAAGUGGAUUCUUCUCCUUCUUCGUCUCUUUAGUCCACUUCCUGCCAUUGAUAGAGAGAGAUCUGCAGGAGACAACAAAAAACUUUGAAUCUUUUUUGGAUAUUCAAGAAACCCUGAAAAUUAUAUUCAGACAGAACCGAAUUAUUAUAAUAACACCCGCGAGAACAUUUUAAAAAUGAAGAAAAAUAAAAGUAUCAUUUUUUGGCUUUUUUAAAUUAAAAGAAAAAGAAAAGAAAAAAAAAAGACAGUAAGCGAUUAAGGCAGGACCUCAAACCAACCGAGGAGAAAAGCAGACAAGACCGUGACUGGUUUUAUUCUCCGACCUCGUUUUCUGCGACUCUCUCCGGUUACCUAAAUUUGUUUUUUUUCUUUCUCGGGAAAAUGGAUUUAGAAAAAUUGAGUGAGUGAGAGAGCUGAGAUCAAGAAGGGUGUUUACGAAAGGUUGUGAUCUAUUAUGAGAAAGUUAAGAUCUUUUUAAUCUUACAAGCCAAGAAAAUGGAGCUUGAGUGAGAGAGAUCUCAUGGAUUUUUAUGAAUUUAUAGCCAGAAUGAUCUUCUGCCAAUCCAAACAAACUGGGAAGACGAAGAGGACGAGGAAGAAAGAAACAGAGAGAAAGUGCCAAGAUUCGGACAAGUCAUGGUUCCCUUUCUAGAAAUAAUUAAUAAUAAUGUUUGAUGGAAUAACAACAGCAAAUCUCAAAUCCUCUCAUAAAAAAAAAUAAUAAUUAAAAGCAUUCAAUAGAAGGAAACAAACUUUUGCUCUGUGUACAGACAGAACACAGAAAACUGGACUUCUUUUUUUUUUUUAAUUUGUAUGUUCUAAUGAUUGUCAGAUUAUCAGAAGAACAUACGAGAAAAAAAAAAAGAAGUGAGAAUUAAUUUUGGUUAGAGAGGGGAGAGAUGAAGAAGGAGAAGAAUCGAUUGGAGGAACAUUAGAUGCGCCGUCGUGGCUGAGAGAAGGUGAGACCAGCACACAAAAUGCGGGUCAAACACACUUUAAAUUCAUCUAUUGCAUGAAUGAAUUCUUCUUAUUAUUAUUUAAUAGUAUAGAUAUUCUCUCUUUAUUACUUCCUCCCUUUCGAUAUAAAUGAUGUCUCAGGUGAUUUUUUUUAUUUCAUAAUAGAUGAUAUUUUCACGUAACAAUAGAUGAUGUUUUCACAUAUCUAAUUAAUUUUAAUUUUAUCAAAAACUGUGUAGCCAAUUGUGUUUUUAUUAUUUUUGUUUAUAAUUAAAUAAAUUAGUUUUAAAUUAUAUUUUAAUGAUUUUUGUCUAGAAAAUAUAAUUUUUUUAAUAUGUGUGCAAAGAACCAAAACUUUAUCUAUUAUGAAACGGAGGGAGUGGUAUAUAAGUGACUCUUGCAGCAAAGGAUUGAUCCUUCUGGUAUAACCCAACCAUAAAUAGGAGGACUGUACAUUUAAUUAGAGUAAUUAAAAUGUGAUAUUAUUCUAUUUUUAAACCAUUAUAUUAUAUAUGCUCAUAUUACUUUUCUUCAUUUUCUCUUUGACUAAUAAUAUAUAUAAUGAGUACAACUCUAUAAAAAUGGAAUAAUUAAAUAUAAGAUGUUCUUAUGUUGAUUGCAAAAGUUCAUAUUAUAAUGAGAGUACUGAUGAACGAAGGUAGUCACGUCACAUAAGACUCACCAAAAGCACAUUAAAAUCGAUCUUCCAGUCAUAUUAUUAAGUUGAUCCGAUCCCACCAGACAAAACCCCAGUCUCGAGAUCAUAUGGAGAUAUCUUUUUUUAUGAUACUGUUGGAUUGCUUAUAGACUAUAGUGAAGGGAAUUUUUAGCUAACUCAAUCAGAUCCGAUCCAAUACAAGAAUGGAUGGUAGUUCAAACAAUUUAGAUAAAUGAAUUUAAACAUGGAAGAUCAUGAAUGUCAACAUAUCAUAUGCACAUUUUUGUUUGGUUUAAAAUUCAAAAUCCCACAAACACUCAAUUUAUCAUAAUAGUGCUAAUAAUGAAAUAUUUUUUUGCUCAAUGAGUUGGGGGAAGGACUUUAUAUUCUCAAGAAUUUGGUAUGGGUUAUUAGGGGACUUUGGAUUUAAUGCAUAAAACAUGCCACCGGCUUUGUAUAGUUUGGUAUGCAUCAUUUAUUGAAUGAAUGUGGCUUUCAAGUUUCAACUAAAUGUACUUCCUGGUUCACAAAUACCUCAUAAUUUAUUAAAAUGAAAAUUGAACAAUUAUAUUGAUUCAUAUCGUUAGUUUUGCUCUGUUUGAAACGCUAAUGCAUGCAAUUAAUCAACUUCCUCUUGGUGACAAAAAAUAAAUAAACUAAACGUCUGUUUCUGCCUUUCUAGGUAUCACUUAUGUAGAGGCAUACUUUUUGUUUGCAGCCUCUUAGGUUUUCUCCUGUUUUAGCCAUUACUAUGCUACAGCAAUGAAAGGUGUGUAAAAUCUAUAAUAGAUUCUAAAGAUCACGAUCAAUUAUUUUAUGCAUUUUGUUUCAUGCACACGCAAUCAUCGUAAUACCUAAUAGCGCUGGGAAUUUGAGUUUACGGUUCGGGUUAAGUCGGGUUAUUCGGGUUUCAAGUUAUUGAGGUUGUGGUGUUUAGGACUCGCUCAUGAACCGAACAUUUUUUUGGAUAGGGUCAGUUUUGGUCGGGCUCCUAUCUUUUUAUAAAACCCAAAACAUAACCGAGAAUUAGAAAUUGUUCGGAUUUAGUGUGUGGCGUUUGAUUUUGACUGCGAGGGAUCUUCCGCCGGAAUGGUUUCCGCACGACCCGGAGUGGACUUCUUCCAUUAUUCUUCGAGCUUUCUCUCCCUCUACGCAGGUCAUGAGUGGCCCGGAAAAUCUCCACUUGUAGAGUUCUCCGUCGACCAAGACGUAUCGCGCGGAUUGGGUCUUAAUCUUUCGGGCUGCCCAUUUUUCUGCCGGGAGUUUCCGUCGGCGAUGUAUGCGAGGAUAGAUUAUGUCCAAGGUUUACUGAAUCCAUACUCGGACAGCUCUGGAUCCUGCACUGCCUGGAUGUCGACUUCGUCGGGAUCGCCGUCGGGUGAAUCGAUUAAGUUUAUAAUGACAAGAGGCCCGAUGCUAGGAUGCUCUAUGAACUCUAUGGGAAUUACCCUGCUCAACCCCGGAUCUGAACUAGACGCCAAGGCGGCUAGGGCGUCGACCUGAACGUUUUCGGCACGAGGGAUCCGAGUGAGAGCGAACUGAUCGAAACUUUGAACCAAGUUUUGAACAAGAUUUAGGUAAGCAUCCAUUCUCUCGUCCCUUGCUUCGUAUUCCCCGUUGUAUUGGCUUGCUACAAGUUGGGAAUCGCAAUAGGCGUGAAUGCUGCGUAUCUUCAGGCCGUGAGCCAAUCGUAAGCAUGUGAUUAGGGCUUCGUACUCGGCUUCAUUGUUUGAGGCGUGGAACACUAGUCGAAAUGACUGUUCAGCACUUCCCCACAAACUUGACUAGCAAUUACAGCCAUAUACUUUGUUAUUACGUCCAUUGACUACCAUUUUACAGUCAUAGACUUCAUUACGUUUAUUGACUUACGUGUGGUAUACUUUUUUAUUAAUAAAUUAUACUUUAUAUAUAAUUAUUUUAAAAUUAAAUAAAUAAUAUUGUUUUGUAUUUUGGAUAUUCGAUUAUUUGUUCGAUUUCCGAUGGUUCUAGUUUUUUGGGCUUAGAGAAAUAAAAACUGUUCGGAUUAUUAUAAAUUUUGGUUUGGUUUCAGUUUUGCUUUUUUCUGAUUUGGUUAUAGUUCUGUUUUGGGGUUUUGGAUAAUAUACCAUAUUAAGUAAAUCAUCUUAACGUCGUUUUAGCUAAAUCACUUUCCUAAAUUUUAGUAGAGUUAAACAAUGUUCAAGCUCAUUUUAAAGAUCAGUCCUGUGAUUAAAUUUGUUGACGAUUGUUCGUCGUCAGCGAAUAUCGUUGAUGCUAGUUUUUAUAGUGUGCAUGGAUAUGCUGUAGGCGUUUUAAACGUUUAAGAAUAAACUUGACUCAUCUUGAGUUUGGGAUCUAGUUCCUUUCUUUGAUAUUUGUUUGCGGCCAAGCAUUACAAUAACAUGAAGGGAGUUUGGAAGACAUAACAAAAUCUUUCCUAGUGGUGCUCAAUUAUAAUACAAAUGCGCGCGAUUGACCCCAGGGGAGGGGGGGAGAUUAUUGGGCCAUAUUGGACCGAUGUAUCUAUUGUAAGUAGCCCGGUUCAUAUUACGGGAUUAGGGCAAAAGAACAUACGUUGUAUAUAAGCAGUUAGUCUGCGUUACUUGAUGAAUAAGAAGUAUCCUUUAUACUGCUGAGACUUCUUGACAUGGUAUCAGAGCAAGAAGCCUAAGUACUACAAGUUUUCUUGGCUCACUGAUUUUGAGAUCUCUUUAUCCGUUGCGAGGUUUGAUAAGUUAACAACUUCUCUUUGAAGCAAAGUAUAUAUGGCUGGUACUACAAUGACGAAGGGGCGACGUACAAUUUCGCCCUAUGACCUUACUUCUGGCGAUAACACAGUGACUGUCAUUGCCAAACCGCCUUUGCGUGGAUCUAACUACGACGAGUGGUCCACAGACCUUAAGUUAAAGAAAUUUGGUUUUGCGGAUGGGACAAUACCGCAACCCAGUGAAGAUUCAGAGGAUUAUGAAGAUUGGAUCGCAAACAAUGCACUUGUGGUAUCUUGGAUGAAGUUGACGAUUGAUGAGAACAUCUCAACUACCAUGUCUCAUAUCGAUGACUCUCAUGAACUCUGGACUCAUAUACAGAAUCGUUUUGAUGUUAAGAAUGGACAACGCGUUCAACGUCUUAAGACUGAUCUAGCGAACUGUAGACAGAAGGGAACUGUUAUUGAGACUUAUUAUGGGAAACUGUCUCUGUUAUGGAGGAGUUUAGCUGACUACCAAAAGGCUAAAAUUAUGGAAGAAGUAAGAAAAGAACGUGAGGAAGAUAAGUUGCAUCAAUUUCUCAUGGGGCUCGAUGAAACACUAUAUGAAGCAGUUAAAUCAUCAUUGUUGUCUCGUGUGCCUUUGCCAACGCUUGAGGAAGCGUACAACACUUUGAUUCAAGAUGAAGAAUCAAAACUAUUGGGACGCAUGAAUGAAGAACGCACUGACACUGUGAGUUUUGCAGUCCAAGCUGGCUCACGAUCGCGCCCUUCUAAUGAGAAUAGAGGAUUUUCUGAAAACAAAGUCUGUUCAAAUUGUGGUCGCAAGGGACACACGUCGAAGAACUGUUUUCGCCUAAUAGGAUAUCCAGAGUGGUAUGAAGAGAAACACAAGAACAAGCUGGGUUCCUCUCGCGGCAAUUUGAAUUCUGGUGCUGGGCGUGGCUCGAAUAUGCAAGGUGGUGUUUCACAAGGAAGGGGUAAUGGUGCUGGUCGGAGCUCUGCUCAGGCGAGUCAUGUUUUUGCGGGUGGAGCUUCAUCAUCUCCUUCUCUUACUUCAGCUGAUCGAAUGGGCAUAAGUGGACUGAGUGAUUCUCAGUGGAAGACACUUGUUCACAUGCUCGAGGAAAGAAAAACCACACCUAUGGAGCAUCGCUCUGGUAAGCAAUUUCUUGAAUCAUGGAUAUUUGAUUCUGGUGCGACUAAUCAUAUGACUGGAUAUUAUGAGUAUUUGUCUGAAGUUGGUGAUAUGGCUCCUGUUUUAAUCAAACUUCCGGAUGGUCGUUUUACUACUUCGACUAAACACGGAUACGUUCGUUUGGGUUCUUCUUUGAGCCUGCAGGAAGUAUUCUUUGUAGAUGGACUUCAUUUUCAUCUAAUAUAUGUUUCUCAGUUGACUCGAGACAGUGGUUGUGUUUUUCAAGUUACUGACAAGCUUUGUAUUCUUCAGGAUCGCAUCACGAGGAUGCUGAUUGGUGUGGGUGAGCAGGACAAUGGGCUUUAUUUUUUUAGAGGAUUGGAAAUGGCAGCAGCAGUACACGGUCAGAUUCGAACUCGACCGAUGUGUGGCACAGUCGCCUUGGACACCCCUCCUCUAAAGCCUUAAAGAUGUUGCAGUUUUCUGAUUUCAGUACUAGUUCUUUUGAUUCAAAGCUGUGUGAGAUUUGUAUUCGAGCAAAACAAACAAGAUAUUCUUUUCCUUUAAGCAUCAAUAAGACGAGUUUUGCAUUUUAACUGGUUCACUGUGAUCUUUGGGGUCCGUAUAGGACUACUGCAAUCUGUGGAUCGAGAUAUUUUCUCUUUGUUCUAGAUGAUUACUCUUGGGCAGUGUGGAUAUAUCUCUUACCUUCAAAACAAGAGGCACCCACGCAUCGCAAAAACUUCAUCGCUUUGGUUCAGAGACAAUUCUCGAUUCAAGUAAAAACAAUUCGUAGUGACAAUGGAUCCGAAUUUGUUUGUCUCUCACGUUUCUUUGCGGAACAUGACAUCAUCCAUGAGACAAGCUGUGUGGGUACUCCACAACAAAACGGACGGGUUGAACGGAAACACAUGCACAUACUUAAUACUGCACGUGCGCUGAGGUUUCAAGCGAACCUCCCCGUUGAUUUCUGGGGUUUAUGUGCUCUUACUGCUGCAUACCUUAUAAACAGAACACCGACAAAGCUUCUUCAAGGGAAAACGCCGUUUGAGAUGAUUUAUCACAGAUCACCACCAAUGGAUCAUCUCCGAGUAUUUGGUUAUGUUUGUUACGUUCAUAACCAAAAGCAUAGAGGUGAUAAAUUUGAAAGUAGAAGCAAUCGAUCAAUAUUUAUUGGGUAUCCUUUUGCAAAGAAAGGAUGGCGUGUCUACAAUUUAGAGACCGAUGUUGUAUCAGUCUCACGGGAUGUGGUAUUUCUCGAAACAGAGUUCGCGUAUCCACCAACAUCGAUCUCUUCUCCGACUGAUGAUGAACCUGAUCAGCCUACUGCAGCUGAUCCGAAUGAUCUAGACUCUCUAGUUAGAGAGAGUGCAUCGCCUAUUCCUACUACUGGAACGAUGCUCCCCUUGCUAUUGCAGCUGAUGUAGCUCAACCUAUUCUUGCAGAUGCUGGAUCUUCUUAUGUCAUCAUUGACGAUAGCGACGAAGUGGGAACUGUGUCUCUGCCUUCGCUUGUUCUUACUCCUGAACCGGUGGUAGUUGCGCCUCCUGUUCAUACUACUGAAGAAGCUACUUCUGAAUAGGAACCUGAACCUCUUGGCCGAGGUUUUAGAUAGAAGAAGCCACCUACAUGACUUGCUGACUAUGUAGCAACAUUGUUACAUGAACUGACACUUUCGGCUACUCCAUAUCCUCUUGAAAAUUAUCUUUCCAGCGAGCACUUCUCAAUGAAUUAUCAAGCGUUCCUUGCUGUGAUAACUUCUGCUGUUGAACCACAGACUUACGCAGAGGCAAUCAAAGAUGAAAAAUGGAGAUUUGCAGUAACUCAUGAAAUUGAUUCUCUUGAAGAUCAAGGUACAUGGACAGUCGAAGCCUUACCUCCUGGAAAGAAAGCACCUGGUUGCAAAUGGGUAUUUAAAAUUAAAUUCAGAGCAGACGGCACGGUUGAGAGAUACAAGGCUCGGUUAGUGGUUCUUGGGAAUCAUCAAUAUGAAGGCAUUGAUUAUACUGAGACGUUCGCACCUGUCGCAAAGAUGGUUAUGGUCUGUACUUUUCUUCAGCAAGCAGUAUCUUUAGACUGAGAAGUACAUCAAAUGGAUGUUAAUAAUGCAUUUCUUCAUGGAGACCUCGAAGAGGAAGUGUAUAUGCAGUUUCCUCCUGGUUUUCGUACCAAUGACAAAACAAAAGUAUGUCGUUUGUGAAAAUCGCUUUAUGGCUUAAAGCAAGCGCCUCGAUGUUGGUUCGGAAAAAUUGCGGCUGCUUUGAAAGAGUAUGGUUUCGAAAAAAUCAUUCUGAUUACUCUCUCUUCAUUUAUGCUGCAGCUGGAGUUCGGUUACAUGUACUUGUGUACGUCGAUGAUUUGAUCAUCACUGGAAGUUCUGCUGCGAUUAUCACUGAGUUCAAACAGUAUUUGAGUACGAAAUUUCAUAUGAAGGAUUUGGGAGUCUUGCGAUAUUUUUUGGGGAUUGAAAUUGCUCGCAGUCCCGCAUGAAUUUACUUGUGUCGACGGAAGUAUGCUCUGGAUAUUAUUACAGAAACUGAUCUUCUUGGGGUCAAGCCUGUCUCGUUUCCUUUGGAACAAAAUCACAAGCUUGCUCAUGCCAAAGAUACUCCAUUCUCUGCACCGUCCAGAUACCGUAGACUGAUUGGUCGUAUCAUAUAUCUUGGAGUCACGAGACCAGAGCUUUCGUAUGUGAUACAUUUAUUGUCGCAGUUUAUGAAUGAUCCGCAAGAAGAACAUUGGAAUGCUGCUCUUCGUGUUGUACGAUACCUAAAGAAUAGUCCAAGACAGGGAAUACUUCUUCGUGCAAACACUGAGCUGAAGAUUACAGCAUGGUGAGAUGCGGACUGGGGCACUUGUCCGACCACUCAUCGUUCACUCACGGGAUGGUUCAUGCAAUUAGGAGGUUCUCCGGUAUCUUGGAAAACACAUAAGCAUGAUGUUGUCUCGCGAUCGUCUGCCGAGGCAGAGUACCGCGCAAUGGCUGAUACUGUUAGCGAACUUCUUUGGUUUCGCGGGUUGCUUCCAGAAAUGGGGAUAACGUGUGAUGCUCCUAUUGUUCUCCAUUCAGAUAGUAUGUCUGCAAUUCAUUUGGCCAAGAACCCUGUGUAUCACGCUCGCACCAAGCAUGUUGGGAAUGAUUGCCACUUCAUUCGAGAUGAGAUCAUUCGAGGCACGAUUGCAACUAAACAUGUCUCGACGAAGUCGCAGCUCACGGAAAUUAUGACAAAGGCACUGGGACGUCGAGAGUUUGAAGAAUUCCUUGGCAAGCUGGGUGUUUGUAACCUCCACACUCCACCUUGAGAGGGGGUAUUGGGCCAUAUUGGGCCGAUGUAUCUAUUGUAAGUAGCCCGGUUCAUAUAACGGGAUUAGGGCAAAAGAACAUACAUUGUAUAUAAGCAGUUAGUCUGCGUUACUUGAUGAAUAAGAAGUAUUAUUUAUACUGCUGAGACUUCUUGACAGAGAUGGUUAAGAACGGGAGAAGCGAGAGUAGGUUCAUUUUUGUCAAAAUGUGAUCUAAGGUCUAAUUUUCGUGUCUAGCCAGCUUAUAAACGUCAUUGAAGAAAAUAUAUGUACCUCUGACAUAAAGUGUGUGAUCGUGGAUUCGUGGGUAUAUCUUAGCUUUAGUGUAUUCGAAUUCACGAUAUGUGAAGAUGUACGUGACUUAGAGCAGGAUUAUCGCGGGUUACAAGAAGGGGUUUCAAGUGGUGGGACCCAUUUUUUGGGUUAAAAACGGUAACAGAGGAGAGGAAAUAAGGAUCGACUUUGGUAUAUUUCUUGCACUAUUCAUAGACCCCACUGACACGUGACGACCCGCGAUUGGUGGUCUUUUUAAUUUUUUUUUUUUUUAAUCAGCUUGAAAAAAAAAUGGGAAAAUUUGUGCCUAUGAAAACCUGGUCUUAACCUUAGUUAAUUCUAGAUGAAUGGCCUAGUGCGUCGCUCUCAAUGGAAGUAUUUUAGUUGUUAUUGUGUCACUAGUCGAGUUUAAUAUUAUGAAUUUUUUUUUGACAAUUUUAUUAUAUUUUGAUAAUUGGUACGAAGUGAUAUUUAUGAGGUCAUUUGUUUUUAAUAUUUGUUUUUAAAAUACACAAAAGUACAAUAAAAAUAUUUUGUUUAUUACAAAAGUCAGCAAUAGAAACUAUCAUAAAGUCACAAGGUACAUAUACGCAUAAAUGAAGUAUUACGGGUGAUCUUAAUUUGUAGAAUUGAUCAUCACCAUAUGUAUUAACUCAACUUUUUACUCUGUACGUAUAAACGAUUUGCUUCGUUCACUCUUAGAAUCAGAACUCUAAAAGUUAAUUAAUUGAUCAUAUGUGGUACACUGGUACUUGUCAUUAUGGCACCAAGCGAAUUUCACUUUACGGCGAAUGAGAACGCAUCCGAUUUUUUCAUAUAACUAACGUUUGAAUUGUUUUCGAGCAUGAUUAACCCAGAAUUCUUAGAAUAGGGUUUUUAGCGGAAGUUAAGAAUCUCACUGUAAGAACUCCGAGUUAAUCGUGAUCUUAUGUGGCAUGAAUUAUCUCAGAGUUCAGAGGUCGACUCGUAUUUUAUUAUAAUAUGACAUCGAUGUGUGCUAAUUUAAUAUUUUUUAUUGAUGGCUUAUCCAGUAGUUUAGAAGUUGUUUAAAAAGUUGAGCAAAUAGAUUUUAUAUGAUUCGUAGACCGAAUUCAAGAUUUGGGAUUUUCUCAAAAUAUCUGAAUUUGGGAUAAUUUUGUUUAUUAUCUGGAUAUCUAUACUAAAUUCUUAUGCUUAUAUUCUAACUACCGUGAUAACACGUAAAUAUAUUGUAUAUAUGUCACUUUAUCCAAAUACUUUUAAUGCAUUUGUCUAAACAUGAGAAAGUCAGCAGUCUGCAGUAUUUUCGUAUGCGUUUAAUCCGGUAAAUCGAACUAAUACAAUGUUAACCUAAUUAACAAAUCAAUUCAGAAAACUAAAUAUAUUUGAUUAUGUUUUAAAUAGAAUCAUGUUUUUUCAUUGGGAAUCAAGAUAAAAGUUUUACAAUAUAUAUAUAUAUAUAUUUAAAUUCAUAAAUCAGAAAUCUUAAAAGACAAAAUCUAAGAGGGAACCUAAAUUCUGAUUAAACAACACCGCUAUUUAUUUCUCUUACCGAAACACUCGAGCUGUAUUGUAUGCGUGGUGACCGUUUGGCACGAAAUAAUUUGCAUCUAUUCGUGGGUCGGGUUCACUAGUCAAAGUAUCGAUUGCGUAACUUUUCAAGUUACUGGUCCGUUGAUUUGUGGUAAUUCUUGGCACAUCUAAUCUACGAUAAAUUAAAAUUAGUUUUCUAUUUUAAAGUUGUAAUAUACUAUGAAUUUAGCUUCAAAAAACAUAAUUUGUUUUAUGCAAAUGCAACGAGAUGCCACACUCUCAAUAAUGUCGACAUGAAAAAGGAAAAUAAGACUAAUAUGCCCAUGAGAAUAUCCCCAAGAUUCCCCAUGCAAACGAGAGUAGCUACAGUAAUUAUAUAAUACAAAUCAUGUCUUAUAUAUUCAGUUAUCCCUUAUUGUCAAUUAUUUACAAAGCCUACCAUAAUUUUCAUUAAGCAAACAUACAUUGAAUAAUUACAUAUAUUGACGCAGUAAUAUAUUUCGAACACGAUGAUAGAGAUACACAUACUCCCUAAACAUGAUCCAAAGUACUCAUAAAUCUACCAAGCUACAAAACGGUGUCCAACAUUUGAUUAUUUGUAAUGGUUAUUUAUAUAUCUUCGGUGGGUGUCUCCUCAUCGGUAUCAGGCAAAUUAAAGAAAACAAAAGCAAAUAAGUUUCUAAAUUGCCCGUACGUGUGAAGUUUGAACAAUUUAUUAGUAAUGCAGUAGUAAUGCAUGAUACCGAUUAUUUAUUCAUGAAUCGACGUUGACGGGAAGAAAAAUAAUAAUUGAUGUUGACAUGAAUAAGGAGAGCUUGCCACGAAGAUGGUAGGAGCCGACAGAAAGCUAAAGUCCAUAAUUAAUUAUUUUGUUAAAAGAUAGUACUAAUGAUCGACUAUAGACCAUAACUUAGUAUUCCUCAUUUAUUAUUGUCUAUUUUCUACCAGCGAUGAUAAACACAAAUGAAACACACAGCAAAUUGUAAAUUCUGAUUCGAGAUGCAAUCUUAGAAACCUUAGCAAAGAAAACUUUAGAAUGCAACCAAACCAACUCAAAGUAAACCGAAAGAAUUAAUUGAGUCGAUGUUCCAGUUUUUGGAAGUAAAACCUCCAUUAUAUGCUGGUUAAUUACAUUUUUAUCAUUAAACUUUGAAAUGUUAUAAGAGAUCUAUGUUUAUUUAUUUAUUUGUGAUUAAUUAAUUCUCUGAUAUUUAUUGGAAAUAUUUGGAUUAUGCGGCCAAUAUAAUUUCUUUUAAGUGCUUGUAUAAUUAAAUAAAGUUGGUAGCCAUAUAGUCUAAAGUUGUGAUUGGUAUUUACGAUACUUUUUCCCUAAAGAUAAUUACUUUAAGAUGUUGACGAUGAAAUCCACGCGGUUUACGGAAUCUUCAGUUAACCGAGACAAUUAUUCCAUUCCAUCAAAUGUGAUUUGAGAAAUUAAUUGAAUGCUAAAUAUUUUCUCAAUCAUGGUUAACAUUUUAAUUUAGACUUCCGUAUACUUGACAUUUUCUUUUGCUUUUUGCUUUUUGUAUAUUGUUUACACUCUACAAACUUGAAUACACAAUAACAACAAACACAAUCCAUUAUCAGGUGUGCAACAUAAGUACAUUAAGUAGGGAACAAAACCAACGGCGAGACAGUGAAGCAACUUCUCUCGCACAAAAAAUCUUGUAAAAACAAUUGAUAAAAAGCGUUUAAAAUCGUCUGAUGUUAAGCGAAACAUAGGAAAUACAUAGUAUGAGGAUAUACAAUAACUUGCUACCUAUAACUAAACAGUAUAUAGAUUUAUCGCUAAUUAUUGAAUUUGUUUAGACUAAUGAUUGUGCUACUUUUGUAAUCUCUAAAUUAUCAAAACUUAUUGGACCAUAUAAAAUUAAGUGGAAGGUUGUUUCAUAUUGUAUAAAUAUCAUAUCGGAGACUUGGCAUUUCCGAUGAUAUUUUUACGUACACAUCCCAUUCGUAUCAUCUAAGGACACCACUUUGGUCAGUACAAGUGUACAACAUCUUUGGUCUUUUUUUCGUCAUCCUUUUGACGCAAUUAUAUGUAACUUUAGUGUUGUCUUAUUUUCUUUUGCCUCUUCGAUCUCUCUUUUUUUUAUUACUACUUUUAGAGCUACACUUUACGUUGCUAAAAAAAAAACUACACUUUAGAGCAUCUCCAAAAAACAUUAUAUAACUUCAAAUAUGAAGUUUUUUGCUCUCCAAAAAAGAACUUCAAAACUUCAAAUUUAAAGUUUUGAGGAGUCAAACUCUAUAUUUGAAGUUUCACUACUCAAAACUUCAAAUUUGAAAUUUCAUAUUUUUAUUUGUAUUUUGGUCCAUACAAUUACACAUCACAUUUAUAAUUCAUAAUUUUUUUAUUAUUAUUUUCAUCCUUAUAAAAAUUAUAUCUCAUAAGUAUUUUAAGUUUUGUUUACAAAAUUUAAGUUUACACAUAAAAUUAAAUAAAACUUUAAAAGAAGAUUUAAAAUAUUUAAAACUAGAUUUAGAUAACAAAAAUAUACAAAAAAACUUAACAAUUUUUUUUUAAGAAAUUACAUGAAGACAUAACUAUUAGACAAAUUUAAAUAUUACAAUGACACUAAUAGUCAGGUAAUUUUAAUCCGGAACCUUUAAAAUUUCCAAAUAUUGUCCAAUUUUUUUUGUGUAAUUGAAGAUGAUUGUUGUUGUUGAUGAUGUCUUUUCGUACAAUUAUUUCUUGUUCUUAUAUUCACGAGUAUUAAUAUCAUCGAUAAAAGUUAGUUUUUAGCAAUAUUUUAUGUUUUUCUUUUACUUUCUUGUUCUGAUCUAAUGUAUUUACAAGUAUGAAUAUCUCCUGAUUUCAACAAUUUUUUAUCUCUAAUCUACAAAUUAAAAAUGAGGAGAGCUAUUUUUCCUUCGAAAUGCACUAGUAUAUCAUAUAUGCAUUACGAAAAUCGCUUUAUGGAAUAAUAUGGUAUUUUGGUUGAAGCUUAAUAUUAAUUAAGUUAUUUUGUUUAAAAUUUUAUAUUUUAAUAUAAUAAUUUAUUAAUUAAUAUUGUUGUAAUAUGUUUAUAUAUGUGUUAGUUAUUUAAUUUUUUUUUAUGAAUUCAAAUUAGUAAUGACAAAUAUAAGGACCAUAUUAUAAAAUACAAAUAGUUUUGAAGUUAAGUUUGAAGUUUUGCUUUUGGAGAAAAACACCUUUAAACUUCAAAUAUAGAGUUUUGAAAACUUCAAAAUAGAGUUCAUUUUUGGAGACGCUCUUACAAGCCAUUUUUCAAUUUAUGUGUUGUGUGGUUUGAUUAUAUUGGAUGAAUUCAAAUAUAUUUUCAAAGCAUCAAAUGCUUUAUUUUCUUUUUGGUAAAUUUCAGUUAAGCUCUAGAUAACGACAAAAGAUAACUAUAUUCUAAACCUGAUUUCUAUAACUAGAGCUCUCUUCCAAUGAUAAAACUAAACACCUAUACAAAACCCAAAUUUUGCGGCAGGGCCAAGUUAAGAAAGACAAAUACCGAGAAGUGAGUUAACUUCAACAAAUGUAAAAGAACAUUAAAAUUUUAAAAUAAUAGAAAAUGAUAAACAAAAGCAAAGACGAUGGACCACACACAAAAUAAUAGCAAGUGAGCAGGACGAAAAAUGGAAAAAGAAGAAGAAAGGGAUAAGAAAAAUAGUUGGUAAAAUCUAACUGCCACAAUACUAGAAAAAGAGCAUAGAAAUGGGAAGGCAAACAGAGAAGCCUAAUUGGCUAAUGUCCAACGCAUGUCACUCUACCUACAAAUCUCAGUGGUCCUUAACAUCUACUUCUAACCAACCUCUUGAGUACAAUUAUCUAGAAAAUGCAUACAUACACAUAAGUCACGUAACAAAACCAUUACUGACAUCACCAUGUUAUAUCAUCAUGCCUUUAUGAAAUUAACAAACAUUGUUUUAGUCGUGAUAUACAGAAGAUAACAGCUAUCGGACCAAUAAUCUGCCUUGAUGAUAGGAGAUAUUUUUCGUACCAAUUGUUUAUUUUUAAUAUUUUACUUACCAUCCUUUAUUUUUGGGACGCGGAGAAUUUCAUGUAACAAAGAGCUCAAGACCAGAUGGUAAGGCCCCUUGCUUCCCUAGUGUGUGGGUGGGUUUUUGUUUUUGAAGAAACAAUAUUUAUGAGAAGAUGUCACUUUCUAAAAUUCUUAUUGGAUUAGGUAUUUUUUGGAACUGCGUUAUUAAAAACUACCCACUUUUUACAAUCUGUUCAUUAAAAACUUGUCAAAAAUAUGUUCUGGUCUAUCAAAACUUGCUCAUCACUUAGUAAUAAUGCUCCUUUUUAACUAAACACUUAAACUUAGUCGAUUAGAAACCAAACUAGUAUAUAUUUUGCACAUAUAUAUAUCUUACAAGUAACUCAUCCAUAGACAAGUUUAUAGGUGCUAGAUCUCGAAGCUGGACAUGUUUUGAUAGAACAUAACGUACUUUUGAACAAGUUCUGAUAGAAAAUAUCAAAAGUGGUAGUUUCUAAUACUUUUUUUUCUUAAUAUGGUAGAUCCAAAAGAUUUUGUUUUAAAAGGGCUAAAUGAGGAAAAACCUAAAUAGUGUAAUAAAAUAAUUAUACAAGAGGAAUUUAACACUUUUGAUUUAUUGUAGUACUGAUUCAUUGUAACGUCUUGAUGCGUCAACGUGAGCCCAUGUACAUAUUCUUAUCAAUGGGUUUCACCCUCUUCGAUAUCUUGCGCGUUAUCGAAAGAGUUCAAAAGAACUGAUAUAACCCUGUAACAUGAUCAUAUCCCAUAUUUUGUCCUAACUCAUACGAUAUUAAGAUUGAUCAGCAAUCAGCAAUCUGAUAGGUUAUCCAUUUUUUAAUUAGUCCAGUUCAAACAUAUUCAAAUGGUUAACUGGAAAAUCAAGUGUAUUUUAUAUCAGAGGCAACCAACAUCAAUUUUUAUGUCUUUUCUAUUUAAUCUACUAACUGGGGUAUUACGUACGUUGAUCCCACAGUCCGCAAUAGCAUCUCCAGCUACUGAGACUCUAACCCUACCUUAACUUCUGACAUGCUUUUUUGGUUUUCAACUUCUUAAGACCUAGUCUGCUUGAUAUCACGGAUUGCGAUCUCUUCUUCAACAAUCUCUCUGCAUGAUUGCGAUCUCUUCCUCCUCUAUGCUGUUUAUACUUGGACAAAGUAUUUUCUUCUAUUGAAGUAUAAAAUCUAUGGGUCUUUGCCCGUAGCAAACACUAUCUGGCCUGGGCUGUAUCAUCUUUGUAUCUUUUUAUUUAAAUAGCAAACUUAUCCUCAAAAACAAAUAUACCACCAUAAUUACAAAUUACAAUAUCGGCCUAAUCAUUUUCAAUAUGUUAGAUGAAGCCCAGUAUAUUCAACAAGCCCAUUAUAUUUUUAGUCUCGAAUUCAAUUUUAUUAACUCAGAUCCACCUACUCCUACCGGUCAUUAUCCCUUGAAACUCCUGAACAAGAUGGCAUCAGAUCUUACCGGGCGCUUUUAUGUCAGUAGAAGAAGCUUACCUCCAAAUCCUCAGUGUUUAUGUAUGUUUAACGCAGCCAAAACAACACGUUUUGUGUAAUAUUAAUUCCCAGUGUCUUUUUGUUCAUUGUAAUGCCAUUGGUUGUAACAUUAAUGCACAACUUCAACUGAACACUACCAAUAAAAACGUUUGUGAAAAAAGGUAAAUGUUAUUGCCAGUGAUCUAGACUCGUUACCAGUUUUAGGUCGGAAGGAAGCAUCAGUCCCAUUUAGUUUAUGGUUAACACGUUUUUUAGUUGAUUAGUGCGUAAUAAUGACCUGAAAUUAUAGCCUAUUCUCCGCUACAGUUAGAAGCAACGUAGCAUUCUGAUGAAGACUUGAUCUGUUUAAACCACACCUAACCCAUCGUUGCACCAAACUUUCUUUUUUUCAUUCAUACUUCAAGAAAUCUCAAUGCUCCUAAACUCUUUAUAUAACACACACAAUACUUCACCAAUUGUGACUUGGAGCUUCCAUCUCAAACACAAUGGAUUCAACUUCAAUCAUUUGGUCUCUUCUAUUAGCUUUUGCUCUUAUCUCUCCCUUUAGUGUCAAUGCACAAGGACCUGCCGCUUCACCAGCAACCCCCACCACCACUACUCCUCCUCCAACCAUCACUGUUCCUCCACCAACAACCACUGCUACGCCACCAACAACCACUGUUCCCCCCCCAACAACCACUGCUCAGCCUCCAACAACAGUCGUUCCGCCCGUUUCAGCUACUCCGCCACCAGCAACACCGACUACACCUCCACCAGCAGUUACUCCAACUUCAUCACCACCAGCUCCAAAGGUUGCACCAGUAAUCAGUCCAGUAACUCCACCUCCACAACCACCACCAAGCCCGCCCGUUUCAGCUCCAACCGUCUCACCACCACCAGCUACACCACCACCUGCACCGGCCUCUCCUCCACCGGCGUCACCACCUGCACCAACUUCUCCACCACCAGCACCAGCCUCACCCCCUCCAGCGCUUACGCCAAUAACUCUACCACCAGCUCCAGCUCCUGCUAAGCACAAGAAAAAGCACAAACACAAGCGGCAUCACCAUGCCCCGGCUCCAGCACCAACUCCUCCAAGCCCUCCAUCUC
rnacentral:lncRNA from 1 species